AAAGGAAGAAGGAGAUAAAUUAGACAACUUGAUCCAUUGGCCGUCCUUGACCUCAAUUUCUAGCCCUGAAACCUGAUCCUCACAAAUGACUGUGCUAACUGGUUUUUCCGUAUGAGCAAAGAGUCCACUCUCAUACUCCCCUGGUGGAGGUGCCAUGUAUUUCAUCAUCCGCACCAAUGUUUUAUAGUUUAUCAUUAGUGACUCAAAUUUCUCUCCUAAUCCGUAACUUUCAAAUAUCAUUAACCAAAUUAACUUGUUCAACUCUUCCAUUUGUGUCGCCAAUGUGUGUACAGUGUCACUGUAAUAAAACAUCAAACAGUUGACAUGCGUAAUAGCACAUGUAGUCACACUUACAUGAAAUUAGAAUCCCAUCUCAUAUUCUUACUGUAAUUAUUUUAAAAAAAAAACCCUACAUUCCUCAAAAACCUUCCAACAAAUUACUGAAAUCAAUUUGAAUAAAAAAAAUUAAUUUGAUUUGCUUGAAUUCAAAUUCCAUCCUACUCAAUGUAACUAUAAAAACUCAACAAUUUGAACUAACUCAAUUUAAAUUGAAAAUUAUCCGAAUUCAAGAUGACUAGAGUAAGUAACUUAAAAUAAUCUAAAAAUUUAAAAUGUAAAAAAAAAUUAUUACCAAAAGCGUGGGUGACCAUCAGGCCACAUAAGUUGAACAAAUCUUUUAACAGAGUCAUAAUUAGAGGCAUCUCCAAGUCCAAAGCCUUCAUACAACAAAGAAACUUGACUGCAUGGUCCAACCCAGCCAUGGUAAGGCAAGGGACUAGCGUUCUUUUGUUUCCUCUCCAAUGGGACCUGGACCAAUUCUUUCACCAACCCGAACAUCUCCUCUCGGACUUUUUUUGAUACCCUUUUGUACACCACCUCAAAACAACCAUAAGUUUCACAAGCCUCUCGAACCCUCUUGCACAAAUGGUGCCAUCCAUCAGUUCCUCGCUCUAAAUCCGAUGAACAGAACUCAAUGACUGGGACCUCAAUUUUAGCAUUGACACCCAUGUUCUUAAUUUUUUUUUAUCUAUGCUCUAAGGAAAUGUUUUCUUAGACUAAAUGAGCUUGUAAAUUAACAUGGUUUCUCUUUACGUAGAGAUUUAUGUCUAUUUAUAGCAUUUCCUAAUGCAUCCAUCAAAAUCACGACGAGUCUUGUUUACUAUUUCUCAACACAAGUUGAAGGUUAUCCAACAUUCAAAUUUCAUCGAUUAAAAAAAUUGAAAACAAAGAUAUAACAAUCCCUAAACCAGGGGCGUGCACUGGUGGGUGUGUUGAUAUAUGAUUCGAAUGUAUAUUUUUAAACCAUUCAAAGCAUAUAUCAAAAUCAUGACGACUCUAAAACAUAUAUUGCAAAAAAUUAAUUAUUAAUUUAUGUAGUCAAUAUUAGAAUAUUUUUCACAUGAAGAUAAAAACAUUAACCAAGCAAAACCGGGGGCGUGCUUUGGUCCCAAAAAUAAAUUCGUACUUUGGUAUUAUUGGUAAAUUUAAAAAUUUAGAUACUGAAUUUAAAUUAUGAAAUCUAUAUGAUUAAAUUGUUUGAUAAAUGUAAUUUUUAAAGUUUUAAAGAUAAAGUAUUUAAACAAUAAUGUUAAAAUAAUAAAAAUAAAGUAAAGAUAAAUGUAAAAGUUAUACAUUAAUGCACGAGAAACUCAUUAUCAACAUGAAAUUAUUUUAUGGAUCCUUUCCACCACAUUAUUUAUGGUCCUUUUCCGAUUAGUUAAUGAUAUUCAAUAAAAUUUUCCAUGUCAUUGACAACAAGAAUAGGGGCGAAGCCAGAACAAUUUUUUAGGGGGGAAGUUUUUUAUAGUCUAUAUCUUUAUAAUUUUUAAAGGAUUAAAUCGAAUUUUUAUAAUUUUAGGGAGGCCAAAGUGCACUUUUACCUUUACUAAUUUAAAAUUUUAAAAUUUUUUAAAGAGCCUAAAUAGAAAUUUUCCAUUUUAGGGGGGAGGGCGGGGCCUUUGUCAACCCCCUAGGUUCGCCUCUGAACAAGAAAUUAUUUUAUGGAUUAUUCCCACUACAUCAUCUAUGGUCUCUUUUCAAUUGUUUAAUGACAUUUUUGUAAUUUUUUUUCCAUGUUAUUGACACAUAAUUUUGGUAAAUUUUUUACCUUGAACCCCGAACCCUAAACUCUUACCUUGAACCCCCGAACCUUGAUCCUGAAUCCCAAACCUCAAAUCCAAACUUGACCCCGAGUUUGGGGUUCGGGGUUCAAGUUCGAGGAACAUGGUUUGAUUUCGGGUUCGGGGUAAAAAAUUACUAAAAUUAUAUGACAAUGACAUGGAAGAAAUGUCGAUAAAUAAUUGGAAAAAGACUAUAAAUGAUGUAGUGAGAAGGGUCCAUAAAAAAAAUUCUCCAUCAUCUACUUAUCAUUUUCCACGUUUUUUCAUUGAAACAAUUUUAUCAUUUACUUUUUAUUAUAAAUUAUAAAACAUAUUUAAAAAAUAAAUCACUCAAAAUGAUUAUUUUGAGUUGAUUUAAUUUUUUUUUUGAAUGGAUUACCGUUUAAAAAAGUACAUAGUUUUGUAUUAAGUCGUAAGAGAAAAAAUUGAAAAAGAAGAAAUAAUCGAUUAUAUAAUCAUUAGCAUUAUACCCUGAAAUAAAAAUGAAAUUAAAAAAAUUGCAACCCAUAGAAAUGAAAUCCAAACCAUGAUUGUUUUCAUUCAUAAAGGAGGAAGCUAAGACGAAAAAAAGAAAACGAUUGUUGGAGUAUUUCACCAAAUUGUGUGAGAAAAUUGAGAGCAACAGUAUAUUAUGGAACGCCCAUUUAUAUGGUCAACCACUCAAUUAUAGUCAAGAUGAGAAUAUUGUCUUCCGUUGUCUCCCAUGACUGUAAUUUAUGGCUACUUGUUAGCCCUCAAUUUUGAACGUCAAUGCAUGCAUAUAACAAAUGCUGUAACUUACGGCUACUAAAUUGGUCUUCAUCAAAUUCAUCACUAUUUAUAUUUACUAAUUAAACAUUGUAAACUAUUAAAUAUUAAUUUUGUGUAAUCAAAUAUUAGAAAUUUUUUUCACACGAAUAUAAUAACAUUAACCAUUUAACCGUGUGACCAAAUAAUAAUGGGUAAACUAUAAAAAUAGUCAUUUUUAUUGUCUCGGAUUACAUUUUAGUCAUUUAUAUUUUAAAUGCUACGUUUUAGUCACUUACGUUAUCAUUUUGUUACAAAGUAGCCACUCUGCCGUUAAGCUCUGUUACCUCCCUAACGGCAAUCCUACUUGGAGACGAACGGUUUUCUUUUUCCAGUUUAAGGUGUAAUUAAAUUAAAAUUUUUAAUUAAUUAAAUUUAUUUAAUUAAAAACAUAUUCGCAUCCCAGUUGGUUUAAAACUCAUUUGGACUGCCACGUAGGAUUGCCGUUAGGGAGGUAAAGGAGCUUAACGGCAGAGUAACGACUUCGUAACAAAACGGUAACGUAAGUGGCUAAAAUAUAAUAUAAGGCAAACAAAAAUGACUAUUUUUAUAGUUUACCCAAUAAUAAUAACAAUAACAUGACUUAUAAACGAGGGAGGUGCAUUGGUAAAAAAGUUUUCUGUUUUCAAUAUCUUAAUUUUUCAAUUCUGGCAACAUUAAACAAAUUAAUAAUUAAAUUCAUUGGUUUUUAUAGUACUGUAGAAAUGGUUUGGAAAACCAACAUGAUAGUCAGCAAGAAGACAACAUGUUGAUAUUAUUAGAGGUGUUUAAGGUUCAAGUCUGAUGGGCAGCGAAAAAACUUUUAAGUUGGACUCGCACUUAAUUUACCGUUAAAAUAAUACAAUAUUAAAAAUAUAAUAUAAUUUUUAUAUUUUUAUAAUUAAAAUUUAAUAUGUAAGGAUAAAAUUUUCUUACCCAACACAAUUUGGAUCAAGGCGAGGCUAACAAAACUUGUUGACAGUAGAUGUCUUCAUGGGCUGAGUUGGGCUGGGUCUAAGCAUAAUAUUAAUAUAUUUUAUGUUUGCUCAAAUUCGGUCUGGUCUUAAAUAUUAGUUUAAAAUUUUGCCCAAACCCGCCUAUAUUUGCAAAAGAUUAACCCAAGUCCAUUUUAAGUCUGCCCAUGUUAUUUAAAAAAAAAUAUUUAUUUUAUUUUAAUAUUUAAUAAUUUUCUACAUUUUUAUUUAUUAAAAAUUUUUAUAUAGUAAUCUUAACAUUAUUUUAACGUUUACAUUAGAGUGGUAUUAUAAAUUUAGUAUAUGUUUGUUUUUCUAAUGUGUUGUAAAUUACAUAAUAUAUAAAAACACUAUAAUAUAAUUAAAGUAUUAUAAACUUAAAAAUGGGUCGGGUCGGGCUGAGUCGGAGCCUUGAAUGUUCAACUCCAAGUCUGCCCCAUAUUUUAAAUGAGCUUAAUUUUUUAGUCUAAUAUUUUUGUCUAAACCCUCCCAAAUUUUUGAUAGGCCUCCGAAUUUAUACAAAUAACUUAGCACAUGAACAAGUCUAGUUCACAAUUGUAUAUGAGAUGGACACAACUUUAUUCAUUGUUGAUUUCUUGUUUCAAUUUCUAGCCCUACAAUAUGAUACUAGCAAGCAAAUGGAGUGCACCGAAAAUUGUUAUUCGAACUCUUUAUCUAUUUACUUAUUUAAAAUAAAGAAUAAAACUUAGAGUCAAAAAUGAAUUUUGAUUAGAUAUAUAAAAAAAACAAAAAUAAAAAGAGUUAAACUGUAUUAAACAUCCUCAAAUUAUGAUCUUCAUGUUAGAACCAUAAAACUUUUAGAUACAAAACUGAAUAAAUCAGGAUCUGUUAUGUCAAAUCAUCAAGAACAAAACUAGAUGCGGAAGCAUACCUGAAUCCAUCAAUUUCUUGAAAUCUUUGAAUCAUAUGGUCUUGAUAUUCUAAAUUAGCACACAAGUAAUUUAGAGAAGAUGGGAUGUAGAAAAGUUAUGUAUGUGUAAUUUGGGGAUAAUAACCCUAAUAUAUAAUUUUUGCACAUUAAGCUUAAUUUCUAAUCAGCCUAUCAUUAGUUAGAAAUUAAUUACUAGAGGUAUCUACAUAUAUUGGGCUCGCGACUUUAGUUAUUAACUAAAAUCCAAUAAGCCUUAACCAAAUUAAAUCACUCUUAAUUUGGGUUAACAUUUUGUGAUAAUAAAUAAUAAGAUGUAAUUAAUUUGGGAUAACAAUUAUUCAAAAUAAUUACUAAUAAAUAUAAUUAACAUAUAUAAAUUAUUUUGAUAAUUGAAAUUAAAAAAUUUCUAAUCAUUAUUAAAUUUUUUGUAGAAACUACAAAAAUUUGAAAUUUUUAAUGAUUCAAUUUUUAUUUUUCUUUCUUUUUUAAUAGUUAAUUAAUUGGCCAUAAUACUUUAUAGACAAUAUAUAAUAAAAAUGAAAAUAUUAUUUUUUUAGUAUAACUUAUCUUAUUAAUUUUACGGUCCAAGUAUAAUUCUAUUCAUGAUAAUGGUUAUGUUAAAUUAUAAAAUAUAUUAUUUAUAAAAUUAUAUAUACGAAAUAUAAAGUUACUUAUAUGAAUAAUUAAAGUUUGUUAAAUAAAACUAAUGCUAUUAAUUUUUUCUUAUUACUUUUUUGACUAAUGGAAACAUAAUAAUAUAAAUAUAAAUAUAAAUAUAAAUUUUUUAUUUAUUAUAUAAAUCAUUUAUUAGAAUCAUAAUUCUUAUUUAUAAGUAUUAUAAAUAUUUUUUAUCAAGUAAAUUUUUUUAACCAAAUAUUUUAGUAAAAUUAACUUUUUUUAUAAAUGUAAUAAAUCUUACAAAUAAUAAUAAAAUAUUUAAAAUGACAAAUUUGAUAAUAUAAUGAAUAACAAAUGCUAUAUUGGUUAACUCAAAAGUUUCUCUAAACUUGUGCUUUUAUAUAUGGAAUAAAAUUUUGUACAAUGCCAGUAGAGUUUUUAAACUCCACAAGCAGAAUAAAAGGGUUGACAAAUGUCUUAUAGUGGGUAUUGUCGAAACCUUUUUUUUUUGGUAAAACGGGGUCAACUUGGAUUUUAAAAAUGAAAACGAAUAUGGGAGUCGCCACCAAUCCUUUUUUAUAAGGUGUGAUCGGGCCACCUCGAAAAGUGGUUGUUUUUAAUAAACAAUUUAAUUUUAUUAAAACAACGAUUUUGAUCCACGAAAUUCAAAAAAAAGGAGUCCGGGAGUCGGUUACAUACGAGGAAGGAUUAGCACCCUCCUAACGCCCAAAAUUGGUACCUAGUUGAUUAAUUAAUGUCUUAGUGUCGAAGAUCGAAAACCUUAAAGAGAUUUAAAAUACGAUCUUUUAUUGAAAUGCCAAAAAGUUCGAGAAAAAAAGGCAUAUUUCACGUUAAUCGAGAAAAAAAUUAUAUCUCGUAAGUUAGGGCACAAUAUCUUUAAUUCCCGAUAUGAGAAUAAAUCCCGAAAGAUUUAUUUAUUUGAAAGAUAUUCGAUUCGAUUAUCUCGGGUUUGGAAAAGAAAUCAUGUCCCGUAAGUUAGAACACGAUCUUUUAUUAAUUCCCAAGAUUGCUUAAAAAACUUAUGUUUGAAAAGAUUCGUGUAUUUGGAUUUAUCGAGAAGAUCAAAAGCCCGUAAGUUAGGGCACGACCUUUUCGAAUCUCAAAAUAUGUAAUUUUUCUUGUUUUAAAGUCAUGAUUUAUGCAUCAAAUAAAAUCAAUCUAACACGAAAUGGUAGAAAUAAAAUACGGUGUUAAUAUGCGUAACAAAACAACAAUGAAUACGAUGAUGUAAGCACAAAUAAUACAAGCAACAACAAUAAAAAUAAGAUAAAUAAAUAAAUAAAAAGGACAAAUAAAUUAUAUAAAAUAAUAAGUAAAUAAAAAAAUAGAACUAAAACAUUUUUAAAAUAAUAAUGGACACAUAAAUAAAUAAAUAAAUAAAUAUAAAGUAAAACAAUAAUGACAAUAAUAAAAUUAUAAAAAUAAAAAAUCUAUGUAUAUAUAUAUAACAAAGUUUGAAAAAAGAAAAAAAAGAUAUAAAUAAGUAAAUAAUAAAAAUAAUAAUAUUAAUAAUAGAAUAGCAAAUAAUCUAAAGUUUAAAAAAAAUACAAAAGAUACAAGUAAUUACAUAAUAAGAAUGUAUAAUAAGACAAAUAUAUUCAAAAUUUAGAUAAGUAAAUAUAAAUAGAAAUAUAAUAAUAAUAAUAAUAAUAAUCUAAUUUUGAAAGUACAUAAAAUAAUAAUAAAUAAAUAAGUAACAAUAAUAGGGGCAAAAUAAAAAUAAAGCAAGCCAAAUAAGAAACUCGAAUAAAUAAAUAAGCUAGAUUGAUUUAAGGACUUAAUCAUAAUCCUCUCAAAACCCUUUCUCCCUCUCCGGGCACCGGCUUAAGGUCUGGUCAUUGGCCACCGUGUUGGCACCGCCGUACACGGCGGUCCGAAAACUGAAAAGUUUCCCCUUUUUUCUCCGAUGUAGACCCUCAGCCUCCAAACACUCCGGAGACGGCCAAAAAGGUAAAAACACUUCUUGGUGCCUUUCUUCUUCAUGUAGCCUUCUUGCAGUCCACUGUGUCUUGUUGCUUCGAUCCACUCCACUGCACUUUAGAGAGAUACAGCUUGUAGCUUCAAUCCGCUCUGCUGCAACUUUAGGGGGACAAGAUUCGUGGUUUUAGUCUGCUCCACUACAACGUCAGGGAGAUAAGACUUGUUGCUUCAACCUGCUCCACUGUGACUUCAGAAAGAUAAGGUUGAUAUGAUAAGAUCUGCUAUCUACAGUCUACUCCACUACAACUUCAGGGAGAUAAGACUUGUUAUGAUAGACUUAAUCCGACCUGGUGCAACUUCAGAGGUAUAGGAUUCAUCGUUUUAGUCCGCUCCACUGCAACUUCAGGGAGAUAGGAUUAAUAGCUUCGAUCUGCUCCACUGUAACUUCAUGGAGAUAAGAUUAGUAUCUUCAACAUGCUUCACUACAACUUCAGGGAGAUAAGACUUUUUAUGGUAGAUUUAAUCCUACCUACUGCAACUUCAGAGGUAUAGGAUUCAUUGGUUUAAUCCGCUCCACUGCAACUUCAAGGAGAUAGGAUUAAUAGCUUCAAUCUACUCCACUGCAACUUCAGGGAGAUAAGAUUGGUAUCUUAAACCUACUCCACUGCAAUUUAGGGAGAUAAGGUUGGUUAUCUUCAUUAUGCUCCACUACAAUUUCAGGGAGAUAAUACUUGUUAUGGUGUGAUCUGCUCUACUACAACUUCAGAGAGAUAAGAUCUGCUAUCUUCAGUCUACUCUACUGCAACCUCAGUGAGAUAAGACUUGUAGCUUCAACUUGCUUUACUGUAUAAAGUCUGAUGCGAUCUGCUCUACUGCAACUUUAGAGAGAUAAGAUCCAUCAUUUUAAUCCGUUCCACUGCAACUUCAGGGAGAUAGGACUAAUAACUUCAAUCUGCUCCACUACAACUUCAGGGAGAUAAGAUUGGUUUUAGUCAGUCUGCUCCUCUGUAACUUCAGGGAGAUAAGACUUGUUGGCUUUAAUCUGCUCCACUGCAACUUUAGGGAGAUAAGAUUUUCCAUCUUCAGUCUAUCUCACUGCCUUCAGGGGGAUAAGACUUACUUUCUUCAACUUUAACGCCAAGGAGAUAAGAUUCGUUGCCUUCAGCUUUAAUCCGCUCUGCUGCAAUGCUAGGAAAACAAGAUUCUCUACAAUUUAAAGAAUAAACUAUACUUAUUGGCUAAGCCAAAAAUUCUAAAAAUUUUAGGGUAAAAAGAUAUAUGAGUCUAAUUUCUGGAAAAAUUAACGGAUCUUAAUUUGGAGUUUCGUAGCUCGAUAUAUAAAUAAUUUAGUGACUCUGACGCGGAUAGAUAGCUUUGAACUUACUUAUAAGUAAAUAGUGAAAAUAUAGUUAAUGUUAUUUAAGCGUGUUAUAUACAUUAAGGAUGUGGAAUGGAGAGAAGGACGGGUAAAAUUGGAAAAUAUAUGAUUGACUUGUGUAUAAAUCGGUCAUAUAUUCGAUCAUAAUCAAAAAAUGUUGAGUUAGAAAUGAUGUAAUGUUUUAUUUCAAAUAGUUACUAUGAGAUUGAUGAUGAUCUGAUUUUAGCUAAAUUAAAAGCUAAAGCGAUGUUUUCUUUGCAAAAUUAAGAAUUUCAUAAAUGUUUAAUGAAUGGCAUAAUCGAUAAACGUUGAGUUAAAUGGUAAAUAUGUAUUAGUAUUGAACUUAAUGAUAUUGAAUUGUAUAAGAAGUAAAUGGAAAAUUCUAUUGCUAGUGAUAUGAUUUGAAUUAAAAGAAUUAUUAUGAUAUUGAAAUGUAUAUUGGAUUGAGAAAUUGAUUUGAAUUAUGAACAUGAGAAAUUAUAAAUUGAAUGAAAUGGAAAAUUCUAUUGCUAGUGAUAUGACUUGUGAAUUGCAUGAACAUAAAUCGAAUUUCGUAGGCCCUAUUUAUUAUGAAUAUAAUAUUUAGAGAAUAUAUUGUGAAGAAUUAUAAAAGCAUGUUAAAAAUUUGAAAGUUUUAAUUUAGAUGAAAUUUUAUAAUACGGUUAAAUACUUUUACAAGUGUAUGUGUUCUGGUAAUAUCUCGCACCCUAUUCCGUCGACGGAUACGGGUAAGGGGUGUUACAUUUAUUGGUAUCAGAGCUACGGUUUAGUCAAUUCUCAGACCGAACGUAGCAUAUUUGAAGUUUGGAAAUACAUGUCAUUAUAUAACCUGUGAUAGUGUGAUAUAUCCCGACCCUGAUGAGAUUUGUUUUACUUAUAGAUAGAGAUACUUUUCAACUUAGCUAAAUUUGAUAAUAUUGAAAGCAAGACUCAAGUAUAUGAGUAGAAAGUUGAUUAUGAUAAAUUGGAACUCAUAAAGGUAUGAAUAAAUGUUUUAUAAUACCUGUCGAUGAAUAAUAUUAUGUUAUAUGUAUUAUUAAAAGUAAAUUAUAGUGCUACACGAAAUAUUGUGCUGAUAACUAAAUUAUAAAAUAUACAAAAGUAAUAUAUGAAGUAUAUGAUAAGGAUUAUUAGGGAAUUAUGGAUGAAUAGUGAAUUUUGAAAUAUAUUACAUGUGUUAAAGAUAGAAAAGAUAUAAAUGCACGAAUUAUUGGUACAAGGAUUAAAUUGUAAAGCAUGUAAAAGCAUUAUGCAAAAAGUGUAAAAGUGAUAUGCAUGCUUGAAAUAAUUUGCCCAAGUAGACGAGAUUAGAACUAUUAGGAUAUUAAGGGACUUUAGCGCGUUCUCUGAUUAUUAGCACGUCAGUGCUCUCUGAUUAUUAGCACAUCAGUGCUCUCUGAUUAUUAGCACGUCAGUGCUCUCUGAUUAUUAGCACGUCAGUGCUCUAUGAUUAUUAGCACAUCAGUGCUCUCUGAUUAUUAGCACGUUAGUGCUCUCUAAUUACUAGCACGCUUUAUGAUUAUUAGCACAUUAGUGCUCUCCGUUUAGCACAUCUGUGCUCUCUGUAUAGCACUUUAGUGCUCUCUGUUUAAUAGUGCAUAAUAAUGCACCUCUGUAUCAGUCUCGUAUCCUAAGUGUUCUGUUUCGUUUACUGGGCCUCUGUUAAAAAGGAAAACAAUUUUCAUUACAAGAUAAAAGAUUAUCUCUGAUUCAUGUUUGAAAAAUUGAAUAUAAAAAAAAAGAAAAGAAGAAGAAGAAAAGAAAAGUAUAGGUGGAUAGUAACAAGAAAACGUACUAUUCGGGAAAUAAGAAGAGAUAAAAUGACGUUAAUGUUUGAUGAUAGAAAAAGGUUUACAAGGAAAAGAGAUAGUGAAAAGAGGAGGAUUCAGAAAAGAUUUUAAGACCAAAUGAUGAACGAUUAUAAAGGAAAAUAAAUUACAAAGUUGUGAAUAGAUAAGCAUGUGUAAUAAAAUAAUUUAAAGUUGUGAAUAAGUAAAUGUUAUUUAGUUCUGUAUAGAGAUAUAAAAGACUAAUUCUUAGGGAUAAGAAUGAAAAGAUACAUUAAGAGUAAAAGGAGUGUUCUUUAGAAAUUUAAAAUUAUGGAAUAAUAAUAAGAUCUAUGAUAUGAGUGAGAAGUGAAGAAAUUUAUGGGUUACUAACUAGUUUAAUAUAAAGAUUUGAAAGAUAAAUGGGAAUUUCAGAAUCAAAAUUUGAGGGGUAAUUAAUUGAAAAGUUAAAUCGAAUGAAAUGAAUUAGUUGAGCUAUUGAGAAGAAACAUGAUAAUGUAAUAUUUUCCGGCUCUAAUGAAAUUGUUUUGUUAAAAUAGAGAUGACUUCUAACCGAGCUAUUUUCAAUAAUACUGAAAAUUUAUAUUGAGGUGAUUGAAAUGUGUUAUUGAUGAAACGAAAUUUAGAAAGGUAUGAAUAGAAGUUCGUAAUAAGUAUGUGUUAAUAUACGAAAUGAGAUAACCAUGAGUUGAGAAAUGUGAAAACGUAGAAUAAAAUGAAAGUUUAUAUAGUGAUAAGCUCAUCCGUGUUUGCUUGGCGUGCAUAUGAUGUUAUGCGCUCAACAUAUUUGAUUAAGUAAAUAUGGUAAGCAAAUAUACACAAAUAGAUGGAAUGUGUAUUUAUGUACACUUGCUUGAAUAAGUGUAAUCAGUAUAUUUAUAUGAUAAAAUCUUAUGUUUAAUUGUUAAAUUAGAAAUAAUAUGAUGUUUUGUUUAUGUCUUUAUUAUUGAACUAUAAAUAUUAUAAUAGCAUGAAAAUUGAAUUGGAAGAUCCAAUUGAGUAGAACGCAGGAAUGAGUUCUUUCGUUCAGCGAUAUGCAAUGAAUUGACGGAAAAGACCAUGGUUGGACCAUGGCAACAUGUGAUAUGUAAUUUCCGUAUAAGACCAUAGCUGGGCUAUGGCAUCAGUGUGAUAUGUGCUACUGUGUAAGACCAUAGCUGGGCUAUGGCAUCAGUAUGUGUUUGUGAUUAAGUGUAAGACCAUAGUUGGACUAUGACAUCGAGAAAAUGAAGUACUCAAUUCCGUAAGACGUUCUCUAAUUUGACAAAUGUCGGUAAGUAAAAUGGAAGCCAAGUAUUGGAAUUUAAUUAGAUAUUAAUAUUGAGCUCGAGUAAGUAAAUCCAUAGCGUAAUACAUUUGUUAUUUUGCUUAGAAUGAACUAUAUGGCUAUGAUGGUAUUUUAUUAAUGAUGAAUGCUAAGUCAUAUAUAUAUGUAUUUAUGAGAGUAAGUUAGAGGCUGUACAACCUCACCAUCACCCCCUUAUCAGUAUUGCUUUAUGACGGAAUUUUUUUACGAGAAUCAUGUUGAAUAAGCUCAUAAAUGUGAACUAAAAGAGUUCAGUGGUCAAAUAAUUAGUAAUGCAAACAGAGUUGAGUAUAGUGUAACAAAUGAACUCAAUUUUAAAAGAAAUAACGAUUGUUUUAAAAAUUAUACGGAUUAUGUAACGUCACGAUUAAAGAAGAAGUUAAAUUUGAUGAGACAAAAUAUUCAGGUAUGAUACCUAAAGAAUGUAUGUAUUAAUUGAAAGUUUUUCUGAAUUGAUUUUUGUUAGUGAAUAGAAUAAUAUAAGGUUUGUGAUAACAGAAUUAGUUAGAGAAAUGGUAAUUAAGUGCUAAAGAUGCCUGUGUGUGACGAUUACAAUCGAAAUGAACACGAUGAUCUUUUAUGGAUAUUCUAUAUAUUCUUUUAUCCUCAGAGAUAUGUGUAUAAUUGUUCAGUUCUAAUAGAGUUCUUAUGUUGUGAGAAUGUCAGCUAACUAUGAUGUUAGACGAAAGUCCUAUUGGUCUAGUUGGUUUAUGACCGGUUAUUGUUCUGUUUUGCAUGCAAAUUAGAAAGUAUAUUGUUUUGCUACGAUGAAAUUCUAGAGCUGAAAUAUGGUGAUUCUUGUAUCUAGACUUUACUGAUUUUUGUGUAAGGAAUUGUUAUCAGCAAUGGUAUAAAUAAUGAGAGCAUAAGCUCAAAAUUGUAUGAUGGAAUUUUUCCUCAUGUAAAUUUGAAUAAAGUUAAUGAGUUCAAUCAGAAUAUAUGAUUCCUUGAACUAAUACGGUUUAAAGGAUCUCUGAUUCGCAUGCUAAAAAAAAUGUUAAAGAUUGUGUGUUUGAGCUGUAUCAGCAUGAAGAAAAGAGUAUUUUGAUAUGUUAGUGUUUGAUAAUUGAAAUCAACUCAGUUGUUUUAUUAAAGUGAACUGAAUUAUCGAGAUGUGAUUUGAGUUAUAUGUAUUUAAGCAUGUCCUCAGCUAAGAGAAUAAAUCAUGUGUAUUCACGAGUAUGAAGACAGAUAGUCGGAAUGAAAAAUCUAUAUUUCAGAAAGUAUGAUAUAGAGAUAUAUUUAUUGAAAAGAUAUAUACGAGAUUAAAUUGAUUAGUGACUCUAGAAAGUUAGUGAAAGUGUUUCAUGAGAGUUGGAACUUCUUCUGGUAAGAUUUUCGGGGACGAAAAUCCCUAAAGGGGGGAGAGUUGUAACAAUCCGAUUUUGGGUCUAGUCAGAACAAUGGUUUCGGGAUCACAAAUCCGACGAGGAAAAAUAUAAUGGCCUGAAUUUUCAAGGGUGUCGGAACGGUGAUUCGAGAUCACUAAAUCCGACAAAUGAGUAGAAAAUAUUAUUAAUUUAGUGAGUAUAGGUUAACUAUGAAGUUAAGAAAAUUUUUGAAAUAGUGAAUAGUGCACUAGAAAUAAAUAUUAAAAUAAUUAGAAUAAAAAACGAGGUAUCGAGACCUCAGAGAUUUUAAACUGAGCCAUAAAUAUUUUUAUAAAUAUUUAUGGAGUGUUAAAAGUUAGUAUUAAAGUUUCGUUAAGAAAUUUUAAAGUUUCGAUAAUUAAUUGAACAAAAAGGACUAAAUUGUAACAAAUGAAAAUUUAUGGGAAAUGAUUAAAUAGCUUAAAUGAUUAAAGGAAGAGCGCUUAAAAGGCAAAUAGACUCAAUUUCUAUUUGGGCUGGACGGCAAAGGCAUGAAAUCAGCAAGAAAGUAAGGAGAAUUAAGGGCAAAAUUAGAAUAUUGCAAAAUUACUUAAUCAAGCUAGGAUCAAAGUGGAAUUAUCUAGAUUUCUCUUUAUUUUUCUGCAUUCUCAUCAGCUAAAACACCAUAGAAGGGUUUCCUUAAGCUGGUUUUUCAUAUCUUUACUGCAAGUAAGUUCAAUUCUUGAUUAUUUCUUGACAUUUUUGUGUUUUUGUGACUUUUACAACUAGGGCCACUUGUUGAAUUCAUUAGUUUUUGAUUCUAUGAAAGAAGUUGAAAGUUGCUAUGAAUAUGUGCUGGAAGUAUAUGAUGAUUUAGCAUGGAAUUAGAGCUUUAAAUUGUUUAUAUGCUGAUUUUAUUGAAAGAAUUGAAUAGAAAGUGAAUGUUUAGGACCUAAGAGUAAAAGAGUUUGAAGUUAGGGUUUUAUGAGGAAAUUCUAAGUUUCAAUAGUUAUGAAUAACUUAUAAUGUGUAGGUAAAGUACUAAUUGAGAAAAAUUAGCUUAAUUGAGGGGUUAAUUAAGCAAGGACUGAAUUGUAUGAACUGUGAAAUUUGGGGCAAAUUGGAAAUCAACAUUUUGCACUAAAACAGUUUUGGACAGCAGCAAUAGUUUAACUUUGAAAAAUCACCAAAAAUUGUGGGAAUCGAAUUAUAGAAUUAAUAAAAUAUGAAAUUAAAUCUUAUUGAGUCUAAUUUCUCAUAGAAGAAACGGUGUAAAUAAUGAAAUUGUAAAUUAUGAGAUAUAAUAAAUUUUGUGAGACAAUGUCAGAAUGAUUUCGGGUUCCCCUGUUUUGACUUUGGAAAAUCAUAAAAAAAUUGAAUAAAAAUAAUUAUGGGCUUAAAUUUAUAUAUUUAAAAUCAUGAAUGACUCUAUUUUUAAUAGAAAUAAACAGAAACAUCAUCUGAAUCCCGUACGAGAAGAUAAUUAAUUUUUAGUGAAGAAGGGUCAGAACUAUCUAACAGUCAAAUAGGGGAGACUUUAAAGAAUAAACUGUACUUAUUGGAAAAGUAAAAAUUUCUAAAAAAAUUAUGGUAAAAAGAUAUAUGAGUCUAGUUUCUGCUAAAAUUAACAGAUCUUAAUUUGGAGUUUCUUAGCUCGAGAUAUAAAUAAUUUAGUGACUCUAACUAGGAUAGACAAUUUUAAAUUUACUUAUAAGUAAAUAGUGAAAAUAUUGUUAAUGUUAUUUAAGUGUGUUAUAUACAUUACGAAUGUGGAAUGGAGAGGAGGAGGAGCAGGAAAAUUGGAAAAUAUAUGAAUGACUUGUUUAUAAAUCGGUCAUAUAUUCGAUCAUAAUCGAAAAAUGUUGAAUUAGAAAUGAUGUAAUGAUUUAUUUCAAAUAGUUACUAUGAGAUUGAUGAUGAUCUGAUUUUAGCUAAAUUAAAAGCUAAAACGAUGUUUUCAUUACAAAAUUAAGAAUUUCAUAAAUGUGUUAAUGAAUGACAUAAUCGAUAAAAGUUGAGUUAAAUGGUAAAUACAUAUUAGUAUUGAACUUAAUGAUAUUGAAUUGUAUAAGAAGUAAAUGGAAAAUUCUAUUGCUAGUGAUAUGAUUUGAAUUAAAAGAAUUAUUAUGAUAUUGAAAUGUAUAUUAGAUUGAGAAAUUUAUUUGAAUUGUGAACAUGAGAAAUUAUGAAUUGAAUGAAAUGGAAAUGAAGCAUUGAAUUGUUAAGACUUGUGAAUUGCAUGAAUAUAAAUCGAAUUUUGUAGGCCCUAUUUAUUAUGAAUAUAAUAUUUAGAGAAUAUAUUGUGAAUAAUUAUAAAAGCAUGUUAAAAAUUUGAAAGUUUUAAUUUAGAUGAAAUUUUAAAAUAAGGUUAAAUACGUUUACAAGUGUAUGUGUUCUGGAAAUGUCUCGCACCCUAUUCCGGCGACGGAUACGGGUAAGGGGUGUUACAUACUCCACUACUGCUCAGGGAGAUAAGGUUGGUGUUUUCGAUCUACUUCACUGCCUGUACAGGAAGACAAGAUCUAAAAUCUUCAACCUACUUCACUACUGCUCAGGGAGAUAAGGCUGGUGUUUUCGAUCUGAUUCACUGCCAGUACAGGAAGACAAGAUCUACAAUCUUCAACCUACUCCACUGCUGCUUAGGGAGAUAAGACUGAUGUUUUUGAUCUGCUUCACUGCAGUAUAGGAAGAUAAGAUCUACAAUCUUCAACCUACUCCUCUACUGCUCAGGGAGAUAAGGCUAGUGUUUUUUUUCUGCUUUAUUGCCAGUACAGGAAGACAAGAUCUACAAUCUUCUUCAAUCUAUUCACCUAAAACUUCAGUGGUAUAGGGUUUGUGGUUUCACCGAUCUGUUCUGGGGAACAUAACCUGUGGAAUCCAUUUCAUGGGCCUAUUUAUGCCUAGUGAUUAGAAUAUUAUGAUCGGAAUGAGUCAAAAUCUCCUAACUAAAUGUGCAUGCAUGAAUACAAAAUGUCAUGAAAAUGAUCCCUCAAUAUUUGAAUUGUUAUUGCUCAUUGUUCAAUAAGGCUUUAUUGCCAACACGUCAGAAUGCUAUCUUGUCCGGUUGGUAAUGCUCAUAUCUUACUUAAUCGGAUUGCCCCCCACUGUAAUCUUCAAGGUUCAAUCCACUGUAAUUUUGGGACAUAAAAUUUGAACCAUCUUCUUCUCACUAUAAUUUAGGAGUAUAAAAUCUGACUCUCUCAAUCCUCUCCUAUUGCAAUCCAAGGAUACAGGAUCUGAAUCUCUUUGGCUGGUGUCGUGCCAAAUGUUUAUGCACAAUUGUAAAAUUUUCUUCUCCGAGAAAACCUCUUCUUAUCACUUCGGUGAUCAUUGCUUGUUUGUGCAUUGAAGCUUUGUCACCAACAUGACAUCUUGUCAUUUUGUUCAAUCAAUGUUUAGAUAACAAAAUCUGAAAGGAUAGUCUUAAUUUAGACUUUUCCUUCUUAGACAUUUCAACCUUUAAACUUGGUGUGUUCUAAACAAUAGUCCUGUUUCAGAUUCCUAUAUUAUUUAGAAACUUCUAGAGUAAUAUGCAAAACUUCCCUUGUGAAAGUAUUAUUAGUCCAUUAAUCAUUAUUCCAAUACAACAUGCUUGCAAAAGAUCAUAACGAUGGAUAAAAUAGGAUUGAUUUAGGAGCAUGACUCGAAAUGGAUAAAUUAUCAAAGAGAGUAAGAAUAACAAAGGAAAUGAUUGAGAACACAUAUCUUGAAAGAGAAUGAAGUAUUCCAAGAACGGAAAAUUCAAUAUAAUUAGUAUGAAGACUAGGUGCCCCAGAUAUCGCAGCUUGAACUUCUCUGUACAAACUUUCUGAAGGCCAUUCUAAGUUUAACAUGUGUUUAGGAGAUCUACAGUACUUUGUCGAUGCCCAAAGAUGUCGCAUACCCUUUCCUGUUGAUUCAGGUAUAGCAAGAUCACCACAUGCCCCAAUCUGAUCAAAAUUUGAGCUGCUCUGAUCACCUCAUGUCCCAUUCUGAUCAAAAUUUGAGCUGCCCUUUUCGGGUUUUCAACUCAAAUCCCUUUUGGUCUUAAGGAGCCCUUUGCGGGUUUUCACAUUGGCCUCUCCUUUUUCUUUUUCCUUUCUUUUCUUCUUCUUCUUUUUUGAAAUAUAUUUUUUAUUGAAUCUAAACUCAUAGGAUUAGGCAUGUCCUUGUUAUCACUUCCGAUCAAAAUCAACGUUUUUCCAGAUAAGGCCUUCCACAUAAGGUCCUUCCCAAUGCAUCCACUUUCUUAUGAAGUUCUUUUUUAUAUGGGAAUGAUCUUCUUCAAUACCAGGUCCCUCUCAUGGAAUCCUUUAGGGUGAACCUUUUUUUUGUGAGCUUGCGUCAUUUGAUUUUGACACAUUUGACUAUGAUGGAUAACUUUGAACAUUCCUCUUCAAUCGGGAUUAGAUUCAAAAAAACUCAGAGAGAAAGAAUCUUGUCUUCAAUAGGUAAAAUCGCGAUAAGCCCAAGAGAAAGGCGUUGCCCUGGCAAAGGUUUUUUUUUGCCUCCACUACACUGUUCACUUUGGGACGACAUGGCGUUAAUCUUGAACAGACUACAAACUUUUGAUAUUAUACUGUCGUUCAAAUUUAGUGGAUUGUCAGAUAUGAUCCUUUUUGGCAUUCCAUACCGACGUAUGAUUUUUUUCAAGAAUUUACUGACUGUCGAAUUUGUGACAUUGGCAUAUGAAGCGGCUUCUACCCACGAAGAUGAAUCGAUGACCUCCGAAAUCUUUUGGCGAGAUCGGCCUAAUGACCUCCAUGUCCCACAUAGGGAGAAGCCAUGGAUUCCAUUGAUUCUUUGUAAGGUAGGAUCUGUUUUCCAUCUUGUUCUACCAUCCUCAGUAAGUUCGGAGAUAGGCUACAAUCUAUGUCAUUUUCAAAGUCAUGAGAUCCCUCUAAACACAUGUCUCGCUCAAAAGGAGAUUUUGAGUCUGUAGCGGCGUCACUCAUGUCGUUGAUAUUCAGGGACCUAUUGUAGGUGCAAAAUAAUGUAUGAAUGUACAGUAUGGCUAUGAAUGACUGAAAGAAUGAUUUGGAAGAAAAUCCAAAAGAAUGAAAGAAUAAAAAAUGAUUAUUCAUAAAGGAUGAAAGAAUAUUGGCUUAAAAAAUGAUCACAAAGAUGUAUUAAAAUAAUGACGUUCAGACAUGAGUCUAUUUUACAAAGGAGUUCUUAUUGCUUCUAGGCUAAAAGCAACAAGUGUGUUCUGAAUAUUACUCUAAGUAAGCUCUAAAUACUACAAAAAUUUCUUCUGCAAUCCGAUUAUUUAGAACACUCCCAAGUUUAUAAGGGUGGAUAUCUAACAAGGUCCUCUUUCAGUUGUCUUCAUGUAUGGCAUUGAUGUGAAUGUUUUUUUUUACCCCUUCACAGAACUCUAUUUUGUUGGAUCUUAGCUAACCGCUCUUGUAUUUGCAACUAUAGUUGGUCUUGCCUCCCCCUUUGGAGUUGUUCAAGUUUUUCCAAUCUUUGGUCCAUGUCUUCUAUUUUUGCUUGGGUACCGUAAGGGUGUUGGUUUUUCCAGAUUAGCUCUGAAAUAAUUUUACUCAAUUAGGCUAUUUUGGUAGAUUUUAAUGCAUACGAUGUCAUGUAAUGCAAAUGCAUGAAAUGAAUGCAAAAAGAGACGUUGAUUCUGGUUCCAUUCCAUUAGAAUAACUUUACUAGAAAACAAAUCUCUUUACAUAAAGCGAAUAUAUAUACGGCUUUGCCCUCAUAUUCCAAGCGAAAACAAUGAUCCCUUUCUUCAUCCGAAUGUUAGGAUAAAUCUCGCGAAUUUUCCAAUGGAUGCCUCCACUAGCUCUUUUUUGCUUGAUCCGGGCCGCGACUCAUUGUUCACUCAUCCUCGUGAUCCUCACUAGCUUCUUUAAAAAGGUCGAGACGUUGACGACUCUCGAAUGGUCUUUGUCGACUUGAAUCCUCGGGCAACGAAGCAAAGUCGUAUAGUCCUCCAUUGGACUAUCAUCCUUCUCUUGUUGUGUUUUCUUGGAUCAUAUUCAGACAACAGCAUUAUUUUCUACUUUAUCAAGAAAUUCGUUUCCCAUGACAAGCUUUCUAUUUAGCAAUCGAACAUGAAUCAACACCUCUUGUUUAUGAUGAAAAUGCAAUGUAAUCAUAACCAAAACAAAACAUGUUAGUACAAGGUAAAAGUAAGCAAGAAAAAUAAAGUACCUAUUCAGGUGACCACUAGGGGUUUGGUAUGGUUCUACCUAAGGCGGGCUCUUAAGGCUCACUAUAUGCGGUUUGCUUCUAAAGUAAAGGUACCCGAACCGGCAGAUUCCUCGAUCCUCACCCAUUAUAGGCUCAUACGGACCAAGUUCAAUUCAGGGGGAUACAUGUCCCUAUGGCUGCACGAAGAUGAAAAUCUCACGAAGAUAGAAAUACGGAUGUAUCCCGAAAGUGAUUCACUAUCCCAUGCAAAGGUGAAAACCUCACAAAGGCGUAGUUUCUCACUCCCACUUAGAAGGGUAUGACUGAGUGGUCAUGCAAUGCAAUGUGCAGAAAUAUAUCCAAACUUAAACUAACACAACAAUGAUAAACCACAAUGAUAAAUAUCGAAAUAAAGACGAAUAAAAUGCAACGAAAGGAUCGUACAUUUAAACCAAGUUUUGAAUUUUAGAAAAAAAGACAAAAAGUAAUCAACUCGUGGCUUGACUCACUUAUUUUGGAUCCCCGGCGUAGUCGCCAAGCUGUCGAAACUAUUUUUUUUUUGGUAAAAUGGGGUCGACUUGGAAUUUAAAAAUGAAAACGAAUAUGGGAGUCACCACCAAUCUUUUUUGAUAAGGUGUGAUCGGGCCAUCUCAAAAAGUGGUUAUUUUUAAUAAACAAUUUGAUUUAUUUAAAACAAUGAUUUUGGUUCGUGAAAUAAAAAAAAAUGGGUUCGGGAGUCGGUUAUGUACGAGGAAGGAUUAGCACCCUCAUAACACCCAAAAUUGGUACCUAGUUGAUUAAUUAAUGUCUUAGUGUCGAAGAUUGAAAACCUUAAAGAGAUUUAAAAUACGAUCCUUUAUUGAAAUGCUAAAAAUUUCGAGAAAAAAGGGGCAUAUUUCACGUUAAUCGAGAAAGAAAAUUAUAUCUCGUAAGUUAGGACACAAUAUCUUAAAUUCCCGAUACGAGAAUAAAUCCCGAAAGAUUUAUUUAUUUGAAAGAUAUUCGAUUCGAUUAUCUCGGGUUUGGAAAAGAAAUCAUGUCCCGUAAGUUAGAACACGAUCUUUUAUUAAUUCUCGAGAGUGCUUAAAAAACUUAUUUUUGAAAAGAUUCGUGUAUUUGGAUUUAUCGAGAAGAUCGAAACCCCGUAAGUUAAGGCACGACCUUUUCAAAUCUCAAAAUAUGUAAUUUUACUUGUUUUAAAGUCAUGAUUUAUGCAUCAAAAAAAUCAAUCUAACACGAAAUGGUAGAAAUAAAAUACGGUGUUAAUAUGCGUAACAAAACAAUAAUGAAUACGAUGAUGUAAGCAUAAAUAAUACAAGCAACAACAACAAAAAAUAAGAUAAAUAAAUUAAAAAAAGGACAAAUCAAUUAUAUAAAAUAAUAAGUAAAUAAACAAAUAGAACUAAAACAUUUUUAAAAUAAUAAUGGACACAUAAAUAAAUAAAUAAAUAUAAAGUAAAACAAUAGUGACAAUAAUAAAAUUAUAAAAAUAAAAAAUCUAUGUAUAUAUAUAACAAAGUUUGAAAAAAGAAAAAAAGAUAUAAAUAAGUAAAUAAUAAAAAUAAUAAUAUUAAUAAUAGAAUAGCAAAUAAUCUAAAGUUUAAAAAAAAUACAAAAGAUACAAGUAAUUACAUAAUAAGAACGUAUAAUAAGACAAAUAUAUUCAAAAUUUAGAUAAGUAAAUAUAAAUAGAAAUAUAAUAAUAAUAAUCAUAUUUUGAAAGUACAUAAAAUAAUAAUAAAUAAAUAAGUAACAAUAAUAGGGGAAAAAUAAAAAUAAAACAAGCCAAAUAAGAAAAUCGAAUAAAUAAAUAAGCUAAAUUGAUUUAGGGACUUAAUCAUAAUUCAAACCAAAUUUAAAGGAUAAAUUAAAAUAAAGUAAACAAAUAAAAAAAACAAAACGAAAAGUGCGACAACAAACGAGGACCAAAUAAGUAAUUAUUCCGAUUUUCAGACACGCGUCCCUUCUCUACGAAGUCAGUGAACCGAGGACUAAAUUGAAUGCAGAGUGAAAUUAAAGAGUAAAAUCUUUAAAAAUAAAAAUAGUGAAAUUAGGACUGAAUUGAAACAACCCAAAAAAGCGGAAGGGCCAGGAGCGCAAAUAUCCCAUUGGUUGCGAAAACACACGGAUCCUGAAGUGGGUCGGGUCAGCUAUCGGGUUUAAGGCCAAAAUGGCGUCGUUUUGGGAUCUAUGUGCACGGGCCAAAACGACGCUGUUUGGCCUUGCUAUAUAAACAAUUUUUUAAAAAAAAAAUUUAAACAAAAAAAAUUCUCUCAAAACCCUCUCUCCCUCUCCUGGCACCGGCCUAAGGUCCAGUCAUCAGCCACCGUGCCGGCUGCCGGUCGCCGGUGCCAGCACCGCCGUACACGGCGGUCUAGAAACUAAAAAGCUUUCCCUUUUUUCUCCGAUGCAAACCCUCGGCCUCCAAACACUCCAGCUGUAGCGGCCUAAAAAUUUGGAUUGUUGAAAAUUUGAAAACAGAGUUCCGAUUUUAUUUAAAAAAAAAUGGGAGUCGCCACCGAUCUUUUUUCUAGGUGUGAUCGGGCACCUUCAAAAUUCUCUUUUAGAAGAAAAAUCCAUUUUUAAACUUUUCUAAAAAAAGAGGUGAUUUUAGGUCUACGUUAAAAUCCAAAGAAAAUUAGGGUUCGGAAGUCGGUUACGCGCAAGGAAGGUAUUAGCACCCUCGCGACGCCCAAAACUGGUAUCUCGUUAAAUGCGCAUUGUUUUAAUUUUCAAAAAUACAAGUUCAAUUUAAUAGUUAAUCGCGAUCCGAUCAAAAUACAAUUUUUUUUAAAACACGAAGAUUUUUGAAACAAUUUUUUUUGAAAACACGAAAUUUUUUUUUUAAAACACGAGAAUUUUUGGAAAACACGAAAAUUUUUAAAACACGAGAAUUUUUUCUUUUUUUUGUGAAAACUCAAAAUUUUUUUUAAAACUCGAAAUUUUUGACCACGGGAAUUUUUCAAAAAAAAAUUUGUAUUUAACACGAAUCGACAAUAUUCACCCCGACAUGGCGAUGAAAUCGAAGAAUUAGUGUCAAACAGAUUGAAUUUAAUAUUUAAUCGUGAUCUUAUUAAAACACGAGAAUUUUUUUUAACACAAGGAUUUUUGAAUAUUUUCAUUCAUUUUUUUUAAAAAGGGCGUCCCGUAUUUAACACGAGCCAUCGAUAUUCACCCAACAUAGCGAUGAAUUCGAUGACUUAAUGCUAAAUCGGUUCGUUGCCUCAUGCAUCAAAAUUAUUCGAAUUUAAAAAUUAAAAUAAAAUAAAAUUAAAAACAUAAAUACAAAAAUAAAAAUACUUAAAAAUAAGCAAUAAUAUGAAAAAUGAUACAACAUUUAAAUAUUUAGACAAAGUUAAAUUAAAAAUUAAGAAUUUACCAAAACCCAAAGUUAUGGGCUGUUUGGGCCUCUUUUAUUUUUUUGCUGUUGGGCUGCUGUUAUUGGGCUGUCAAAGGACUGGGCCGAAGCUGUUGGGCUGCUGAGUACUGGGCCUGACGCUGGACUGGGCUGGCCUGCUUCUUGUUGGGCUGAAUCUGCUGCUGGAUUGGGCUGCGCUGGGCUUGGUUUGGGCCUGCUUUGUUUUUUCUUCUCUUUUUUUUUUCUACUAUUUUUUUCUGUUUUGUUUUUUUUUGAGCUGCUUUGGGCUGGGUCGGGUCGGGUGGUCGGGUCGAGUUGACCCGACUGUUGAUUUUUCUUUUUCUUUUUUUUCUUUUUUUCUCUCUUUUUCUUCUUCUUUUUCUUUCUCCCUUCUUCUUCUUCCCUUUUCUUUUUUCUUUCUUUCAAACCCAAACCGCCACCGUUGGUGACUCCUUGCUCCGUUCGGAGGUGUAACGGCCGACGUUCCCUCUCGUGCCUUCUACUAUUUUCUUUCUUCCUCCUUUUCUUCUUUUCCUUUUUCUCUUCUCUUUCACUUUUCUCUCCUUCCCUUUCCUCUCUUUUCUUUCUCUUCUAUUUCUUUUCUCGGCAACCCCAAGGUUGAAAGCGCCGCCGCAACGCUCGUCUUUGGCUCUUCUCCUCCCUCGGUGGCUCACGAAGAAGACCAAAAAUUUCUCACUAUUUUUAUCUUUUGCUGCUGUUUUUUUUACUGUCUCUUUCUUGCUUUUUGGUUGCUUGUUGUGUUUGAUUUGUUGUAGGUGCCGGUGGUGGAGCAACACCGGUGGUGGUGACACGAGGGCGGUGAGUGUGGGAUCGGCUAAUGGGAGUGUUUUUUUUUUUUGCUGCUGGAAUUUUCUGCUAUUUUUUGCUUUGGUUGCCAAAAAAUUUCUGAACCCCCCCUUUCUCUUCAAUUUCCUCCUUUUUAAUCCCCCAAUUUUGUCAUUUUCUUCUUGUUUGCAGGUGGCAGAGGAGGGCAUCAUGGCCUAGGGAGGCUGCUGGAGUAGCUCGGCUGGGGAGAGGAAGCACGCUCGGCUGUUGAUUGGGGGGUCUGACAUGCCCAGAAGGACCAAAAUGUAGAAGACGCAAAACAUUUAGGGUAAAAAUAUAAUUUCAGGAAAAUAUAGGGCCAAAAUGUAAUUUCUAGAAAAUUUAGGAGUCAAAGUGAAAUUUUGAGAAAGUUUAGGGGUUGAAAUGUAAUUUAGAAAAGUUUAGGGGUUGAAAUGUAAUUUAGAAAAGUUCAGGGGCCAAAAUGUAAUUUAUAUUUUUUUGUUUUUUUCAUUUUUCAAAAUUUCAUUAUGACUAUUUUAUUAAUAUUUAAAACAAAAAUUAAAUGGGCUAAAACAAUUCCAAAAUUAAAUCUUAAUGGGCCCGAUCAUUGGGCCCAUACGAGAUCGACCCGGCCCAAAAUUUUGACUGGGCAAAAUUCAGUGAUUACAGCUACCCCUCUUUGCUCAUUGCUGUGAAACAAGGAUAGAGCAAAGACUUAAAAACACUGAAUUUUGCUCGAUUGCCCAAAAUUAUUAUAUCUUUUUUUUAUUUUUUUUUACCUGAAACUGAAAAGAGCUUGGUGUGCGAUCCAAAGUUCAACUCACUUCACAAAUUAUGAGUUGACCAUUGAAAAAGAAAAAUUGAAAAACACCUCGGCAUAGGACCCAAUGCUCAACUCUCCUCUCGCAAUAUAAGUUGAUUUUUGAAAAAUAGAAAUUUAAAAUUCCUCAGCAUGCUCCCCGAGGCUCAACUCACUUCUCGCAAUAUGAGUUGAUUUUUGAAAAAGACAGAAAUGGAAAAAUACCUCAGUGUAACCCGAGGCUUAACUCACCUCUCGCAAUAUGAGUUGAUUUAAAAAAAAAACAAAAAUACCUCGGCGUGCGCCCGAGGCUCAACUCACCUCUCGCAAUAUGAGUUGAUUUUUUUAAAAAGACAGAAAUUGAAAAAUACCUCAGUGCGUGACCCGAGGCUCAACUCACUUCUAGCAAUAUGAGUUGAUUUUUGAAAAAGACAAAAAUGGAAAAAUACCUCAGCGUAACCCGAGGCUUAACUCACCUCUCGCAAUAUGAGUUGAUUUUUAAAAAAAAAAACAAAAAUACCUCGGCGUGCGCCCGAGGCUCAACUUACCUCUCGCAAUAUGAGUUGAUUUUUUAAAAAGAGAGAAAUUGAAAAAUACCUCAGUGCGUGACCCGAGGCUCAACUCACUUCUAGCAGUAUGAGUUGAUUUUUUGAAAAACAGAAAUUUAAAAGAAGUACCUCGGCAUGUGACCUGAGGCUCAACUCACCUCUGUAUUAUGAGUUGAUUUUUGAAAAACAAAAAUUUAAAAGAAAUACCUCGGCAUGACCCGAGGCUCAACUCACCUCUGUAUUAUUAGUUGAUUUUUGAAAAACGAAAAUUUAAAAGAAAUACCUCGGCAUGACCCGAGGCUCAACUCACCUCUAUAUUAUGAAUUGAUUUUUGAAAAACAAAAAUUUAAAAGAAAUACCUCGGCAUGACCCGAGGCUCAACUCACCUCUGUAUUAUGAGUUGAUUUUUGAAAAACGAAAAUUUAAAAGAAAUACUUCGGCAUGACCCGAGGCUCAACUCACCUCUGUAUUAUGAGUUGAUUUUUGAAAAACAGAAAUUUAAAAGAAAUACCUCGGCAUGACCCGAGGCUCAACUCACCUCUGUAUUAUGAGUUGAUUUUUGAAAAAACAGAGAUUGAAAAAUAUUUCUUAAAAGAAACAGGGUUUCAAAAAAAACAUCAGGUGAAACUAAAAGCCUUCUUUUUCAUUGAUUCUGUGCAACUUUCUCUCAGUAUUCCCUGCUCUACUAAGAUACCUGUAUAUGUCAUGUAUGAUGUUAUUAUGAUAUGCACAUGUUUGUCCCAAAUGCUUUUGUGUCUACAUGAUCAUGCAAUGCACCCUAGGUUGUUUGUCACAUGCCCCACUUUUGAUUUUCGUGAGGUUCCGCAUUCAUUUCCUCAAUUCCUGACUUUUCUCUCCAGUUUUAUACUCGUCCUCAAGCUCUGUGAGUAAUUCACAUUUCUCCACAUAUCACUCUCUUGCCCCCUGCUGAACAUUGUUCCUGCUUUCGGGCCCUUGUACUUGUCAAAUUCUCAUCCAGGUAAUGUUUAACAUUUCUUUUGUUUAGAGUAUGUCAUCUUACUAUUUAUCAUUUAAAUGAAUCAAACACGAGAUGCAUGGAAAAAAUGGCAAAGUAGGCAUGAAAGAAAAACCUCACAUUCAUUUCAUUUUUAAAAGAAAGCAACAAACAAAGGAAAUUGACAAAGAAAGUUUAACAAAUAAAACGUCAUAAAGAAAAGAAAGCGAAUUCAAUGGCCAGAAAUGCUCUAGAUAUCCAAUGCAUGAACUUCUCCACGUUUCUUUGUCCUGGAUCCAUUCAAGCACGGUUUCUUGUGUAGAAGGUUUCGAGCUUCUGAGAAUGCUUCAAAUAUUGCAACUUCGUCAUUCAACUCACUGUUCAAGUCAUCUUGCACCUUAAGUUCGAGCUCACUUCAUUAGGACGCCCUUUUGGGUUUUCAUCCUAAUCCUUUUGUUUAUCAAGACGCCCUUUUUCGGGUUUUCAUCUUGAUUUUCUUCUUCUUUUUUUUUACUUUUUUGCUUUUUUGUUGUUUUUUUUUCUUUUUUUUUCUUUUUUUUUAGGAAUAAUAUUUCUUCACAGCAUCUGAGUUCACUGGAUUAGGUAAUUCUUUCCCGUCCAUCUCAGUGAGAAUCAGAGCCCCUCCUGAGAAUGCCCUCUUUACAACGUAUGGUCCUUCCCAAUUUGGUGACCAUUUUCCUCGAAAGUCCUUCUGUAUCGGGAGAAUCUUUCUCAGUACGAGCUCUCAUUCGUGAAAUUCUCUUGGCCGCACCUUUUUAUCAUGGGCCGUAAUCAUUCUCUUCUAGUACAUCUGUCGAUGACAAAUUGCCUUCAAGUGUUUCCCGUCAAUAAGGUUUAGCUGAUCAUAUCGAGCUCGAACCCACUCUGAUUCCUCUAACCUUGUCUCCAUCAAGACGCGCAGGGAUGGGAUCUCUACUUCGAUAGGCAGAACGGCUUCCAUUCUAUAGACCAGAGAAAAAGGAGUUGCCCCCGUAGACGUCCGUACCGAGGUGCGAUAUGCGUACAAAGCGAAUGGUAGCUUAUUGUGCCAGUAUUUAUAUGUCUCAGUCAUCUUCCCAAUAAUCCUCUUAAUGUUCUUAUUAGCGGCUUCUACUACUCCGUUCAUCUUUGGGCGAUAGGGCGAAGAAUUAUGAUGUUUUAUCUGGAAUUGCUCACAUACUUCUUUCAUCAUCUUGUUGUUCAAAUUUAAAGCAUUAUCCGAAAUGAUUCUUUCAGGCAGACCAUAUCGACAUAUAAUCUCCUUUUUUAAGAACCUACAGACUGCAGCCUUUGUCACAUUAGCAAAUGAAGUGGCUUCUACCCAUUUUGUAAAGUAGUCUAUAACCACAAAGAUGAAUCGAUGCCCAUUGGAAGCCUUCGGGGAAAUUGGCCCUAUAACAUCCAUGCCCCACAUAGAAAAAGGCCACGGAGAAGUCAUGACAUGAAGGGGCGACGGAGCUGCAUGAAUUUUGUCACCAUAAAUUUGACAUUUGUGGCACUUUCGUGCGUAACCAAUGCAAUCCCUUUCCAUCGUCAGCCAAUAAUAACCAAGUCCCAUAAUCUGCCUGGCCAUGGUGAAACCACUGGCAUGUGUUCCACAAAUUCCUUCAUGAACCUCUUCAAGUAUCUUUCUAGCUUCAACAGCGUCCACGCACCUCAGGAGCACUUGAUCUUUUCCCCUUUUGUAUAGAAUAUCCCCGUCAAGAACAAAUCCAAUCGCCAUUCUCCUGAUUGUUCUUUUGUCAUUGUCGUUUGCUUGCUCUGGGUACCUUUGAUUCUUGAUAUACUCCAAGAUAUCAUGGAACCAUGGUCGUCCAUCUGACUCCUCCUCAAUACUAAAGCAGUGUGCGGGGGUCUCAUAUAUACUCAUUUGGAUGGGCAUUAUCUCAGUUUCUCUGUUUGCCUUGAACAUCGAAGCCAAGGUGGCUAGGGCAUCAGCCAGUUGGUUCUCCUCUCGUGGAAAGUAGUUAAAAGUCACUUUAUAGAACUCAUUGAUCAGCUCUGCAACGAGAUCAUGAUAUUUGACUAAUUUUGGAUCUCUCACUUCCCAAUCUCCACGAAUUUGAUAAAUGACUAAUGCCGAGUCCCCGUGUACCUCUAAAAUUUUGAUUUUUCUCUUGAUAGCUGCACGAAGUCCCAUGAUGCAAGCCUCAUAUUCCGCUAUAUUAUUUGUACAGAAGAAAUUCAAUCUAGCAGUAAGCGAGUAAUGGUCCCCUUUAGGUGACACUAAGACUGCUCCUAUCCCAUGCCCCAAUGCAUUUGAUACACCAUCAAAGCUCAUCUUCCAUGACUUUCCUUUUGAUGACUCGUCCUCUUUUUCUGAAAUGCACAUCAAAUCUUCAUCUGGGAACUCAAAUCUCAAAGGCUCGUAUUCCUCCGUUGUUCGACUUGCCAAGAAGUCAGCUAUUGCGCUUCCUUUUAUCGACUUUUGGCUCAUAUAUACAAUGUCAUACUCAGUCAAUAGGAUCUGCCAUCGGGCCAUUCUCCCUGAGAGUGCAGGUGACUCUAUCAUGUACUUUAUUGGGUCCAGUUUUGAAAUUAACCAUGUCGUGUGAUACAGCAUGUAUUGCCUGAGCCUUCGAACUGUCCAAAUCAAUGCACAACAAAACUUCUCAAUUGAAGGGUACUUUGCCUCAUAUUCUGUGAACUUCUUGCUGAGGUAAUAAAUUGCCUUCUCUUUUUUCCCCGACUCAUCAUGUUGUCCCAGUACGCAACCCAUUGAGUUCUCAAACACGGUCAGGUACAAUAUUAAGGGUUUUCCAGGGGUUGGCGGUACUAGCACAGGAGGAUUAGAUAGAUACUGUUUUAUCUUGUCGAAGGCCACUUGGCACUCCUCAUUCCAUUCUCCCGGAUUACGUUUUCGAAGGAGUCGAAAAAUUGGGUCACACUGAUUGGCAAGUUGAGCAAUGAAUCGAGCAAUGCAAUUCAACCUUCCUAAAAAACCUCUGACUUCCUUUUGUGUACGCGGGGGAGGCAAUUCUUGUAUAGCUUUUAUCUUGUCUGGAUCAACCUCGAUACCUCUCUCACUGACAAUGAAACCUAGCAAUUUUCUAAAGGUAGCCCCAAACGUACAUUUGGCCGGGUUAAGCUUCAACUGGAACUUUCUUAAUCUUUCAAACAGCUUCCUAAGACUCCCAACAUGCUCUCUUUCUUCCCGAGAUUUGGCAAUCAUAUCAUCGACAUAAACUUCUAUUUCUUUGUGCAUCAUAUCAUGGAACAACGUCACCAUGGCUCUCUGAUAUGUUGCCCCAGCAUUCUUUAAUCCGAAUGGCAUUACCUUAUAGCAGAAGGUUCCCCACAUUGUUAUGAAUAUAGUUUUCUCCAUGUCCUCAGGAGCCAUCUUUAUCUGGUUAUAACCUGAGAAGCCAUUCAUGAAUGAAAACAGAGUAUGCUUUGCCGUAUUAUCCACCAAAGUGUCGAUGUGUGGUAAAGGAAAGUUAUCCUUAGGGCUUGCUUGAUUCAGAUCACGAUAAUCUACGCACAUUCACACCUUGCCAUCUUUCUUCGGCACUGGGACUAUAUUAGCUACCCAUUCUGGAUACUUUGAGACUUGUAGGAAGCCAGUGUCAAAUUGUUUCUUGACUUCUUCUUUUAUCUUUAACAGCAUUUCGGGUCUCAUUCUUCUUAAUUUCUGCUGAACAGGUUUGCAUUCUGGUUUUAGUGGGAGCUUGUGGACCACAACAUCUGUGUUCAAUCCUGGCAUAUCCUGAUAAGACCAGGCAAACACAUCCUUGUACUCAUGGAGCAAGGCGAUCAAAUCUUGCCUUGUGUUUUCUGAAAUGGAAGUCCCAAUCUUCACUUCUUGUUUCUUUUCUUCAUUCCCCAAAGUUCACUACCUCAACAAAUUCUUGAUGGGGUAGGAUCUGUUUCUCCUAUUAUUCCACCAUUCUUAGUAAAUCAGGAGACGAGACACAAUCUUCAGCAUUUUCGUCAGUUUCAAAUUCUCCUAAACAAACAACCCUCUCGAAAUCGAUUUCAGGAUUCAUAACGGGAUUAUUCAUGCCAUUGAUAUCUGAGCACCUGAAAGGUGAAUGGAAAAAAGCUAUAGAAGAGCAUUGAGGUAUUGGAAUCAACACACGAUGAUAUGAGAUGAUAUGAGAUAUAUGCUGGAAAAAGAAAUGAAUAGAAGGAGUAGUCGUGAGGUUAAUGGAAAUGAAAAGAACAUGAUAAUAUAAAACAAAAUGCAUCUUCAUUAAUGAUCAUUGAAAUGAUAAAGAGCAAACAUAAGCUCUUACAAAAGGAACCCUACUGUUUAAGGACACACAAAAUGAAGGGUUAACAUUGAGCAUUACUCUGAAGGGGACUUAAAAACUACAAGGAGGUCCACAGCAGUCCUGUUGUUCAAAACAUAUCCUGGAGGACAAGGGCGUAUCAUUGAAGCAUUCUUAAUUUCAUCAUUCUCAUUGUCAAUAGCAUUUAGGCUGAUAUUCUGAAGACCCCUUUCAAUCAAUAACGUGGCUUACGAAUUAUUCUGCCCUAGGUACAUCACUCCUGCUGAUGUAAAUGUUCUUGACAAAGGAGGAUACACUAACAGUUCCCAUUCUAAAUCCUGGCCUGAAGCUCUUGCGAUUCUUCUUUCUCGAUCUUUCUGUACUUUUUUUCUUCUUUGAUGUAUAUCUGGCUUGAACCCUAAAUCGUACCGACCUUUGUGGUGCGUUGGUUUCAAGGCUCUAACCAUCCCUUAUUGAUAUUUUCCCAAACCUUUCCUCGCUCGAGCUCCUUUUCCCAUAGUCAGCUUAAUUCCCAUUUUGGUAUUCCUCGACAGUUUGGGAAUGGGGAUCUUAUUCCCUUCAGCAACAAAUGCCGCGUUAAUAAAUUCCAAGGAGCGAAAAGAACAUUCUACAGCAUCUUCGCUUACUUCGAUGUAGGGUGUAUCAAUAGAGAUCGAUGCAACGAUGUCUUCUUCACCAUCGACAAUAAUCAAGCGGCUGUCCAUGAUGAACUUUACUUUUUGAUGGAGAGACGAUGGAACCGCCCCAGCAGAAUGGAUCCAAGGUCUUCCUAAGAGGCAAUUGUAUGAAGGCGUGAUGUCCAUGACCUGGAACUCGAUAUCAUAUACACAUGGCCCCACUUUUAAAGGAAUUUCAAUCUUUCCCAUGACUUCUCGCCGUGUCCCAUCAAAUGCCCUUACUACAGAAUGACAAUGCCUCAGAUAGGACAUAUCAACCGGCAUCCUAAAAAGCGUGGUCAAAGGCAUAACAUUGAGUGCAGAUCCAUUGUCGAUGAGCACAUUUGGUAAUAUGUAACCUUUGCAAUUGGUUGUGAUGUACAAUGCUUUUACGGAGCCCCUACCAUUUGGCGGUAUUUCGUCAUCACUAAAAGAGAUGAAAUUAUCUGCAUUCAGAUUGUUUGCCCACCUAUCAAGUUUUUCCACAGAUACAUUGUUCGCCACAUAAGCUUGAUUUAACACUUUUAGCAAAGCAUUUCGAUGUGGCUCUGAGUUUAACAAUAGAGACAGUACCGAGAUUCGGGCUGGCUGCUUGUUUAAUUGUUCUACAACGCUAUAUUCACUGUGCUUGAUAAACUUUAAGAACUCAUGUGCUUCCUCCUCAUUCACAGCCUUUUUAACUUCUUGCUCAAGUUGUGUUUCAACAUCAUCCUCAACCUCAUACAUUGGUGCUUUUCCUUUUUGGCUCGGGCCAACAACCUUCUUCUUUGGUUCAACUAUCUCGGGAGAAUAACACCUUCCGCUGCGAGUAAAAUGUCCUACUCCGCUAACAUCUUCAUUCAUAACUUUUGACUUUUCACCUUCAGGCGCAACAAUAUUGACAUCAUACUUCCACGGCACUGCCUUAUUGUCCUUGUAAGAGAAAGGAGCAGGUACUUCGAUUAUCAAACUUGGUUUCACUUCUCGACUAACCUCUUCCUUCUUCGCCUCGUAAUAAAUCACCAAAGGUUUAUCGACGCUAUAAGGGAAAACCAUUGAUUGAUUAUCAGAGGCAUAUAUUUCUCCUUCCUCGACCCUCUCCACACUAUCAAGGACCUUGAUCUCUUUGUUAUCCAUCAUGUCCUGAAGUAAUUUUCUAAAUUCCUUGCAAGAUUGGAUAUCAUGCCCUUCGAUGCCAUGAAAAUCACAGGAACUCUGGUCUUUUUUACUUUCCUCAUUGAGAAUCCUACUAGGCGGGCAGAGCAAGCCAUUUUCAAUCAUCAUCUCCCACACCUUCCGCAAAGGUGUCCUUACUUCGGCAACAUAAACUUUGGCUCGCCAAUUGUCUUCAUUUGACACCGCAUUUACAUUGCCACUAGUAUGGUUAGGAAGAAGAUUUCCUAUCACAUUGCUAACACCAUCGAAUCGCAGAACACCAGCAUCGAUGAGACCUUGAACCCUCCUUUUAAAGGCAAGGCAGUUUUCUGUAGAAUGCCCCUGAUUUCCAGCGUGAUACAUGCAAUUAGCGUUAGGAUCAUACCACUUCGGAAAUGGAGGCUUCAGGGGUGCCAUGUAAUGUGGGGAAAUUAAUUGUUUUUCCAACAGCUUCGGGUAUAACUCUCCAUAUGAUACAAGAAUUGGAGUAAACUGAGGUCUUUCAGGAUUGGGUCUUGCUGGUCUUUGUUCAUUUUUGGGUUGGCUUUGUGCAGGCAUGGUGUUUGGCGGGAACACGGUGAAUGGCCUUUGGUUAUUCACAGCAUAAACAGGGUAAGACGGAGGUGCCUGGUAGUAAGGACCUUGAGGAGGAAAGUAGAGGUUUGAAGGUGGGCGGUAAUGAGGUCGUGAUUGGGCGGAGUACGAAAUGGGAGCACAGUGGCUCUCGAUUCCAACCAUAUGGGCCUCUGCCUCCUUUUUCUUUACAGGUACCGCCCUCUUCGAACUCUCAGGGCCUUCCAUUCUCCCACUCUUGACGGCGUUUUCGAUAAGUUCCCCGGAUAUUACAAUAUCCGCAAAGUCCUUUGUGGCGCUUCCUACCAAUUUAUCGUAAAAUGGCACUUUGAGAGUAUUAAUGAAGAGGACCGUUAUCUCUGUCUUAGUUAACGGAGGCUCUACCUGAGCCGAGAUAUCCCUCCAUAUUUGUGCAUAUUACCAAAAAGUCUCUGUCAGCUUCUUUUCCAUCAUUUGUAAAGUUAGUCGAUCAGGCACCAUAUCCGAUACAUGCCUAUAUUGCUCACAGAAUGCUGAAGCCAAAUCCUUCUAUGAUCGGAUUCUCUCUCUACUGAGUUGAUUAUACCAUCGAAGGGCUGAGCCAACCAAACUAUCUUGAAAGCAAUGCACCAACAAUUUAUUGUCGUUUACAUAACCAGUCAUCUUUCGGCAAAACAUGAUCAGAUGCGCCUUUGGACAUCUUGUUCCGUCAUACUUCUCAAAAUCAGGUGCCUUAAAUUUUGGGGGUAGGACCAAAUCAGGUACCAAACUCAGCUCUUUGGCACUCAAAGUAGAGAAAACUUCAGCGCCUUCUACUGCCUUGAUCCUCUCUUCCAGGAUCCUAUACUUAUCCUGAGCGUUAUUGUCAUCAAUUCUCAGCCUUGCUACUUCUACAGGAUCAUCUAGGUCUGGAACAAUUGGAUCUGAAGGAUUAGCCCCAAGGUUCGAUACAAAUAUUCCUUGUCCUAAAUGAGCAGAUGGAGCAGGAUGUUGUUCCAGGCCUGUAGGUUCCCUUUGGGGGUAUCCUCUUCACAUUGUGUGGACAUGAGGUGGAGUAAAUCCCGGGGGAUAAAGUGGGUCUUGAUUAGCUCUUGACUGAGGCAGCUCUACGACAUCAGGGCUCUGCAUAGGUCCCUUUCCUUUGACUAAAGCUGUCAUCAUUUCCAUCAUUUUAGCCAUUUGGUCUCUUUGCUCGAGUGAUUCUUCUCGAGAUCUCACCAUCAAAUCUCUUGCCUCUUGCUGCGACUUGGCCAGUUGCUCCUGCAACUCUCUUUGGGUUCUUUCCAUCCUUUCCAUCCUUUCAUUGAGUUCGGCAUCCAUAGCUCUAGCUCUUAAGCGCGUCCUAUAAGAGUGACGUGAUUCCAGACUCGUAGUGUGGUAACUGUGGAUUAGAUGGUUUUAACCUUAGCGAAUGAUUAGGGAGAUAUGAGCAUGCGAUGAAUAAAUGAAUGAGUAACUAAUGAAUGUUAAUCAUGCGUAAAUAUGCAAAAAUAGGUGUUGAUUCCAAAAUGGCCCCAUACUUGGGCGUUUCAUUUAUCAAAAGAGUCUAUUACAAAAAGUUUUGCCAUAUUAGUUUUAACAGUUACACAAACUUCUUAGCCACAUCGCCCUGCUUCUUUAUACGUUCCAGGAACUCCGAUAUGCUUGAUCUUUGGCUAGGAGGGUAUUGGCAACUGAGAACUUCCGCUUCAUCUGAUAAUUGUACUACAUGCGCAGCCGCCUUACGAAUUUCAUUGAUCAAACUGCCGAUAUGCAUAUCCUUUUCUUGAAGGGCUCUUUCAUAGGCGCGAAUGUCUUUGUCAUGCUAACCAUUCUUCUCUUCUAAAGCUCUCAAGAGGUCAUCCAAAUGUUGCUGAUGAGCUUGUAGUGUACUCUCUAGACUUCGGAUUUUUCCUUUUAGCCCUUGAUGCCCAGACUGACUAGCCGUUAGUUCUGCAGUCAUAGUUUCGUAUUCAGCGUUCUUCUUCCUCAACUCUAUCAUAGCACGUGCAGCUCUUUCCUCUUCUUUCUUCGCUUUGGCUUUUCAGAAUUCCAUCCCACCUUUGAUAUUACUUAGUUCCUCCUUCCAUUCUGCUGAUGCUUUGCCCAAUCCACUAUUUCUUAUAGUGCCCCUUAAUUUCUUGUUUUCCAAAUGAAGGUCCCUUAAAUCUUUUCUCGUAACUUCAACUUCUUUUUGGACUUUUUCAGUUCUGGAUUUUUCAAUUUCGACAUCAAUCUUCAGCUGGUAGUUCUCCUCCUGGAGAGAACUAAUAUCUCGCAACAUCUUGGCUUUUUCACGUUCAAAUUCAUGUCUUGCAAUUUCUAGCUCGGAUGGGAUUUCCUCUGAGAAUGGAUUCCGGCAAGCUUCAUCAAUCGGUGGGGUUGUUUGACUCUUCACUCGUCGUUGCCUCCAUAUGUCAUAGUCUACAGUGAUAGUAUCAGCAUAGAGAGCCAAUUCCAUUAGGUAGAUUUGCUUCCAAGAAUUCGCGGUAUCUCGAACCUUUCUCAUGUAACCCUCACCCAUAAAGGCAAACUCCGAUUGUGCCAAUCCAUCGGUAACUGGUACAAACUGUCGCGAAGCGAACUGUCUUUGAACCAACAAUGGAGCAUAUCCAACUCCUCCCCAUAAUCCUAGUAAAGGCACCCAGUCUUGGUUUCCACACUUGUAUAACAAGACAGAUGGACGAAUCCAAUGUGCUCUCCAAGUUAUAUCUUCGGCACGGAGGUUCUGAAAAACCGAGACCCAAUGUUGUUCAGUGACAUCUUUCGGCCAAUCUUUUUCAAGGUGUGCUUCCAACGGGGCGAAUGUCUUUGAAAACAUAUGGAAAGGCGUUCGCUCCACCUUCCAAAAGUGGCUAAAGAUCCAAACAUUCAGUAACUGAGCGCAUCCGAUAAAACGUCCUUCCCCCUUUCUCCUACAAGCAUUUAGAGAUCUAAAAGUCUCAGCCAAGAUGGUUGGGACCGGGUUGACUCUUUGCUUCAAAUUUUCGAAGAAAUCCACAACCGCAACUUCAAUAUGCCCAAGAACCUUUGGGAAAAUGACCAGUCCGUAAACGACCAAGGCAAACAAAUCUACUCUUUUUAAUACAUCUGGAUGAUUCUGAACUAACUCCCGCAGAGAAAACCACGGAACACAACUGACUUCAUUCUUCUUCUUUAUCUGUUUUUUAGCCCAUGUAUCAGUCAUUCCCGUCAACUUCAUUAGCUUUUUCUUGAAGGUCAUUGGUUUAGGCUCCUUCACAUAUAUCUUGUUGAGUUGCACAUUAUCGAUGCGAAGCAAAGCGGCAUACUCUUCUAUGGUCGGGGUCAUAUCUUCCUAAUUGAAAGUGAAACACUAUAGGCUGGGUCCCAGAAUCGAACCAUGGCUUGGGUCAACUGCUCGUUCACAUCGAUUGCUAUCAAGUGAGCUAUAUCCCCAUACUUUUCAGUGAAGAUGCCUCUGGUAUCUGAGUCCCACUGUUUCCAAAUCCUUGUCAAGUCUUCAAGAUCAUUCUGACGCACAUUCAACAUCACAUGUUCGGGAAGAUCAGAGGUGUAUCCUUCCUUCAAACUGUCCCCUUUCACUUUUUGAGUUCUCAAAGACCAAUCUCGAACUACAGCAUUUUUCUCGAUUACUCGUGUAAUUGACUCCUCCAUCAGAAACCCGUUUUUGGCAACCAAUAUUUAACCAACACCUUUCUAAUGAGAUGUCUACGAUGCAUGAUGAAAAAUAAAAUGAAAAACAAAUAACCUUGGUUAGAAAUCACAACAGAUAUAAACAGAAGAAAAAUGAAAAAUAAAGACUAUGGAAAAUUUAACAGAUUAAGCUAUUCAAUCAUGCAAUUUGGUGGAAUAGACCCACAUUUUUUUUGCCCCAACAUGCUUUACAAAAACCUACCCCACAUACCAUCAGACAAUCUACCCGACCCAAUUUAUUAAAUAGACCCAAUUCAUUUGCAAAUAAGUGUAAAUGUAAAAGAAAUAAAAGGUAAGAGGCGUUUCUCCCGUGUACUUAUUUUGGUAACUAUCAAACGGACAGAGGUUCGGCAUGGCUCUAAUUGGGUGGCUCGUACGGUUCACUGUAUGUGGUUUUGGUUCUAGAAAGGUACUCGAAUUGUCCAUACUGUCACCUACUAAGGUUAGUACGGAACCUCAGUUAUCACCCGUCAUGGGCUUGCGAGUUCAAUCCGAGGGAUUACAUUUACUUAUGCCUAUGCGGAGGGACAAGUUAACUCACGAAAGCAUAAGUCAUAUGUAACCCGGAAGUAAUUACUAGCCUGUGCGGAGGGACGAGUUAACUCACGAAGGUGUAGCGUUUACUUCCACUUAAACGGACGGAGCCCGGGUAGAGAGUUCAUGUUAUGCAAAAAAUGCAAGUGCACGGUGUGUGGGGAGAAACUCACAAACCUUUUAAAUUUUAUUUUUACUAAAACAACUAAAAAACGUAAAACUUAAAGCUAAAAAAAACAGAAAGACAAAACAAGUUAGAAAAAUAUUAAUUAAAAAAAACCAAAUGCAAAUGCAUGACUUUUCAAAAAAAUAAAAUUCAAGGAUCACGAUUAAAAAUUAAUUUGAACAAAGGAUUUUAAAAAUUUGACAAUACGCGUUUAACAUCAGACUCGACUCUCAAAAACAUUUUGUCCCCAGUGGAGUCGCCAGCUGUAGCGACCUAAAAAUUUGGAUUGUUGAAAAUUUGAAAACGGAGUUUCGAUUUUAUUUUAAAAAAAUGGGAGUCGCCACCGAUCUUUUUUUUAGGUGUGAUCGGGCACCUUCAAAAUUCUCUUUUAGAAGAAAAAUCUAUUUUUAAACUUUUCUAAAAAAAGAGGUGAUUUUAGGUCUACGUUAAAAUUCAGAGAAAAUUAGGGUUCGGGAGUCGGUUACGCGCAAGGAAGGUAUUAGCACCCUCGCGACGCCCAAAACUGGUAUCUCGUUAAACGCGCAUUGUUUUAAUUUUCAAAAAUACAACUUCAAUUUAAUAGUUAAUCGCGAUCCGAUCAAAAUACAAUUUUUUUUUAAAACACGAAGAUUUUUGAAACAAAUUUUUUUUGAAAACAAGAAAUUUUUUUUAAAACACGAGAAUUUUUUCUUUUUUUUUGUGAAAACUCAAAAUUUUUUUUAAAACUCGAAAUUUUUGACCACGGGAAUUUUUCAAAAAAAAUUUCGUAUUUAACACGAAUCGACAAUAUUCACCCCGACAUGGCGAUGAAAUCGAAGAAUUAGUGUCAAACCGAUUGAAUUUAAUAUUUAAUCGUGAUCCUAUUAAAACACGAGAAUUUUUUUAACACGAGGAUUUUUGAAUAUUUUCAUUCAUUUUUUUUAAAAAGGGCGUCCCGUAUUUAACACGAGCCAUCGAUAUUCACCCAACAUAGCGAUGAAUUCGAUGACUUAAUGCUAAAUCGGUUCAUUGCCUCAUGCAUCAAAAUUAUUCGAAUUUAAAAAUUAAAAUAAAAUAAAAUAAAAAACAUAAAUACAAAAAUAAAAAUACUUAAAAAUAAGCAAUAAUAUGAAAAAUGAUACAACAUUUAAAUAUUUAAACAAAGUUAAACUAAAAAUUAAGAAUUUACCAAAACCCAAAGUUAUGGGCUGUUUGGGCCUUUCUUUUAUUUUUUUGCUGUUGGGCUGCUGUUAUUAGGCUGUUAAAGGACUGGGCUGAAGCUGUUGGGCUGCUGAGUACUGGGCCUGACGCUGGACUGGGCUGGCCUGCUUCUUGUUGGGCUGAAUCUGCUGCUGGAUUGGGCUGCGCUGGGCUUGGUUUGGGCCUGCUUUGUUUUUUCUUCUCUUUUUCUUUCUGCUGUUUUUUUCUGUUUUGUUUUUUUUUUGAGCUGCUUUGGGCUAGGGACUGCUGCUGGGUCGGGUCGGGUCGCAGCUCAGGUCGGGUCGGGUGGUCGGGUCGAGUUGACCCGACUAUUGAUUUUUCUUUUUCUUUUUCUUUUUUUCUCUCUUUUUCUUCUUCUUUUUCUUUCUCCCUUCUUCUUCUUCUUCCCUUUUCUUUUUUCUUUCUUUCAAACCCAAACCGCCACCGUUGGUGACUCCUUGCUCCGUUCGGAGGUGUAACGGCCGACGUUCCCUCUCGUGCCUUCUACUCUUUGCUUUCUUCCUCCUUUUCUUCUUUUCCUUUUUCUCUUCUCUUUCACUUUUCUCUCCUUCCCUUUCCUCUCUUUUCUUUCUCUUCUAUUUCUUUUCUCGGCAACCCCAAGGUUGAAAGCGCCGCCGCAACGCUCGUCUUUGGCUCUUCUCCUCCCUCGGUGGCUCACGAAGAAGACCAAAAAUUUCUCACUAUUUUUAUCUUUUGCUGCUGUUUUUUUUUACUGUCUCUUUCUUGCUUUUUGGUUGCUUGUUGUAUUUGAUUUGUUGUAGGUGCCGGUGGUGGAGCAACACCGGUGGUGGUGAUACGAGGGCGGUGAGUGUGGGAUCGGCUAAUGGGAGUUUUUUUUUUUGCUGCUGGAAUUUUCUGCUAUUUUUUGCUUUGGUUGCCAAAAAAUUUUCGAACCCCCCUUUCUCUUCAAUUUCCUCCUUUUUAAUCCCCCAAUUUUGUCAUUUUCUUCUUGUUUGCAGGUGGCAGAGGAGGGCAUCAUGGCCUAGGGAGGCUGCUGGAGUAGCUCGGCUGGGGAGAGGAAGCACGCUCGGCUGUUGAUUGGGGGGUCUGACAUGCCCAGAAGGACCAAAAUGUAGAAGACGCAAAACAUUUAGGGUAAAAAUACAAUUUCAGGAAAAUAUAGGGACAAAAUGUAAUUUCUAGAAAAUUUAGGGGUCAAAGUGAAAUUUUGAGAAAGUUUAGGGGUUGAAAUGUAAUUCAGAAAAGUUUAGGGGUUGAAAUGUAAUUUAGAAAAGUUCAGGGGCCAAAAUGUAAUUUAUAUUUUUUUGUUUUUUCAUUUUUCAAAAUUUCAUUAUGACUAUUUUAUUAAUAUUUAAAACAAAAAUUAAAUGGGCUAAAACAAUUCCAAAAUUAAAUCUUAAUGGGCCCGAUCAUUGGGCCCAUACGAGAUCGACCCAGCCCAAAAUUUUGACUGGGCAAAAUUCAGUGAUUACACCAGCGACAGCGGAAAAGUUAAAAAGGCCUCUCUUUUUUUAUUUUAUGCGUUAUUUCGAAAUGAAAAAAAAAAGAAAAAAUGAUAAGACAAAAUAAAACGAAAAUAUCACCUUAAAAUUUUUUUGUUUUUUUUAUUUUCUCAAUUCCCCCGAAAAAAAAGUUUUUUUUUUUUUUACAAUGGAUUUAUUAUGGCUUUUAUAGCCAUUUUUACAAGGAUUUUUUUAAUCUAUUUAUUGUCACUUCCUGCAGGCAAGUGGGUGAAGCAGGUGGUGGCAGGUGCGACGCAACAGUGGCGGUGGCAGACGUGCAGCGGCCAGGGGUCAGAAGACCCUAGGUGCGGCGCACCUAGGGUUAAGUUUUCUUUUUUUUUUUCUGAAAAUGGGUUACUGGGCUAGGUUUAGAUUGAGUCUUGGGCUUGUGUCUUAUUUGGGCUGUUAAUGGUUUCGGUUUGGGUUGGUGGUUUUGGUUGGUUUGAGUUUUGGGCCCCGAGCAAAAUGGCCUACAACAGGUAUAAUAAAAUAUUUUUAAAAAACACAUAGUAAUUUUUUAAAGUUGUUUGUGGAAUAAAAAAAGUACACUGUUAGUGUCCCAAAUGCUAAUGUACUUUUUUUUACUGGACUAUCAACCACAUAAUCUUAUUUAUGGAAUCUAAAAAACUGUAUCUCUGUUGAGACUUGUAUUGAUGGUUGCUGAUUGUGGAUUUAAGCUGUUGAAUCAUUAUUUUAUACAAUGAAAUUAUCUGUUGAUUGAGAAAAAGAAAGAAAGUAUGUUAUACAAUGUAUUAAAUCAAACAACUUAAUUACUCUCAAUAAUUUUAAUAAAUUAAUUUGAAGUAGUGUAUUUUAAUAUUAUUUACUAAUAUUUCUAACGAAAAUUUGUCAAUAAAAACGUUACACGUGAUAGAACUUUAUCCCGGUGCGGUUUUUGUUUCAAAUUCUAGCUGUUCAAUUGUAAAAGCUGAGCUGUGGGGAGCUUAUGAUGGUCUAUGACAAGCAUGGAGCAUGAGUAUUAGAAAGGUGGUCCUCAAUAUGGACAACUUAGAUGCUAUCCAAAUGCUACAAAACUUUACGUCAGAUGUAUCUCGAUAUGCAGUGGCUCGAGAUGUUAAACAAUUGAUUCAGAACUAAUGGAAAGUGAAGAUACAACAUGUCAAUAGGGAAGGUAAUAGAGUUGCGGAUGCUUUGGCUACAUAGCCCUUAGACUGAAACUAGGUUUUUACAAAUUCUUGCAACGAACUGAUCAUGUUUUGGAGUUGAUUUAUGAUGAUUUAGAGGGAUUGAUUAGGACUGAAUGAAUUGUUUGUAAUAGUCUCUAUUACUUUAUUUACCAAAAUAAUAAUACUAAUAAAAGGAGUGCACACUGUAAAAUUAUUUUUGAAGCUUUUCAUUUAUUAUUUAUUUUAAAAAAUUUAAGUAUUCCAUGUAGUGGAAUAAAAAUCUCUACAACGUAUUUUUACUUGUAGGAAGCAUAAAACUCAAGUUUAUUAUUUGUAACAUUAAUUUAAAGCCAAGGGCUUUUACUUAUCGAAAUGGACAUGUUUUUAAUUGGAAAUUGGUGGUGAGAGAGAAGCAAAAGCUUGGAGUUGCUCGCCAGAGUCGAUGUGCUUUGCCAGGUCGGAAAAGGCAAAAAGGAAGAAGUCCAUGAAAUUAAAGUCCUUGUAAAGCUGAGGAUGUUGCUCAUCUAUAAGUUCUCUAGGUGCCUUAAUUAUGGUACCCUCAAUUGGAAUGGCGAAGGCUGCUAAAGAAAGUCGAUCUUUGUCCCCACUCAUCAUCACUCUAUGAUUUACCGCUUUUAAUCUUCCAUUACUCCAUGCCUUCAAUUUUCAAAAUUCAACAUCAAUAAGUAAUCUAUUCACAUAGAUCAUGCAAGUAUUUUAAGUUUUGAGUAAAUUAGAAAUCAAAUUUUAACCACAUAUAUAUAUAAAUAUAUACCUUGAGAGGAUCCCCAACCACAAAGCAAAAGGAAGAAGGAGAUAAGGACAACUUGAUCCAUUGACCGUCAUUGACCUCAAUUUCCAACCCCGAAACAUGAUCAUCACAAAUGAUUGUGCUGACAGGUUUAUCAGUGUGAGCAAAGAGUCCUCUCUCGUACUCCCCUGGUGGAGGGGCCAUGUAUUUCAUAAACCGCACUAGCGUUUUAUAGUUUAUCAUCACUGACUCCCAUUUCUCCCCCAAUCCAUAACUAUCGAUUAACAUUAACCAGAUUAACUUAUUCAACUCCUCUAUUUGAGUUGCCAUUGUAUGUAUGGUGUUGCUGAGACAAAAGUCAAAAGAAAAUGUCAAUAACUUGAACUCGCUUAACUCGAACAAAAAAUUAUCUGAACCCAAAAUGACUAGAACAAAUAACUUAAACGAACAUAAUAUUUUAAAAGGUAAAAGAAUUAUUAUUGAUUACCAAAAGCGUGGGUGACCAUCUGGCCACAUAAGUUGAGCAAAGCUUUUAACAGAGUCAUAGUUGGAGGCAUCUCCAAGUCCAAAGCCUUCAUACAACAAAGAAACCUGAUUGCAUGGUCCAACCCAGCCAUGAUAAGGCAUGGGACUAGCGUUCUUUUGUUUCCUUUCCACUGGGACCUCAAUUAAUUCUUUCAUCAACCCAAAUGUCUCCUCUCGAACUUCCGUCGAUAUUUUUUCAUACACCACCUCGAAACAACCGAAAGUCUCACAAGCCUCUCGAACCCUCUUGCACAAACGGUGCCACCCAUCGGUUCCCCGCUCCAAAUCUGCUGAACGGAACUCAAUGACUGGGAACUCAAUUUCAGCUUGGACACCCAUGUUCUAAACUUUUUUUUAUGCUCCAAGGAAAUGUUCUCUUGAACUAAAUGAGCUUGUAAACUAACUUGGUUUCUCUUUACGUUGGGACUUAGGUUUAUUUAUAGCAUUUUCCCAAAGGUGACGAGGCUAAGAGAAACCCACCCAGUUCUUUAAUUUGAUUAACCAAGCAAAACCAAGGAGGCGCACUGGUCAAAGGAAAUAUUAUACGGAACUUAAUUUAAAAUUAAGGGUUGAAUUCAAAUUUCAUUAAUUAAAAGAAUUUGAAAAAAAAAGAGAAAUAAUACUCAGUUUUAUCUAAUCAAACCCCUUAUUGGACUUAUAUGUAAGACGUCUUCUUUUUUCUCCCAUCUGAAUGAUUCCAAUAUCAAUGUAGUUUAUGGUUACUUGUUAGCUCUCAAAUUGCAUGCAUAUAUUACUCGAUAGGUCUCCAUCUAAAUCAUGACGAUUUGUAUUUAUUAAUUAAAUAUUGUAAAAUAUUUAGUAUUAAUUUUAUGUAAUAAAUAUUAAUUUUUUUUCAAAUGAAUAUAAUAACAUUAAUCAUUUGAAAAAAAGGCAAUAAUAACAUUUCAAAUAAUAAAAAACAAUAAAAUUUUUGAAUUUUUGUUUUCAUCAUCUUAAUAUUCAAUUUCCACAUUAAAUAAAUAAUACACAAAAUUUAAUUUAAUGUGGAAUGUGAUAAAAAAAUUUGAUUUAUACACAAUUUUAACACAGUUAUUUAUGUUGUAUCAUUUUACAUUUACUUAAUACAUAUGCAAAUAAUUAAUUUAUUUUAAUAUACAAAAAAUAGUUAAAAGUUAUAUGUUUCCGAAAAUGGUUGGUAUCACAUAAUUGUGAGUCAACCAUUCGAUUAUAGUCAAUAAAACCCAGUGACGUAUAAAUCUCCCCGUUCGAAAAUUGGCGGAAUUUAUGGCUAUUAGGUAGCCCUCAAAUUUGAACGUCAAUGCAUGCAUAUAAAAAAUAUCUGUAAUUUAUGGCUACUAAUUCUUUUUGAAGGUUAUUUUACUACUUAAUUAAACAUAGUAAAAGAUUAAGUAUUAAUUAUGUACUAAGUAUUAUAACAUAUUUUUCACAUGAUAUAAAAACGUUAACUAUAUGAUCACAUAAGCCGAUUGAGUCUUUACUUGAUUGGUAUGGGCAUUGUAAUCAAUGUAGGAGGACGUGGGUUCGAGUACGGUGAAACGCAUUAUUCUCCUAUUUAUGAGUUGGGGAGGGACUAUCGGUAGUCCUAGGCAUUGUAUCAAAAAAAUUAUUUGACUCUAUAAUAAUAACAUGACCUCAGUUGGCAUCGACAUUAUUGUCAGUGUAGGAGAUCGUAAAUUCGAAACAAGUAGACAAUAUUUUUUUAUUUUUUUUCACUAUCUUAAUUUUUAAUUUCUGCAAUAUGAAAAGAAACCAAUAAUUCAAUUCAUUUGUUUUUAUUCGCAUCUUAGGGUUUAUCUUUGGAGUAAAAUUAAACUAUAAAAUUUUAAAUGAGUUAAAGUAUGAUUUUAUUUUUGUAUAUGAUUGUUAUUUUAAAAUUUUAAAGAGAUUAAAUUGAAAAUUUUUCAUCUUUUGGAGGUUAAAGUAUAUUUUUACUAUUAAAUUAAUAGUUUUAAAAACUUCAAGAAACUAAAUUGAUAAUUUCUUAUUGGAGGGAGGGAGGCUAAGACCCCUGCCUGCCCUCCGUUGGUGUCGUUCCUGUUAGUAUCAUUGCUAAAAAAUUAGAGCUGUCGAAAGGUCAAGUUGAGUGGAAAAUAAUAUGAAUUUAAAAAAGUUUCAAACCCAACUCACCCCAUCCAAAUGACUCGAUUUAUUGUUUAAAAUUUAUAAUAUAUUAAAAUAUAAUUUUAUAUUAAGAUUUAUAUAUUUUUAUAAUUAAAUGACUUAAUUUACUUCUUUUUUUUACAUUUUUAUAUUUACUUUUCUUUUAAUUUUUCAUUGUAAAUUGCAAUACAACUUCCCUAAAACCACAUCCAUAAAAAUCAUAACGUUUCAUACAUGUUUGGUUCAUAAAGAUUAAUCAUCUCGAGAUUCAUAAUUAUCUCUUAAUAAUAUUAUUUUUAAAAUUCGAACUUAAAUCUUAUUUUUAAAAAUAUAAUAUGUCUUAUCAUUACAUCUAAAAAAUUAAUUUUCCGCAAUAUAAAUAUAAUAACAUUAAACAUGUAACCAAAAAUAAUAACCAAGCAAAACGAGGUAAUUGCACUAGUCAAAAAAGAAAAUUGAAAUUGAAGAUUCAAAUUUGAUCAAUUAAGAAGAAAUGGAUGUGUUGUGCUAUCCUUAUGGGGAUCAAAGGUGGCUGUUUCCAUGGGGCGUUUUUAGUGUCGUCAAUGGCCGACUUUGGUGACACCUUGCUUGGGUUAAGUUGAAGUGUGCUUACAUGUGUUCGACAGGUGCUUGCUCGUGUUUAGGCUUCGGUUGUUCAUUCUUGAUUGUGGAUCUUGAGUUGUUGACUCAUUAUUUGACAUGAAUAAAAUUAUCUAUUGAUUGAGAAUUUCUUUUUAAAAUAAAAAAAUAAUGGUAUAAUGUUAUAUAAUGUAUUAUAAACCAAACAAUAUUUUCGAACAACACACGUUUUUAAAUCAAAAUUUUCCUUUAUAUUAUAAUAACAAACAUAUCAAAUAAUUUAAUUUGAUGACAUAAGUAGACAAUGUUAACUAAAAGAGAACCUUUAUUAUGACUUGAUUGUAUAUAUUUAAUUAAAUGUAUUAUUUUGAAUUAUUUUAUUUUUUAAAAUAAUUAUCAAAGUAUUGAGUUGAUAAGCAUUUUUGUAAAUUAGAAAAAUAAUUAAUGUCAUUUUAUUGUAACAUAAAUAUAAUUUUAUUUAUUGAAACAAAAACUUAGAAGUGAGAAAAUGGAUAUAUGUGAUAUUUAUAGUCAAAAUGCUUAAUCAGUUUUUUGAUUUCAGAGAAAAAAGGUAGGGCUAAAUUUUUUUUUUAAACGGAUGAAAGUGAUUUUUUUUCUCUCAACUUUUUUACUUUUAUAGCCUUACAAAACAGCGUCGCUUUGGGCUAAAGUUUCAGAGGUCAAAACAGAGUCGUCUUUGGGCCCGACCUGUCCCUAGCAAGAUCCGCGUGUUUUUAUAGGGGGUCUAAUUGCUUCUUUGGUUCUGCUUUUGCACCUUUUUUUAAUUUAGUCCUAAUUUCAUUGUUUUCUAUUUUAUCAAUUGUGCCAUAUAAUUUUAGCUCGCUUUCAAUUUGGUUCCCCAUUUGCUGACCACCUGGGGAAGGACACGUGUACAGGAGCUUUGGUAUAAUUUCCCAUUUAGUCCUUGUUUAUUUUAGCCUUAUUAGUUUUUAUUAUUAUUUAAAAUUUACACCCCUAAUUUCAUUAAAAUUUCAAUUAAGCCACCUGUUUAUUUAAUUUCAACCUUUCUACAAAUUGUUUUUAUUUAUUUAUUCAUUUAUUUAUUUAUUACUCAUUUUUCACACUUAAAAAUUAGAUUGUUUACACUUGUUAUUUGCGCAAUUAUUAUUAUCGUUAUUAUAUUAUUUUUAUUUUUAUUAUUUCUUGUUAUUUUAUUAUUUCUUAAUUUAUUUUUGAUAUUUUCAUGUCAUGUUUAUUUAUUUAUUUUAAUCAUGCGUAUUCCACUUUUUUAUUUAUCUUAAAUUACAUCAUUUAUUUAUUAUUACCAUGAUAUGAUUAUUAAUAUUAAUGUUAUUAUUAUAAUUAUGUUAUUACUAUUAUAAUAUUCCUUCAUUUACUUAUUAUUUAUCAUUGUACCUACAUAGUCAUUUUAAAUUAUCUCAUUAUCACUAUAUUAUACAUUAAGGUUUAAACAUUUAUCCAUUUGUAUAUCACGCCCGAAUAAAUUAAAUACACAUCACCUUAAGUGUUACGUUCGUUUUUUCGUGCGAUGCAUAAAAAAAGAAAAAUUUUAAACCGAGGCAAAUGUUCAUUAUUUUGGAAUUAGAAAAGUCGUGUUCCUAACUUACGGAAUAUAACUUCCUUCUAAAACAGAGAUAGUCGAAUAUUUAUUUUAAAAUAAAUAUAAAAACGAGAUUUAAGUAACGAUCAAUUGGCAUUUAUUUUUAUUUCCGAGGACUUAAGGCAUUGUGUCCUAACUUACGGGACAUGAUCCUUUUUCUCGAUUAACUUGAAAUAAACCAUUUUCGUGAAAAUUACUUUAGUUAGGUAGUGCCUUAAUACAAAAAAAAAAAAGGAUUGUGUUUUAAACUCUUUUUAAAUUUUUAAUUCUCGACACUAAGGGUGAGUUUGGAUAGGCGAUGCGUUUACCUGCAGUUAGUGUAAAAACAACGGUGGCGGUGAGAUUAGACACUGUAGCAUGAGACAAAAAGUAAACUAAACGCACUGCACGGCACCCAAUCGCCCAUCCAAACCCACCUUAAGAUAUCAAUUAAUCAACUAGGUACCAAUUUUCAGCGUCACGAGGGUACAAAUCCUUCCUCGUGUAUAACCAACUACCAAACCUAUUUUUGGGAUUUUGAAGACCAAAGUCAUUGUUUUAGUAAAUCAAAUAUUCUAUUAAAAUCUCACAUCUCAUAAAAAUAAUUGGUAACAAUUUUUAUUUUUAUUUUUAAAAUAAAAAGUCGAUUUUGAAAAAAAAGGGAUUCCGACACUAUUUACAACAACUUAGCUUACAAUAUGAUACUAGUAAAAAGAGUACACUGUAAACUUGUUCUUUAAAGCAUGCGUCGUAAAGUUGUCAUUCAAACUUUUGAUUUAUAAUUAUGAUUUCAUAAAUAUUUAAAAAAUAAUAAUAUAAAGGACACAUAUAUUGGACUCAAUUACACGAUUGAUUUAAUAACCUUGAUACAAUUACACAGUUAUUAAAAACUAUAAUAUAGUAUUACGAUUCAAGAAUGCAAAUCCCAAAUGUAGGACUCUUUGCUGUCUUUUUUUCCUUUUUCUGCUGGUGGUGGUUGGCGAUGACGGUGGCAAGGAGCGGUGGCGACGCAGGCUAGGGAUUAGGGUUCCUGUUUUCUGAAAAGUUGUCUAGGCUAUUGGGAUCUGGACUAUUAUGGUUUUUACUGACUUGGGCUUGUAAUUGAGGUAGUGGGUUUUUAAAAUUGGGCUCAUAAUUUGGGCUGAUAUUGUAAGUGGACUUGGGGCUUAAAUGGAUUCUGUAAUUUUUAUUUUUAUUUUUAUUUUUGGUUUGGUUUUUUAUUUGGGCCUGGUAAAAUUGGGCUUCUACAAGUUAUGUAUACAGUAAAUGAUUAAAUUAUAUUUUUAUUAUUUUUUAGAAUCAAAUAUAAUUCUAUCAUUAUUAAUUUAAAAUUUUAAAAAUUAUAAAAUAAUUAGAAAGGAAAUAUUUCAUUUUAGAGAGGCCAAGGCUCAUGCCAACUCUUUGGCUCUGCCCCUGUAAAUAACAAUUAGACCAACCAACAAAAUACUAGGGACACCUGUAAUGGGCAAAGGGCAACUUGCUUUUUGGGUUAAAAUUAAGUUGUCGAAACUAUUUUUUGAAAGGUCGACUGUUUAUUUAAAAACGAAAAAGGGAGUCGUCACCAAUCUUUUUUAAUGAGACACGAUCGAGUCACUUCGCAAAACGGUUAUUAAUAAAUAGUUUGAUUUAUUAAAACAACGAUUUUGGUCUACGAAAUUCAGAAAGAUGGGUUCAGGAGUCGGUUACGCACAAGGAAGGAUUAGCACCCUCAAUACGCCCAAAAUUGGUACCUAGUUGAUUACUUAACGUAUUAAUGUUGAAAAUUGAAAUUUUGAAAAGAUUUUAAAACACAAUCCUUUUUUAUUAAUGUUUAUUUUUUUUAAAAAAUGCUUGAAUAAAUCGAAAGAAAGUUAAAGACCCUCUCGUCCCGAGGUAAUGGAAUGUCGCGUCCCGUAAGUUAGGAUACGACACUUGGAACCCUCGAGAAUAAGCUUUCCUUUAAUUUUUAUUGAAAUUUUAUGUAUUUUAAAAUUAAAAAGGAUAUUUUUCCAUUUAGGUUUAAUGAGAAAACUUAAACCCCGUAAGUUAGGGUACAAUUUCUCGAGUCUCCAAAACGCGAAAUAUCGCCUUAUUUUAAAAAUUAAACGCGACUUUUGAAGUGAUGAAAUGAAAUGGAAUGAUAACAGAGAAUAUGAAAUAACGAUUUAUGAACAAAAUGUUGCCUUAAUGAGUGACAAUAAUAUGAAAGCAUGAAUAAACAAACUAUAAGAUAUAUGAUGGCAAUAAUCACACAAAGCAUGUCAAUUUAAUAUCAAUAUUAACAAUAGAAAAAAACAAAACAAAACAAUAUAGAAAAACGAUUUAAAUUAAAUAAUCAUCGAAAAUAAAUAAUUUAUGAGAACAAUUCGAGAUAAAUGAUAAAAGAUUUCAAAUAAACAAUAUAUAAAAAAACUUAAAAUGAAUAAUAAUAAAACAAUUUAAAAUAAAUAAUAAUAUGAAAAAAACAUAUAAAACAAUUUCUUUUUUUAAAAUAUAAUAUAUAAAAAAAUUUAAAAGAUAAUAUAUAAUAGUCUAAAAUAGAUGAUAUAAUAAAAAAUUUAAAUAAAUAAUAGGUAAAACAGUUUAGAAUAAAUAAUAUAUAUAUAAAAACUUAAGAUAAAUAAUAAUAAAAGAGCUCUUUUUAAAAAGGGAAAAUAAAUAAAUUAAAUGGACUAAGGACGAGAUUAAAAUCGAACUAAAAUUCGGGGCUUUAAAUUGUAAAUAAAUAAGAGUUACUAAAGACCAAAGUAGAAUGCGCUUAAAGAAUGAGGGACUGAUUUGGAAAAUAUUCCCAACCCCUGUGCGGAGCAUUCCAUCAUGGACCAAAGUGGAACAAGCAGCAAAUUAUACCGCAAAAUUAAAAAAGAAAAAAAAAGAAAAACAAGUGAGGACUAAAUUACAAAGCGUCACAAAAGCGGAAAGACCGUGUGUGCAAAUAGCCCAUUCACCGCAGAAACACGCGGAUCCUUAGGGCAAACGGGUCGGACCACGGAUCAGAGGCCAAAACGGUGUCGUUUUGGCCUCUGAAUCUAAACAUCAAAAUGGCGCAGUUCCAUUUCCUUAUUUAAAUCAAAUUUUUUUCUCAAAAUUCAUUUUCUCAGUGUUUUUUAAAAGAAACUUCAAAGAAUCCCUCUAUUCUCUCAACCCCUUUGGCCGGCGUGGGUUCCAUCGGUGAUCUACCGCACCGCCGCAGUAGCUACUGGCCGGCGACGGAAAAAAAUGGGCUUUUUAGCCAUUGUUUCACAGCAUCCUUAAGAGCUAAGCCCUCUCAACCCCAAAAAAAAUCGAAAGAGGAGGACCCUCAACCCCUUUUGGAUUCGAUCCCGACGAUGGAGAAGAGUCCUCCGACGGUGCAGUCACGGGGCUUCUCUGGUGAGCCUCCUUUUUCUUUUUUAUUUUUAUUAUUUUCGUAUGUAAAAAAAUGAAAAAUAAAAAUGGAAAUAGAAUCGAACAAGUAUUUAAAACGAAAAAAAAAGAAUCACCUCUGAAGUAUUGUUCUCUGUUUUUUUAUUUUCUUUCUAAUGUGUUUGUAAAAAAUAAAAUAAAGAAGAGAUUUAGGCUUUUACAGCUGGAUACAACUUUUUAGUUUCUAAUAUAUUUGUCUGUUUUCUAUUUACUGCUACUGUUGCUCACAUACUUCUCUGUCGUUGCAUUCAAUUUUUUUGCAGGUGUUAGACGAGCGUGAUAGUGACGUGUGACGGUGGUAGCGCGUCUAAGGAGGCUGGCGGCACCGACGUGGCAUGCGACUAGGGUUUUUGCCUUCUUUUUUUUUGGCUGAAAAUUAGUUUAGGUUUUGGGCCAUUUGGGCUUUAGGGUUUUAAUUUAUUUGGGCUGUAAUUGGGUUUGUAAUUUAGGCUGGUAAUUUGGACUGUUUGGACUUUUUUGGGGGGUUUUAUUUCUGUUUAUUUUUGGGUUUUGGGCCCUGGCAAAUUGGGCCUAUUACAGCUGUCCCUCUUUGCUCGUUGUCAUGUAACGGGAAUGGAGCAAAGACUUUUAAGAAGAACAAAAAGUAAUCAACUCGUGGCUUGACUCUCUUAUUUUAGUCCCCAGUGGAGUCGCCAAGCUUUCGAAACCUUUUUUUUAAUAGGGUUGACUUCUAUUUUUAAAACGAAAACGAAAAUGGGAGUCACCACCGAUCAUUUUUAUGAUGUGUGAUCAGGUCACCUCGUAAUUUAAUCAUUUUAAUAAAAAUUUAAAUUUACUAAAACGAUAAUUUUCGGUCUACAAAAUCCAGAAUUAGCACCCUCAAUAAGCCCAAAAUCGGUAUCUAGUUGAAUAAUUACUGUCUUAAUAUCGAAAAUUGGAAAUUCAAAAAGAAUUCAAAAAGAAUUAACGCCAUUUAUUUUAAAACAAUUUGCUUAAAUAAAUCGAAACAAAUAUCAAGGACCUUAUUAUCUCGAGAUAACACGUGUCAUAUCCCGUAAGUUAGGACACGACACUUGGAAACCUUGAGAAUAAGCUUGCCUUUAACUUUUAUUGAAAUUUCAUGUGUUUUGAAAUUUAAAGGGAUAUUUUGCUAUUUAGAUUUAACGGGAAAAUCGAAACCUCAUAAGUUAGGGUAUGAUUUCUCAAAUCUCCGAAACGCAAAAUAUCGCCCUAUUUUGAAAAUUUUCUUUGUUUUGAAUUUGAGUGAGAACUAAUGUGAUAUUUAAUAAGACAUAUAUGUUUAAUUUGUUCAUACAUCGUAUGAAAGCGAACAGAUAUUUUUUAAAACUUAAUGUAUAAUACAACAAUAAUGAGAUAAUGUAAAUAACUAUGUGGAUAAAAUAUUUAAAAGGUAAAUAAUGGGAUACAAUAAUAAUGUGAUUAUAAUAAUAACACCAAAUAAUAAUAAUCAUAUUAACUACUAUUCUAAUGCUAAAACAAUAAAAGUAAAUUAAACACUAAUAAUAAUGGUAGCAAUAAUAAUGAUGAUAAUGAAAUAUAUAACUUGAGAGUAAUAAAGGUGAGUAAUAAAAAUAAGGGCAAUAAAAGAAAAUAACAAAUAAUAAAUAAUAAACAAUAAGUGUGAAAACAAAAAAAAAAUAAUGGAAGUAUUAAGUGAAUAAAACAAAUUAAUAAGGCAUUUGAUUUUUUUUUUGAUUUUUUUUAAAAAAAGGGAUUAAACCAAAUAAAAAAAUAACAAACAGUUUGUACAGAAAAAAUAUAUAAAAAUAAAAAAAUAAAAAAUUUAAACGGACUUAGGACCGAAUUGAAAUUAAAAUAAAAUUAAAGGGGAGAAUUUGAAAAGAAAAAAAAGCAAUCAGGGCCCGAACGAGACGCGAGCAAAGAUGCAGUGUAACACCCCCUAACCCCGAACCAUCGUCGGAACAGGGUUAUGAGGCAUUACCGGACAUAUCAGACAAUUUACAAAAAGAAUUCUUAAAUAACUAACAAACAUAUUGAAAUAAAAUAUAAAAUCAUAUGUUUAUUUACCAAUUGACUUCAUCUCUUUUUUUUUAUAUAAAUUUUAUAAAAAUUUCGGCAGCAUUUCUGCUUAUUUUUACAUAGAACCCCCUGCAAUUAAAACCAUAUAUUUUCCAAAAUAUAAUCAAAUCAACCAAUUCAUUCCACAUUCACAUUUUCUAUUCUAAUUACUUCUAAUCAAACUCAAUCAACAUAAUAUCAAUUUAAAAUUUAACAAGGUAAUAGAUAAAUCAAAAUAGAUAAACUUCUUUCAUAAUAAUUCAUAAACUUUUAAUACUAACAUUUUUUUAACCAUUUAUAUUAAAACAUAACAACCUUUAUACACAUCCUAUGUACAUGCCACAUUACCCAAAAGAAAAUAUACAUCACCAAAGUUAUGCUGAAGUCGGGAUUAAUCUGGAUGCUGAACCGGGACCUUUGACUUCUAUCGACCUGCGCACGGAAACAACCGUACGCUGAGUAUUUCAUACUCAGUGGUAUUACCAUAAUUCAAAUUAUAACAAUAAUAAACAUGUAAUGCAUAAUUCGUAUAUACAAUUUAAAUUCAAUAUUUCAACAAUAGCAAUUUAUCAACCAAUAUCGUAUAUCCACAAUUUGAGUUUGAAUAAAUCAUGAACCUUAGGUUCAUUUCUCAAUCUCAUUUCACAUUUCAAUUUACAAUUCAACUUUUUCAUAUCAUUUCAAUAGCUCGUUUGACCAACUCGUUCGGUUUAUCAUUUCAUCAUUUACCCUAUUAACAAAACUCGGACUUUGGCGGAUACACGGAUCCAACCAAACACACCAGAAUGGCACCCAGUGCCUCAUCGGAUAGUUCGAAGCAAUAGUUGACACCCAGUGUCUCAUCGGCAAAGCCGAAGAAAGUUGGUACCCAGUACCUCAUUGAAUCUAUCCGAAGAAAUAUAGUGACACCCAGUGUCUCAUCGACUCGAGGUCGAAGUAUCCCUGAACUCUUCCAAUCCUAUGGCAUGCCAACUAUAUCCGACUCAGCCCGACUAGUUAAUAGGGUAUUUAAAUCACAUAUAUUCUCAAUUCAAUCACAAUUUCUCACAUUUUCAAUUCAAUCAUUUUUCCACCUUUCAAUCAAUAAUUAUUUCACAACUUCACACAUUUUCACAACUCAAUACAUUUCCAUACAAUUUAAUACCAUUCACAAUUCGAUUCAAAUUCAUUUCCCGCUUUCAAUCAACAAACAAUUCAAAUAUUAUUUCAUAUCAACUAUUCAAUUUAAUUCCCACUCAUAAUAAUAAUAAUAAUAAUAAUAAUAAUAAUAAUAAUAAUAUUAAUACUUACCUCACAUUUCAUUUACUAGACACAUAAAUUAAAAUUUAACAUUUAAGAAUAAAUAAUUUGAAUUAUAGUAAUACAAACCGUUAUUCUCCCGUUUUAGUCCUCGAUAACUUUCUCCUUUCCUUUUGACGCCGAUGCCUCGGGUUCUUUGUUAGAUACGAAAAUAAUAAUAAUUUGUAAUAUUAAUUACAGCACUAAUUAUAAUAAAUAAUUGAAUUUCUAUUCAAUUUCUUCCUAAUUCUCAAUUUAAUCCUAACUAAAUUCACUUACUUUCCUAAUUCAAUUCACACUCUAUUUCUAUUCAAAUUUCAUCCAAACUAAAAUUUAACUAUCAAAAUUUCAGCAUAUUUUGCUAAUUUUGAAUUUCCCUCAAUUUAGUCCCUAAAACAUAAAACUUAUAGUUUCUUUUACACUUUAAUCCCUUUAUCAAUUCUAACUUAAAAUUCAUUCAAUUAAAUCCCUAAUUCAACAAUUUAUUCAACAUAAACUAUUCUUGAAAACCUAUAAACUUACAAAAUAUCAACUUAAUUCCAUCAAAACUUUGUUUUAAAGCUUUUUAAAACAUUAGAAUUAAGAGAAAAGGGCUAAUUUGACUUACCAAAUUAAAUUUCAAGCUUCAAAAACCCUAUUUUCCCUAUUUUCUUCUUUUUCUUCUUUCUCCCCUGUUUCUCCCCUGUUUCGUCUCUUCUAUUAUGUUUCUUUCCUUUCUUUUGUUCCUUCUAUUCUUUUAUUUUAACUUACUUUACUUUAUUUCCUUUAUUUUAUUUCUUUUAUGUUUAAUUAAUUAUUAUUUAUAAAAUAUCUAUUUUAAUAACAAAUAUAAUUAAUACAUUUGUACCAUAUCACAACCUUACAUUUGUCUUAAUCUAACUACUUCAUCAAAAAAAAUCUUUUAAUAUAAUAAUUUUAAUUAAUAAAUAUCUUUUACUUAAAUUUUAAGUAAAUAAAUAAAUGUAAUACACUUGUAUUUUAUUUUUACCACACACUUGGCAAAAUCAUAAUUUAUUAUUACCCAAAAAAUCUUAUACUAAUUAUUUCAUUAUUAAAUAUCUUUUAAUUUAAUAAUAACUAAUAACUAAUAAUGAAUAAUAAAUAUCUUAUACUUAAUUAAUAAGCAAAUUAAAUCUACAAACUACAAAUAUAUACAUAUUUUAAUUACACAUGCAUUAUUUUAUCACCAUCCAUUUGUCUACUAAUUACUUUAUUUAAUAAUAAUAAUAUAAAACCAUAAUAAUGUUUAAUAAUUAUACUAAUUAUAUACAUAUAAUAUCUAUAUAUAACCUAAAUAAAUUUUGGAUUUUAAUGCAGAUAUGCCGCCUCAUUUCAUAUAAAUGGCUUAACUGCCAUUUUAGCCCUUUUUAUUUUUUUAUUUUAAUCUAUAAUUAGACUUUCACAUCUAUUGCAAUUUAAUCCUUUUUGCUAAUUACUCAUAAUUAAGCUAAAUUCACUUAUCUAAAACCUAAUUAAACACACAACUAGUCUAGUAAGUAUUUCUAAUAAUUAUUUUCGAACUCAAUUUACUAGGACGGAGGCCCGAUAUUAUACUUUUCCGAUGCCCAUGAAUUUUGGGUCAUUACAUUUCUCCCCCUCUUAAUAAAUUUCGUCCUCGAAAUUUACCUGAGAAGAGAUGAGGAUAUUGUGCUCUCAUUGUCUCUUCCGGUUCCCAAGUCGCUUCUUCCACACUAUGACUUCUCCAUAAAAAUUUUACUAAAGGAACCCGUUUAUUUCUUAAUUCUUUCACUUCUCGUGCUAAUAUCUGAACUGGUUCUUCUUCAUAAGUUAAAUCAGAUCGAAUUUCAAUGUCUUCAGUGGGAAUGAUAUGAGAAGGAUCCGAUCUAUAUCUCCGAAGCAUCAAAACAUGAAAAACAUCAUGAAUUUUCUGUAACUCUGGAGGUAAGGCUAAUCGAUAAGCAACAGGCCCAAUUCUUUCCACUAUCUCAUACGGCCCAAUAAAGCGCGGACUUAAUUUUCCCUUCCGACCAAAUCUCAAAAUUUUCUUCCACGGCGAUACUUUGAGGAAUACCUUAUCACCAAUGGAAUAUUCAAUGUCUCGUCGUUUCAAGUCUGCGUAAGAUUUCUGUCUGUCGAAAGCGACUUUCAGUCUAUCUUUAAUCUUUUUAACUGUUUCUUCUGUCUCUUGAAUCAAUUCCGGCCCAAUCACUUUUCUUUCUUUUAAUUCUGUCCAACAUACUGGUGAUCGACACCUUCGACCAUAAAGUGCUUCAUACGGAGCCAUUUUAAUACUAGAUUGGAAACUAUUAUUAUAAACAAACUCGGCCAAUGGUAAAUAACGUUCCCAACCUGAUUCAAAAUCAAUGACACAAGCUCGAAGCAUAUCUUCUAAUAUCUGAAUUACUCGUUCAGAUUGUCCAUCAGUUUGAGGAUAAAAAGCUGUACUGAAACUAAGUCGAGUACCCAAUGAUUCAUGCAGCUGCUUCCAAAAUCUCGAAGUGAAUCGAGGAUCUCUGUCUGAAAUUAUUGAUACCGGAAUACCAUGUAAUCUAACAAUUUCUCGAAUAUAAACCUCGGCAAGCUUCUGUAAUGACCAGUCGGUUCUAACUGCUAUAAAAUGAGUUGAUUUUGUGAGUCGAUCAACAAUCACCCAAAUAGCAUUCUUUUUACUCACUGACAAUGGCAACCCCGUAACAAAAUCCAUGGUAAUGCGAUCCCAUUUCCACUCGGGAAUAGUAAUAGGCUGUAACAGACCUGUUGGUACCUGAUGUUCUGCUUUUACCCGCUGACAAGUCAAGCAUUUACUGACAUAUUCAACUAUAUCUUUCUUCAUUCCUGGCCACCAAUACAGUUCUCGUAGAUCACGAUACAUCUUCGUUCCUCCUGGGUGCAAAGCAAAAAUACUAUCAUGUGCUUCUCAGAGAAUCAAUUCUUUAAUCUCAGAAGUAGCUGGAACACAAAUUCAAUUCCGAAAUCUCAAACAAUCAUGCUCGUCAAUACUAAAAUUUUCUAUCGCACCAUACUGUACCAUUUCUCUUUUCCUCAUCAACUUUUCAUCUUUUAACUGUGCUGCUCUGAUUUGAUCAAACAUUACCGGCUUGACUCUUAACUCAGCUAACAAACUUUCAUCAUCAUUAAUACUAAGCCGAGCGAACAUUGCCCGUAAUUCAACCGCUGCUUUUCUGCUCAAUGCAUCUGCUACCACAUUUGCCUUCCCUGGAUGAUAAUCUAUAACACAAUCAUAAUCCUUCAGAAGUUCUAUCCAUCGUCUCUGUCUCAGAUUCAACUCCUUUUGUGACAAAAGAUAUUUAAGACUUUUAUGAUCAGUAUAAAUAUAACAUUUCUCACUAUACAAGUAAUGUCUCCAAAUCUUCAAUGCAAAGAUUACAGCAGCUAACUCCAAAUCGUGUGUCGGGUAGUUGCGUUCAUGUGGCUUCAACUGUCGAGAUGCAUAAGCUAUUACUUUUCCAUUCUGCAUCAAUUCACAACCCAAAUCAUUCAAAGAAGCAUCACUGUACACUAUGAAAUCUUUCCCCGAUUCUGGUAAAGUUAAAACUGGUGCCUCUGUCAACAUUUGUUUCAAUGUUUCAAAGCUCCUCUGACACUGAUCAUCCCAGAUAAAUGGAACAUUCUUCUGUAGUAAUUUGGUCAUCGGAAAAGCUAUCUUCGAAAACCCAUUUACAAAUCUUCUGUAAUACCCAGCCAAACCAAGAAAACUGCGUACCUCUGAUACAUUCUUUGGUGCCUUCCAUUGAACAAUUGCCUCGAUCUUUUUCGGAUCAACUCUAAUCCCAUCCGCAGAUACAACAUGUCCCAAGAAUACUACCUCUGAUAACCAGAAUUCAGAUUUACUUAGUUUCCUGUACAACUGUUUUUCUCGCAGAAUCUGUAGCACGGUUCUGAGAUGCUGAUCAUGCUCUGACUCUGACUUCGAAUAAACCAAGAUGUCAUCAAUAAAAACCACCACAAACUGAUCUAAAUACGGCUGAAAAAUAUGAUUCAUCAGAUCCAUAAAAGCAGCUGGAGCAUUAGUCAACCCAAACGACAUCACCAAAAACUCAUAAUGACCAUAUCUUGUACGAAAAGCUAUCUUCGGCACAUCACUUUCUUUUACUUUCAACUGAUAAUACCCAGACCUCAAAUCAAUCUUCGAAAAUACCGAAGCUCCUUUUAGCUGAUCAAAUAAAUCAUCUAUACGAGGCAACGGAUACCGAUUCUUGAUUGUGACUUUGUUCAACUGUCGAUAAUCAAUACAAAGCCGCAUUGAUCCAUCUUUCUUUUUAACAAACAAUACCGGAGCUCCCCAAGGUGAAAUACUUGGUCUAAUAAAUCCACGAUCUAGCAAGUCUUGCAACUGCAGUUUCAACUCUUUUAAUUCGGUGGGCGACAUUCGGUACAGAGGUGUAGAGAUUGGUACUGUACCCGGGUACACUUCUAUAGCAAAUUCAACCUCUCUGUCAGGUGGUAUGCCCGGUAGUUCUUCAGGAAAUACAUCUGGAAACUCACAUACAGUUCUGAUCUGACUACACUAACUACCCACCGAAUCAGAAUUAAUAACAUAAGCUAGAUAUGCUGUACAGCCCUGUCGAAGCAAUUUACUAGCCUUAAUUGCUGAAAUAAUACGUGUCGAUCCAUUAGUACAGAUACCCUUCACCUCAAUUCUGUCCCCGUCUUCUGUCUGAAUACUAAACUUCUUUUUAUAACAAUCCAAUACUACACCGUGUUCAAACAACCAAUCCAUCCCCAGUAUUAUAUCAAAAUCCCCAAAUGGCAUAAUCAACAGGUCAACAGGAAAAGUUUUAUUUUGUAUAAUUAACGGGCAUCUCGGACAAACCUGAUUCACUAAUACUGUGUGCCCCAACGGACUCGACACUUCUACAGUUACUCUAGAUACUUCAGAAUUAAAUUUUCCCAAUUCAACUAAUUUUGAAUUUAUAUAAGAGUGUGAAGAUCCGGGAUCAAUCAAAGCAUAAACAGGCUCAGAAUAUAGUAAGAAUAUACCUGUUACUACAUCGUGGGCGUCGCCUUCUUCUCGUGUUCUGACCACAUAAGCUCUGGCGGGUACUUUAGCUUCAGACUGCUGGGUACCAAUAUCACUGCUCCUUCUACUACCUCCUCCCCUUGAAACCAAGCUACCUCUACCUGUCCCUCUGCCUCUAGCAGUAGAUACUGAUCUCUGUGAUGUCACGGGAGCAGUACUAUCAGCUUUCGGACAGUCUCUAAUGAAAUGGUCUGUAGGACCACAUCGGAAACAACCUCUAGUUAAUUUCCAGCAUUCCCCUCUGUGUUUCUUUCCACAGUGCUGACAGUCUGGAAUUUCUAUUUCUCGAGAAGGGCCUCUCAUACUGCCAGUAGAUACUGUCUUCUGUCUUCCUCUACUUCUACCGCCUCUGUCUGAUCUGAAACUAGAUCUCCAACCACCUUGAGACUCCUUUGGUCUUUUCGGCUUAGGGUUCGAACUCGUAGUUCCUGUAUGUUUCCCGGUUGGUCUAACAACUUCAGUCUUUUUAUCGAGGCCCAGAACUUGUUCCACCAUUUUAGCCCGCUCAAUCAAAUCUACUAACUCAGUGAUCCGAUGAGAUACUAACUGUACCUUGAUCUCGUCUCGCAAACCCCGUAGAAAUCUUUUACAACUAUCAGCUUCUGUAGGAAUAAACUCGGAGGCAUAUCUGCUGAGUCUAGAGAAUUCCCUCUCAUAAUCUAUUACUGACAUAUCCCCCUGUUGUAACAUUAAAAACUCUUGUUUCUUGUCUUCGAUAUACAUCUCUCCAAUAUAUUUCUUUUGAAAUUCCUUCUGAAAUAGAUCCCACGUUAUCUGAUUCUCUGGUAUAUGUCGAACUACUGAUUCCCACCAUAGAUAAGCCUCCCCUUGUAGCAACGAUACAGCACAGAUUAAACACUCCCGGGGGUACAGUCCAGCUGCUGUAAAAUUCUCUUAGUCGACUCCAUCCAAUUUUCAGCUGCGGAUGGAUCGACUCCUUUUAGACCCAUAAAUUCAGUGGCACCAUAUUUUCUUAGUUCCUUUAUCGGGGCCCGUCUUUGAGUAGGUACUGGAGUCGUAGCAGGAGUAGUCCCCGCUACUCUUUCUAGUGCAUCAGCUAUAAUUCUCAGUAAUUGAGAUUCAUCUCUUCCUCUAGCAUUUUCCCGUUCUACAUUAGGAGGUUGGUUACCCAACGGAUUCACACUCGGUGCAACAGAUUCUGUUUCAUCUAAUUCUCUAUCUUCAGUAUGCAUUCUUUCAUCAGUAUCAUUUAUUCUUUCUUCAGACAUCUUUAAUCUAUAAAACAAAACAAACAAAUAGGUUAGCAUCCAAAAAUCCCGACUCAGUUUCGACUCGACAGUGGCAUGUACAUCUAGACUCAAUUCCGAGCUCGAUUUAGGCCGAGAAUCGGCUAAACCUGAUAGCUCUGAUACCAACAACUGUAACACCCCCUAACCCCGAACCAUCGCCGGAACAGGGUUAUGAGGCAUUACCGGACAUAUCAGACAGUUUACAAAAAGAAUUCUUAAAUAACUAACAAACAUAUUGAAAUAAAAUCACAAAAUCAUAUGUUUAUUUACCAAUUGACUUCAUCUCUUUUAUUAUUAUUAUUAUAAAUUUUAUAAAAAUUUCGGCAACAUUUCUGCUUAUAUUUACAUAGAACCCCCUGCAAUUAAAACCAUAUCUUUUCCAAAAUAUAAUCAAAUCAACCAAUUCAUUCCACAUUCACAUUUUCUAUUCUAAUUACUUCUAAUCAAACUCAAUCAACAUAAUAUCAAUUUAAAAUUUAACAAGGUAAUAAAUAAAUCAAAAUAGAUAAACUUCUUUCAUAAUAAUUCAUAAACUUUUAAUACUAACAUUUUUUUAACCAUUUAUAUUAAAACAUAACAACCUUUAUACACAUCCUAUGUACAUGCCACAUUACCCAAAAGAAAAUAUACAUCACCAAAGUUAUGCUGAAGUCGGGAUUAAUCUGGAUGCUGAACCGGGACCUUUGACUUCUAUCGACCUACGCACAGAAACAACCGUACGCUGAGUAUUUCAUACUCAGUGGUAUUACCAUAAUUCAAAUUAUAACAAUAAUAAACAUGUAAUGCAUAAUUCGUAUAUACAAUUUAAAUUCAAUAUUUCAACAAUAGCAAUUUAUCAACCAAUAUUGUAUAUCCACAAUUUGAGUUUGAAUAAAUCAUGAACCUUAGGUUCAUUUCUCAAUCUCAUUUCACAUUUCAAUUCACAAUUCAACUUUUUCAUAUCAUUUCAAUAGCUCGUUUGACCAACUCAUUCGGUUUAUCAUUUCAUCAUUUACCCUAUUAGCAAAACUUGGACUUUGGCGGAUACACGGAUCCAACCAAACACACCAGAAUGGCACCCAGUGCCUCAUCGGAUAGUUCGAAGCAAUAGUUGACACCCAGUGUCUCAUUGGCAAAGCCGAAGAAAGUUGGUACCCAGUACCUCAUCGAAUCUAUCCGAAGAAAUAUAGUGACACCCAGUGUCUCAUCGACUCGAGGUCGAAGUAUCCCUGAACUCUUCCAAUCCUAUGGCAUGCCAACUAUAUCCGACUCAGCCCGACUAGUUAAUAGGGUAUUUAAAUCACAUAUAUUCUCAAUUCAAUCACAAUUUCUCACAUUUUCAAUUCAAUCAUUUUUCCACCUUUCAAUCAAUAAUUAUUUCACAACUUCACACAUUUUCACAACUCAAUAAAUUUCCAUACAAUUUAAUACCAUUCACAAUUCGAUUCAAAUUCAUUUCCCGCUUUCAAUCAACAAACAAUUCAAAUAUUAUUUCAUAUCAACUAUUCAAUUUAAUUCCCACUCAUAAUAAUAAUAAUAGUAAUAAUAAUAAUAAUAAUAAUAUUAAUACUUACCUCACAUUUCAUUUACUAGACACAUAAAUUAAAAUUUAACAUUUAAAAAUAAAUAAUUUGAAUUAUAGUAAUACAAACCGUUAUUCUCCCGUUUUAGUCCUCGAUAACUUUCUCCUUUCCUUUUGACGCCGAUGCCUCGGGUUCUUUGUUAGAUACGAAAAUAAUAAUAAUUUGUAAUAUUAAUUACAGCACUAAUUAUAAUAAAUAAUUGAAUUUCUAUUCAAUUUCUUCCUAAUUCUCAAUUUAAUCCUAACUAAAUUCACUUACUUUCCUAAUUCAAUUCACACUCUAUUUCUAUUCAAAUUUCAUCCAAACUAAAAUUUAACUAUCAAAAUUUCAGCAUAUUUUGCUAAUUUUGAAUUUCCCUCAAUUUAGUCCCUAAAAUAUAAAACUUAUAGUUUCUUUUACACUUUAAUCUCUUUAUCAAUUCUAACUUAAAAUUCAUUCAAUUAAAUCCCUAAUUCAACAAUUUAUUCAACAUAAACUAUUCUUGAAAACCUAUGAACUUACAAAAUAUCAACUUAAUUCCAUCAAAACUUUGUUUUAAAGCUUUUAAAACAUUAGAAUUAAGAGAAAAGGGCUAAUUUGACUUACCAAAUUAAAUUUCAAGCUUCAAAAACCCUAUUUUCCCUAUUUUCUUCUUUUUCUUCUUUCUCCCCUGUUUCUCCCCUGUUUCGUCUCUUCUAUUAUGUUUCUUUCCUUUCUUUUGUUCCUUCUAUUCUUUUAUUUUAACUUACUUUACUUUAUUUCCUUUAUUUUAUUUCUUUUAUGUUUAAUUAAUUAUUAUUUAUAAAAUAUCUAUUUUAAUAACAAAUAUAAUUAAUACAUUUGUACCAUAUCACAACCUUACAUUUGUCUUAAUCUAACUACUUCAUCAAAAAAAAUCUUUUAAUAUAAUAAUUUUAAUUAAUAAAUAUCUUUUACUUAAAUUUUAAGUAAAUAAAUAAAUGUAAUACACUUGUAUUUUAUUUUUACCACACACUUGGCAAAAUCAUAAUUUAUUAUUACCCAAAAAAUCUUAUACUAAUUAUUUCAUUAUUAAAUAUCUUUUAAUUUAAUAAUAACUAAUAACUAAUAAUGAAUAAUAAAUAUCUUAUACUUAAUUAAUAAGCAAAUUAAAUCUACAAACUACAAAUAUAUACAUAUUUUAAUUACACAUGCAUUAUUUUAUCACCAUCCAUUUGUCUACUAAUUACUUUAUUUAAUAAUAAUAAUAUAAAACCAUAAUAAUGCUUAAUAAUUAUACUAAUUAUAUACAUAUAAUAUCUAUAUAUAACCUAAAUAAAUUUUGGAUUUUAAUGCAGAUAUGCCGCCUCAUUUCAUAUAAAUGGCUUAACUGCCAUUUUAGCCCUUUUUAUUUUUUUAUUUUAAUCUAUAAUUAGACUUUCACUUCUAUUGCAAUUUAAUCCUUUUUGCUAAUUACUCAUAAUUAAGCUAAAUUCACUUAUCUAAAACCUAAUUAAACACACAACUAGUCUAGUAAGUAUUUCUAAUAAUUAUUUUCGAACUCAAUUUACUAGGACGGAGGCCCGAUAUUAUACUUUUCCGAUGCCCAUGAAUUUUGGGUCAUUACAUGCAGGGUCUAAAUGGGAAAUUAUUCCCUAGCCCUUGAAGUGUGUCAUUUCGCAAUGGGCUAAAAUGAAAUGGAAACAAAAUUACAUAGGCAAAUUUAAAAAAAAACUAAAAGGACAGUAUUGAAAUUUGAAUAAAAGGCGGAGGGGUCAACCGCGCAAAUAACCCCUUUUACAGAAAUACGUGGAUCCUUCAGCGGGUCGGACUUGGCCUGACACAACGCCGUUUUAGGUGCCAGCGUCUGCGCAUGGUCUAAGGACCAAAUUAAAACAUAAGCAAAACUUUGUGGCCAAAAUUAAAAAUAAAAAAAGACCACAUUGAACACGCCGCAAAGGCGGAGGGACUUAUUGUGCAAACGGCCCCUUUAACGAAAACGCGCGGAUCUUCCCUGGCGGGUCAGGUCAACACGCGGAUCUUAAGGGGUAAAAUGACGUCGUUUUAAGGCUAUUAUCGUCAGCCCUAAACGAUGUCGUUUAAGGUGUCUAUUUAAGUCAGAUUUUUUUAAAAAAAAUUCAUUUCUGCCCCCAUUUAAAAAAAAUAGAUAUUUCUCUCUCAAAACCCCUUCCCUCUGGUCCUGGCUCCGGCCGCUAGCCGCCGUGCUGGCCACCGGCGACGGCGACGACACCGCCGUCCGCAGUGGCCAGAAAUGCCAAAACCACCCCUUUUUGCUUCUCUUUUCGAGUAGAGCCUGAAUUUGGGGUUAGAAUGGCCCGAAGGACCCCCGAUAGUCAGUAAAAGAAGAAAAUAAAUGAUAAAACUAAGGGGCUUUGUGACUCCCCGUCAACGUUGGUGGGGUUUGUGGCAAGCCCACUGACCCAGCCACCCUCAAGACCGGAGAAACCUCCGUUCGCGGCGUUAAAGGUAAUAGACUUCCUUUUUUAUUUAUUUAUCUAUUUAUUUCAAAAUAAAAUAUAUAUAUAUAAAAGCACAUUCGUUUUCUUUAGAAUCUGUUUCAAACUUCUUCUUUUUUGUAUUCAGAAUCAGUGCGUGUGUAAAAAUUACAAUGAGAUGUUGUGGCUUUUUUAUAGCCGAAUUACAAGACCGUUUGCUUCUAGCUUUUUUGUCGUUUUGCUAUUGUUUCUACUUUCUUGCGUGUUGAUCUCUCUUUGCAGGUGUCAAACGCGUGUGGAGGAGGCGUGCGGCGGUAGCAAGGUCAGAAGGCCUAGGUGCGGCGCACCUAGGGUUAGGGAGGCUAGGGUUUUCUGACAUUGUUUAAGUUUUUGGCUUAUCGGGCCUCUAGGGGUUUAUUAUUAUUAUUGGGCAUUUGGGGUUGUAAUUUAGGUCUGAUGGACUGUUAAUGUUUGAGAUUUUUUUUUAGGUUUUAUUUCUAUUUAUUUUUGGGUUUUGGGCCCAGGCAAAUUGGGUCUAUUACAGCUGCCCCUCUUUGCUCGUGAUCAUGUAACGGGAAUGGAGCAAAGACUUCAAAAAGGGUCAAUUUUGUCUUGUCUCACCGAAUCUUGACUUCUUGGUGCUUAUCUUCUUCUAGUAGCAUUGUUCUAACCCAUUGCCAUUUCAAGGAGAUGAAACUUGCGAUUUUAGUCUGCUUUACUGCAACUUUAGGGAGAUAAGAAUUGCUAUGGUAGAUUUAAUCCAACCUACUGCAACCUCAGAGGUAUAGGAUUCAUUGUUUUAAUCUGCUCCACUGCAACUUCAGGGAGAUAGGAUUAGUAGCUUCAAUCUGCUCCACUGCAACUUCAAGGAGACAAUAUUGGUAUCUUCAACCUGCUCCAUUGCAACUUUAGGGAGAUAAGGUUUGUGGCUUUAAUCUGCUCCACUGCAACUUCAGGGAGAUAAGAUUUGUAGCCCGUCUUCAAUCUGACAUUGUUUAAGUUUUUGGGCUUAUCGGGCCUUUAGGGUUUUUUAUUAUCAUUGGGCAUUUGGGCUUGUAAUUUAGGUCUGAUGGACUGUUAAUGUUUGAGAUUUUUAUUUUUUGGGGUUUUAUUUUUGUUAUUUUUGGGUUUUGGGCCUGGGCAAAUUGGGCCUAUUACAUAAGUUAUAUAUUUUUAUCAAAAGUUAAAAUGCAAUUCCAUAAUUAUGUUAUGGUAUACCUUUUAAAGUUUUAAAAAGAUUAAAGGAAAAUUCAAUCAUUUAAACUUAAUUCUUCAAAAAAAUAUUUAAACAUAAAAUAUAUGAAAUUUUUUAUAUUUUGUUAUUACAUAUUUACCUUGUUAAUAGUUUAUAUAUACAAGGAUAAAUUAAUAAUUUCAUAUAGUAGAGCGCGUCAGGGUGGGGCAGGCAAUUAUCAUAGUCACUUUAUACCCACUAUCCAAAAGAAAAAGUUCACUCUAUCCCAUCCCAAAUCCACUUUUCAAAAGAAAAAAAAAACCCACUCCAUUUGCAAUGGAUCGAUUUGGAAUCCAUUGUGCGGUUCGAGUUUUGUGAUAUCUAAUUAUGAAGAUAUUAUUCUUUGGCUUAAUAUAUAGAUUAAUCCCUAAACUUGGUAACUUUUCUCAAGUUGGCCCCUAGACUUUUUUAUGGAUCAAAUAGGUCCUUAAAGUUGGCAUUGGUUAUACAAAUAUGUCUCUAUCAUUAACACUUCUUUUUAACAACAAGGUGGCAUAGCCAAAUAUGGAGGUUGUAACAGGCCAAUUAUGCCCGGCCCCCUAAACAAAAAAUAUAUAAUACAAAACCAAAAUAAAUAAAAGUCCAAUAAUAGGCCAGUCCAUUUACAAAAUAUCAAGACCCAAAUUACAGGCCCAAUGCACUACCCAUAUUACAAGCCUGAUAACAUAAGGCCCAACAGGCCCAAAAUCUUAACUAGUUUCAGAAAGCCAAAACCUUAGGAUUUCUGGCAUCGCACCCUAGCCUGCGCCAUCGUGGCUCCACUUCGCUAGUGGUCUCAUAGCUCGAGGUCUGCCACCGUCACUGUCAACCACCACCUGCAAAAAAAGAAAGAAAAGACAGAAACCAAACACGUAGAAACAAAGCAAGAAACAGUACGAAACAGUAGAAAAAUAGAAAAAAUAAUAUUGUAAAUCGACAAUAAAAGCCAGAGAACAAAAUUGUAUUCGGGUUUUUUUUUUUAAAUCGAAUACAAAGACAAUCAAAAAAUAGAAUCCCAAAAACUUCAAAAGGUGAUUUUUUUCUUUAUUAUUUCGAAUCUAUUAUUGUUGAUAAAAUAAAAAAUAUAAUAAAAAUAAUAAUAAAAAGAAAGGUUUGAGGACUCACUGAACACUUUGUGCUCCAUCACCAUAAGUAGGCAAGGCCGUCACCUCCGAUGAAAGGUGACUCUAAGGAAAUUUUCAAAACUCAGAAAAUCGAAAGGUUUUUGGCCAUUUCUUGUUUUUUUUAAUGGGUUUUCAGGGUUUUGGGUUUCCGAUCUGGGUUGAGGGAAAAAAAGGUGGUCAAAAUAGGUUUUUUAUAAAAUCCGGCCACUAGUGACGGGGAUCGUCGCCGACGAUCGGUGGCCGUGACAAACAAACGACGGUACCCAUGGCUGGAGCAAAGACGAUUUCAGAGAAAAAAUAAAGGUUUUUGGAUUUUUUUUUAAUUGGGGUUUGAAAGGAAAUUUUUGGAAAAUUUUUUACUUAUAUAGGCUUCCAAAACAAUGUCGUACCUUAGGAUCCGCAUUUUUUUUGCGACUGGGGUAAAAUUUUGACCCCAGUCCUUUUGCUUUUUAGACGAUUUACAAUGGAGUCCUUUUUAUAAUUUUAUUUUGUUUUUAUUUUGGUCCAUGGACCAUUCUAGAAUAGGGGCACCUAAAACGGCGUUGUUUCAGCUGACCCGGACCGCGUAGGAUCAGCGUAUUUUUGAUGCGAGGGUUUAUUUGUGCUUUUGGUCCUUUCACCUUUUCGACUUGUUUCAAUUUAGUCCUGUUCUUUUUAAUUAUUUUAAUUCUUUCCUUGUAACUUUAAUUUGUUUACAAAUUAGUCCUUUUGAUUCAGUACCGACCUUUGGGGAGUGACACGUGUCAUGGAUUUUGGGAUAUUUUCCCGUUUAGCCCCUAUUAUUUUUCGAAUGAUAUAUUUUAGUCCUCUAUUUACUUAUUUAUUUACAAUUUAUGCUUUUAAAUUUCAUCUUAAUUCUGAUUUAGUCCUUGGUUUAUCUAAUUUUAACUUUUUUUAUUUUACUUAUUUAUUUCUUUAUUUAAUUAUUUAAUUAUUAUUCCUUUACUUUUUUAAUAUUUAAUUUUUUUUGUAUUUCCUUUUUUAUUGUGCUUUUUUUUCUUCUUUUUGCCUUUAGUAUUGUUAUUAUCAUUCCAUUAUCUAUUUAUUUAUUACUUUUUUUUAUACUUUCAAAAAUCAGAUUGUUUACGUUUUUUUACUUGUACAUUUGUUGUUGUUGUUCUUCUUCUUCUUAUUAUCAUUAUUAUUGCUUACCUUUUUCCGAUUAUUUCUGUUAUUAUUAGAAUAAUAAUUAUUGUACAAGCCCAUUUUUGCCCGACCCAAAACCUAAAAUUUUUGCAGCCCAAAUUCCCAAACCACCUAAACCCAAAACCAAUUACAAAGCUCAAAACCCAUUUACAAAUUUUAAACUCACACCCGAGGCCCAAUAACCCAAUAGGCCCAAUCCCAAAACCAAAGUCAAACUAGGGUUUCAGAUUUUCUGAAACCCUAGCCCUGGCCGCCGCACGCCUGUCGAAUCACCAGCAGCCACGACCACCGCCGGAUGUCCCAUCGUUCCAUUGUGCCCAUCAGCCACCUGCAAAGAGAGAAACAGGCAAAGUACAACAGAAGCAGUAGCAUUCGGCUAUAAAAGCCGAAGAAAAUGUAAUUUUCACUUCUCUUCCAAUUUUUUGUAAAAAAAGAAACACAUAUUAGCAGAAAUAAAUAAAAAGUAAGAAAAGCAUUCAAGGUUUUUUUUUUCUUUUCGGUUAUAUAGAUUUUUUUCUCUUUUUUUUCUUUCUUUCGUUUUUUACUCAUAUAUAUAAACUAAAGUAGUAAAAAAGAGAGGUUUACCGGAGUCAUCCCGUGACAGCAUUGUCGGAGGGUGGCUCUCCGUCGUUAGGACCAGACCUGAGGGGGCCGAGGCAUUCCUCGUCCUAGUCUUAAGUUUAGAGAUUAUUUUUGGUAUUUUGGAGCUCGGAUCGGGGUUUGGGAGAUCAUUUUAGGCCGAAAGGCCCUUUUUUCGGAACUCCAACCACUGUGUAUGGUGGCCUACGGACGACUUUGGCCGGCUUUAGGGCCUGGGAGAGAGAAAGCUCUCUGUUUUUUUUAGAAAAGUGAUGAAAAUGAAAAUUUUGGGCAAUUUUUUAUAUUUAUACUAAUUCAAAACGGCGCCGUUUGAGGCCUCCUGACCCGCGCGGUGACCUGACCCAGGGGGAGGAUCCGCGUGUUUUCUUCAAAUGGUUAUUUGCGCGCGCAAUCCCUCCGACUUUGCAACGCGUUGCAAUUUGGCCCUUUUUCGUUAUUUUCUUUUAUUUUUAAUUUAGCCACAUAGUUUUAAUUUUGUUUCAUUUUGGUCCAUUGCAGCGCUGCGUUUUGGGAACUUGGUCUAUUUCCUGUUUUGGUCCCUCCCCUUUGACGCGUGUUGCAAUUUAGUCUUUUUAUCUUGAAUUCUCCCAGUAUUUUCAUUUUUAUUUCAAUUUAGUCUGUGUUUUAGCACUUUUAUUAUCUAGUUAAUUAUUUUAAUAUUAUUAUUAUUGUUAUCAUUAUUAUUAUUAUUAUUACUAUUAUUAUAUUAAUAUAAUUACUUCUAUAUGUAUAUACUCACAUGUACAUAUUUUAUAUUUACAUGCAUAUAUACGCUUUUUUUAUUUUUAUUUUUUUUAUUUUUAUUUUUAUUUUAUAAUUUAUAUACAUGUAUGCAUUUAUAUUUGCAUUUUAAAUUUUUGUAUAUACGUACUUACAUGUAUCUCUUUUAUUUUCAUAAAUAUAUAUAUACAUACUUACAUAUUUUUAAUUUAUAUAUAUGUACAUGCUUAUAUAUUUUAUACUUUAUACUUUAUAUAUACAUAUAUAUACAUGCAUAUUUUUAAUACAUUUUCAAACACAUAUACACAUUAUCAUUAUUUACUUGUUUAUAUAAUUUUAUUCUUUUUAAACUUUGUUGUAUUCAUACACAUACGUUUUUAUUUUUUUUAUAAUUUUAUUUAUUUUCAUUAUUGUUAUUAUUAUUUUACUCAACAUUUAAUUAAUUAAUUAAUUAUGUGUCCAUCAUUAUUUUUACUAUUAUUAACUUUUUAGUCAUUUAUAUAUCAUUUAUUUAUGUAAUUGUUUAUUAUCGUUUUUAGCCUAGCUCUAGUUUCUAUUCAUUCUUGUAUCUUUUAUGUAUUUAUCUUACUUUCGCCUUUAAUUAGUACCAUUCAUAUUAUCGCAUUCGUCGUUUUGUGUAUAUUAAUCUUGUGAUUUGUUUAUAUGUUUUGCUAUAAAACCGCGUACCUUUUACUCGAUGCAUUUCAAAUGUUGUUCUAAUUAAACUUGUAUUUUAAGAUUUAAAAAAGUUGUACUCUAACUUACGGGGUUCUGACUUUCUCGAUAAAUUCGAACACACGAAUAUUUUCAAACUUAAACUUUUAAACGAUCUUGAGAAUUAAUAAAAAAAUCGUGUCCUAACUUACGGGACAUGAUUUCUUUUUCUAAACCCAAGAUUAUCGAAUUCUUUCAAAAUAAAUAAAUUUUUCGGCUUUCAUUCUCGUAUCGAGAAUUUUAGACAUUGUGUCCUAACUUACGGGAUGUGAUUCUUCUUCUCGAUUAACGUGGAAAUAUGCUUCUCUCUUUGAAUUUUAUUUUUCAAAAUUUUGAUAAAGGAUCUUAUUUCGAAUCUUUUUCAAGUUUUCAAUUUUCGACAUUAAGACAUUAACUAAUCAACUAGGUACCAAUUUUUGGGCGUUACGAGGGUGCUAAUCCUUCCUCGUACGUAACCGACUCCCGAACCCAUCUUUUUAAAUUUCGUAGACCAAGAUCGUUGUUUUAAUAAAAUUAAAUCGUUUAUUAAAAACAACCACUUUUCGAGGUGAUCCAAUCACACCUCAUUAAAAAGGAUUGGUGGCGACUCCCAUUUUCGUUUUCAUUUUUCAAAACCCAAGUCGACCCCAUUUUUGUCCAAAAAAAUUGGUGUCAACAAUUAUAAUACAAUCAUUGCCAUCUUCAUUAUAAAUUGGUGUUUUAUCACUAUCGUAGUUACAUUACUGUCGUUCACUAGCACGACAUUUUUAUUUUUCGUAUAUCAUUGAUCCAUUUUUAGACACUACCAUUUCAUUUUAUUUCAUUAUAAUCACGUCACGAAUCAUGUUUAGAUAUAUUUAUCAAUUGUCAUACUAUACCCAAAUAAGAUAAAUACACAUUCUUUUAAAUGUUACAUUUGUAUUUACUCGAAAAAGGAAAUUUUUUAAGGUAAUGUUCCGUAUUUGGAGAUUCGAGAAGUCGUGCCCUAACUUACGGGGUUCGACUUUGUUUUUGAACCUAGAUAACCGAACAUCCUUUUUUUAAAAUAAAAGUAUACGAGAUUUCAUUAAAUAACCAAAUAAUGAGCAAGCUUAUUUUUGAGGAUUUGAGAUAUCGUGUCUGAACUUACGGGACGUGACCUUUUUGUUUACCUCGAAAUAAGAAAGUCUUUUACAUUUGUUUUAAUUUAUUUAAGUAAUUUUAAUUAAAAAUAUCGUUAUGCAAGAGGGGAUUGUGUUUUAAAUUCUCUUCAAAUUUUCUAUUCUUGACAUUAAGACAUCAAUUAAUCUACUAGGUACCAAUUUUGGGCGUCACGAGGGUGCUAAUCCUUUCUCGUGCAUAACCGACUCCCGAACUCAUUUUCUGGAUUUUGUAGAUAAAAAAAUUUAUUGUUUUAGUAAAUUAAAUCUUUUAUUAAAACGAUCAAAUUACGAGGUGAUCCGGUCACACCUCAUAAAAAAAGAUUGGUGGCGACUCCCAUUUUCGUUUGUUUUUCAAAAUAAAAAGCCGAUUUCAAAAAGGUUUUGACAGAGGUAACAUGUGGACAAGUAGAGAAAUAACAUGUGUUGUCAUAUUUAAUUAUUUAAAAAACAAAUAACCCUUAAAAUUAAAAAAUAUAUAUUUAAAAAAAAUACGCUAAACAAUAAAAACUAUAGUAAAAAUUUUAGAAAAUUGUCAUGUCAACUUAAUUGUCAAAGUCAAGGGACUAAAUGUUAUAUCCACCGGCCUUUAUCAUAAAUGUAGCUUUAAACCAUUAUAUAUUGUUAUUGACAAAUAAGCUAAAAUUUGGAUUUACUUGAAACAUCUUAAUCGAAUUAUUUAAAUGAAACAGCAAUAAGAAGACAAUGAAGUUUGUGCACAAGCAAAAUUGUUUUCUUCUGAUUUAACCUUAGUCUCUCACCUAGAAAUUUUUUUAACAAUUUUUAUAAUUUUCACACUUUUAAUUGAGGUAAAAAAGAUCACUGUAAUUUAAGGCUACUAAUUAGCUCUCAAAUUUGAACUUCAAUGCGUGCAUGGCUUCAAGUCCUCAAGUUCAAUGAGUAGACGUCUUAUUGAAUCCAUGAACUGCCAUCUUAUUGAAUUCAUACACCAACAUUACUCAACACAAUAGAUUUAGUAACCUACAAUUACAUGAUUAUAACAAACUAUAACAUGCUAAUACAUUACGAGAAUGCAAAUCCCAAACAUGGGAUUCAAUUUAUUAUUUGUAACAUUAAUUUAAAACCGAAAUCGAGCUUUUACUUGUGAAUAUGAUCAUAUGUUCUUAAUUGGAAAUCGGUGGUGAGAGAGCAGCAAAGGCGUCGAUCUGCUGGUUGGAGUUGAACCUCUUUGCUAUGUCCGAAGCAGUAAAAAAGAAGUACUCCAUGAAAUCAAAGUCUUUGUAAAGUUGAGGAUGUUGGUCAUCUAUAAGCUCUUUGGGUGUCUUGAUUAUGGUACCCUUGUUUGGAACGGCAAAAGCUGCUAUAGAAUAUCGAUCUUUAUCUCCACUCAUCAUCACUCUGUGCAUCCCCGAUUUCAAUCUCCCAUUACUCCAAGCCUUCAAUUUCAAAACUCAACAUCAAUAAGUAUUUAUGAUAAUUAUUCACUUUCAACAUCAAUAAUCUAAUCUCACUAUAUCUAUAACCCAAUAUCUUAUGUCAACAUCGGUAAGUAUUUUAUGGUAACUCUUAAAUUAAACUUUUGUAAUCUAAUAAAUAUAGAUUGAGAAGAAAUGUUGUCCAAAGUUGGACCAGGAUUUAAUUGAACUCAAGGCUCAGAGAUAGUGCCAGGGGACAAGGAAUUGCCCCCUCCACCCCCUCCCCACUUAAUUCUAACUUUUAUAUUUUUUAUUCUAUUCACAUAGGUCAUGCACGUAAAAUUUUGAAUAAAUACCUUGAAAGGGUCUCCAACCAUAAAUACAAAGGAAGAAGGAGAUAAAUUAGACAACCUCAACCAUUGGCCGUCCUUGACCUCAAUUUCCAACCCUGAAAUUUUAUCCUCGCAAAUGAGUGUGCUAAUUGGUUUAUCUGUAUGAGGAAAGAGUCCACUCUCAAACUUCCCCGAUGGAGGGGCCAUGUAUUUCACCAUCCGUAUCAGCGUUGUGUAGCUCAUCUUCAGUGAUUCCUCCCCUAAUCCAUAACUAUCAAUUAUCAUUAACCAGAUUAACUUGUUUAGCUCUUCCAUCUGUGUCGCCAGGGUGUAUACAAUGUCACUGAAAUAAAAUAUCAAAAUACAAAGUCAAUAAUUUGAACUCGCUUAACUCGAACCAGAAAUGAGAUACCAAAUCAACCCAACCUGCAGAAUUAAAAAUGUAAAUGAAUUUUUCUUACCAAAAGUGUGGGUAACCAUCAGGCCACAUAAGUUGAGCAAAGCUUUUAAUAGAAUCAUAGUUGGAGGCAUCUCCAACUCCGAAGCCUUCAUACAACAAAGAAAUCUGAGGGGACGAUCCAACCCAACCAUGGAAAGGCACGGGACUAACAUUCUUCUGUUUCCUCUCUACUGGGACUUCAACCAGUUCUUUAAUCAACCUAAAAACCUCUUCUCGAACUUCCGUUGAUAUCUUUUCGUAUACCACCUCAAAAGAGCCGAAAGUCUCGCAAGCCUCACGAACCCUCUUGCACAAACAAUUCCACCCAUCAGUACCUCGCUUCAAAUCCGAUGAACGGAACUCAAUGACUGGGUACUCAAUUUCAGCAUUGACACCCAUGUUCUAGAAUUUUUUGUUAUGCUCUAUAUAUGGAAAUGUUCCCUUAAACUAAAUCAGCUUGUAAACUAACUUUGCUUCUCUCUAGGUAGGGAAUUACGUCUAUUUAUAGGCUUAGGGUAGAAAUCCACUGGCUCUUUCCUAUGCCCCUUACCAUGCUCCGCCUGUUCACUUUUCAUUUAAGAAGCUUGUAAUGUUAUUAAAUUAAAAGGGAAAAAUAUUUAGUUUUUAAGAAAAUGAAGUGAACAAAAUGAAUUUGAUUGUUUUUAGUGAAAAAAAAAGUAUUUUAAUAAUAAAUAAAUAAAUAUUUUUUACUGGUAAGAUUACAUGGAAUUUUUUAUAAGAAUGACAAUAAAUAAUUAGUAUCAGCUCAAACAGAGUUGACUCACACAAACUCAUAUUUAAAAUUUGAUUGUAAAAUUAUAUAAAUGUUAAUAUUAGAUUAUAUUAUUAAUUUGUCAUUUUUCAAAAGUAAAUUGAUUCACUUGAACCGAGUUGGCCGGACUUGAAUUUUUUUUUUAAAAUCAUGUAGUUGCCGACUUAACUUGACUCUUGAAUACCUUUAAUUUUAUAGUAAAGAUGCUAACGUGUUGUGUUCUAAGUCACUUUGCCUACUUGUUAUAUUUAUUAUGCAAUUUAUAUAUAAAAAAUAAAUAUAAAAAUUAAUAUAUUAAAAAAUUUAAUUGUUUGGUCUAAUAUUUUAGAUUUAAUAGAAAAAUCAAUUUAUCAAAACUCUAAGUAUGGAACAAUCUUCAACUAUUUCUAUUUUUAUGAUCAAUUAAAUUAAAUUGUUUUAAAUUUAUUAUUUUAAAUUUGAAAAAGGAAUUAAGAAAAAACACUAUUUUUUAUAAAGGAAGACAACUUAUCCUUAUCUUAUUAAGGGGCACAGAUGGGCAGAGGAUUUUCAUCCCGGAAUUACGUCUAUUGAUAGGUGUAGAAAUGCCACCUUUUCCCUUUUCACUUAAGAAAGGUGUAAUGUCAUUAAAGGAAAAGAAAUUAUUUUAUAAAAUGAAGAGAACAAAAAUAAAUUUUAUUGUUUUUAGUGGAAAAAAAGUAUUUUUAAUAACAAAUAAGUUUUUUUAUUGGUAAAAAUACUUUAAUUAAGCUUUUGGUAAGAAUGACAAUGUAUAGUGCAAGGUCAGAUAUUUUCAGAUGUUUAAGUUUCUUUUUGUGAAUUUAGAUAUUACGGAUAUUCAAAUUUGAAUAUUCUAAUCAUUUUAUGCAAUAAAUCCGAAGUGGAUGUAAAUUUUAACCCUUGAAUAUCCAUUAUUAAAAUCUACUUUUGUGAAUAAUUUAUUUAGAUAAGAUAUCUAUCAUCUAAAUAUUCCUUAUUUUACGGAUGUUCAAAUUUAGAUAUCCAAGUCCCAUUAUCCACUUUACCUUUUUAUUUAUAAACUGCAUAUAUUUAACCGAUUUUAAUAUUCGGUGGAUAAUUUAAUAAAAUUUUAUUCAAAUAGAAAUACUCAAAUUUAACGUGGAUAGUAAAUAUUUUAGAUUUUAAAGCAUAUAUUAAAAUAAAAAUAAAUAGUGUAUAAUUUUCUCUAAUUUUUUUGUAAAAUUUAUUUUAUAAUCCAUAAAUCUGCUUUAAAAUCCGAGUAAUUUAUGAUCACAUUAAAUAUGUGUAUUUCUAUCCAAAACUAAAUUUAUUAAAUCACCCAUCAAAUAUCCAAAUCAGCUAAAUAGAUGUUCCGAGUUCAAUUUGCAAAAUCUUGUCACUGGUAUCGACUAUGAUUUUAACCAGCUAGAUAUAAGGAGACCUUUGCUUUUUUAGAGCAUUAUUGUUUGCUAACUGUUAGUUUUGUUUGGGUUGAUGCUCAUUCUAUCAAGUUGAGUUUUGUAAUCUUUUGGUCUUUGAAAGAAGUUGAAGGUAUUUUUCAACUCUUUCUUUUUAUGUUGUUUUUAUAUCUGGUGAGAAAAAAAUUAAGAAAAAAAAAAGAAAAAAUGCUCAGUUUUAUAUAUGAAAUUUUUUUAAUCUAAGUUUUAAUUUUAUUUUCUUUUGACUUCUUAAUUUCAUAUUUCGAGACAGUAGGAAAAACAAUGUUACAAAAAAAACUUUCAAACGUACCGCAAAAGUAUCUCUAUGUGAUAACGAAACAACCAUGGAGAUUCUCUAUCCGCCGUCAUCUUUGACUAGUGGUAAACUACUUUUUAGGGCACUUUUAACUUUGGUUACUCAAAAAGAAAUUAUUUCAAUUUCCUCAUCUAACUUUUAAGGAGUUAUAAUUUUAGUCACUUAGCAUAAAAUAUUUAACAAUGGUUUAUUAGGAUGAGCAUUCGAUUGAAUCGAAUGAAAAAUACUUCGAGUUAGUCGGGUUGACGAAUCCUAUUUUUCAUCCUAACUCGAUUUAAAAUUUUCUUGAAUUGAGUAGAGUGAUAUAGAAUUCGAAUCGAAUCGAAUCGAAUCGAAUAUAUUUGUUCGAGUUAAAUUAGAAAAAAUGAUUUUGGAUCUUUAUAGCCACUGCCACCAAUCGUAAUCGAAUUUGCCCACCGUAAUCAAAUUUGUUAUUAACUUUCAUCUCCUCAUAAUUCAUUUAUUAAUCUUUUAUAUACGAGUUAGCUUUUUUGCUUGCUUAGUUGCUUCAAUUAUUUUCUGAUUCUUGUCACCGAGUAUUUUGAAAUUAAAAAAAUAUAUUAAAUGUAAAAAAUGUGAUUUUUUAAUAAAAAUUAUUUUAAAGAUAAAAUGUGAAAUUGAUAUACCAAUAGAAGAGAAAAAGUUAUUCUUUAUCAAAUUAAUUUUUUUAGAAUGUAUUGUAAAUUAUUUAUCAAAAUAAUACAAAAAUAGGAGACAAAAAGUUAUUCUUUAAUCAAAUUAUUUAUCUUAACUAAAUGAGGAAAUGAGGAAAUGAGGAAUUCAUAUUUUGUUUUUCAAUUAUAGCAAGCGGGUGGAAUUGUAAAUUACAACAGAGUUAAUGAGCUUUGCUAGGCCAAAAAGGCAAAAAGGAAGAAGUCCAUGAAAUCAAUGUCCUUGAAAAGCCGAGGAUGUUGGUCAUCUAUAAACUCUUUGGGUGUUUUGAUUAUAGUAACCUCAUUUGGAAUGAUAAACACUGCUAUGAGUAUCGAUCUUUGUCUCCUCUUAUCAUCACUCUAUGAUGCACUAAUUUUGCCUUCAAUUUCCAAAAUCAACAUCAGUUAGUAAUUUUUUAUAAUUAUUCACUUUGAACAUCAAUAAUUUAAUCUCAAUAUAUAUAUUAUCAUGAGCAGAUAAAGGAGUUAUUUAAAAUUUUGAUUAGGAGAUCCAAAGUCAACAUAAAGUAUUUUAUGAUAAUUAUCCGUCGUCCAUCUUUGACUAGUGGUGAACUACUUUUUAGGGCACUUUUAUUAUUUUAGUCAACCAAACAUUAAAUGUUUUGGCAAUUGAACUUGACACUCUUUCCUUAUUUAGUACAUGGACUUAACACUUUUCUUAAUUUGGUACUAAAUUUUUCUUGGGUCUAAUUUGGUAUUUGAACUUAAUUUUUUUUCCCUAAUUUGGUACCUAAUUGUCUUUUUUUUUUCCGAUUUGAUACCUAAACUUGUCAAACGUUAUACAAAUUACUCUAAUAUACUAACAAUGUUUUUUUUUUUAUGAGACAAUAAAAAUUAUCAAUGUAUGAUUGACAUGUGGCAAAAAACAUGGCAUUUCUUUUGGGUAAACUAAAAAAUGGUCACUAAACUUUUUGAAAUCAAAUAUUAUGGUCACUCUCUCGUUAGUUGUAUUUUUUAGAAUUUUGUAAAUGUCGAGGAUUAAAUUUAUUGAAUUUUUUAGAUUUUGAACAAAAUUAACAAAUUUUGUAAACAUUGUGGGCUAAUUUUUUUAAUAUUUUAUAUUUAGGAUUAAAUUGAUAGAAGUCUAAAUAUUAGAGGGCUAAAUUUGUUAUUAGACCAAUAAAAAAGCCCACAUUGGCUUGUAUUUGGGUAUAUUUGUUAACUAUAUAUGUGUAAAUGGCCUUAUUAUAUAUGGUGUUUGGUUGCCAUGUGAAUGUCUUGAUUGUGAAUUGGUAUUUUGGAUAUCAAAUAGUUGAGUUUUAUAAGUGACAUACAUGUUAAGUUUUAGGCACAAAAAUGCAUAUAUAUAUGUUUGACCAUUUAGGUAGAUUUUGGAGACAUAUUUGGCAUGUUUAUAGAUGGUCAAUUGAGGUGCCUAUGGGCAUCAUGUUUUUAUGUAUUAAUAUUACAAGUUUUAAGCUUGGUUUUGGUUGGUUUUGAAUGCCUAUUUAUGUCAUGGUUAUAUGCAAAUUGUUGUGUUUUGGUUGGAACCAAAUUGGGUAAGAAAUAUGGCUUACGGAAGGGCUUAUUUUUGUCCAUACGGGCAAAGACAAGAGCGUGUGUCUCAGCUAUGUGUGACACACGACCAAGUGACACUGCCAUGUGUCCCCUAAAAUUUCUAUAGAAAACAAGCCAGUAGCUUCACAUGGCCUAGCACACGGGCGUGUGGCUUGGUCGUGUGACACAAGUUAGUAUACCCUCUAGUUUUUACACGGCCUAGCACACGGCCUGGCACACGGGCAUGUGAGGUCAUUUCGAAGGGUACACAGCCUGGCACAUGGACGUGUGGUUUGGCCGUGUGACCCAAGUCAGUAAGUCGAGUGAGAUAGAAUUCCAAUAAAGUGAUUUUGUUUCUAUUAUAGAUAAAAUAUUCCUUCCAACCGAACUAAUUCCGAUGAAGUUGAGAGCAAUUCUCAAGCCUCUGAUCAAGGGGUUGCUCAUGAUGUGUUGGAAUUCAAGAAGUCUUGAAAAUAGGUUUGUAGCGACCAAAAAAUUUUGCACAGGCGCUAGUCGAUGAGAUUAUUGAAAAUUUAAAGAGUCUCGAUUUUAUUUUUUUAAAAAGGAGUUGCCACCGAUUUUUUUCUAGGUGUGAUCGGACACCUAAUAAAUUCUCUUUUUAAAAGAACAAUUAAUUUUCAAAUGUUCUAAAAAAGAGUCGAUUUUAAGUCCACAUCAAAAUCCAGAGAAAAUUAAGGUUCGGGAAUCGGUUACGCGCGAGGAAUGUAUAAGCACCCUUGCGACGCCCAAAAUUAGUAUCUCAUGAAAUGUGCAUUGUCUUAAUUUUCAAAAAUACGAGUUUAAUUUAAUAUUUAAUCGUGAUCCGAUUUUUAAAAAAAUGAAAAUUUUGAUAAAUUACAUAUUAUUUUUAAAAAUGUAAUUUGAUAAUUUACAAAAGAUAAACAUUUUAUUUUAACUUGAGAAUUUUUAAUUUUCUCGAUUUUUAGAAGGGCAUCUCGUAUUUAACACGAGCCAAUGAUAUUCACCCAAUAUAGCGAUAAAAUCAGUGGCUUAAUGCCAAAUCGAUUCAUUGCCUUAUUUAUUGAAAUUAAAAAAUUGCAAAUAGAUGAACAUAAUAAUAUUUCUAAAAUUAAAAAAUAAAAAUAUUUAAAAAUGGAAAUAAUAUUAAAAACAAAAUGUCAUCAAAACACAUGAACUAAACUUUAAAAGUGGGUAAAAAAAGAAAUUACCGAAAAGCCCAAAAUUUCUUUUUUUUUUUCUUUUUUUCUACUGAUUAGGCUGCUGGGUCGGCCCAGCCUGUUGACUGUGGCCUGCUGCUGGACAGGCCUGCUGUGCUGGCUGCUGGCUUGGCUUAGGUCGGGCUACACGGGUCGGUCGGGUCGGGUCGGGUCGACCCUACUGUGAUAUUUUUUUUCUUUUUUUUCUUUUCUUUUUUUCUUCUUCUUCCCUUUUCUUCUUCCUUUCUUUUUUUCUCAAACCCUAGCCACCACGCCGCCGCUGCCGUUUCCUGCUGCCGUUGACGCCACGGUGCUGUGCUUCCCCUUCUCCUUCUUCUCUUCUUCUCAUUUCUCCUCUUUUUCUCUUUUUUCUCUCUUCUCUCUUUUUUUGCAAGUUUUUUAUUUUUUUUACUCUUCAUGGGCCAUCUGUUUUUUGGGGAAAACCCCAUUUUAUUGUUGUUAUUUUGCAGGGAUUAGGUGGAUAGGGAAGAGAGAGGCCAUGCCUUAGGCCGGCGAUCGAAAAUAGGGGGCAGGUGCGCGAAAUUCGCCAGAUUGUUGGGGAUUUUCUGACAGAAGGACCAAAUUACAAACAUAGCAAAAUUCUUGGGGCCAAAGUGUAAUUAUAGGAAAAUUUAAGGGUAAAAAUAUAAUUUCAUGAAAUUUUAUGGUUUAAAAUGUAAUUUUAGGAAAGUUUAAGGGUCAAAAUAUAAUUUUAAGAAAAUUCAGAUGUCAAAAUGUAAUUUAAAAAAUGCAAAAUUUGACCCGGAUAAAAUUCAGUGAUUAUAAGGUUCAUAAUAUUUUUAUUAAUAAUGAAUGAUAUAUUUGAUGUGUUUAUGAGAAUUACUUUUGUGGCUUUACGAACUCCACCCCUUUGUCCUCAAAGUCCUAUGACGGAAUAUUCACAGGAUUUAUGUUGAUUAAAUCCGCAAGUGGGAAGCCGAAAAGUUUAGCAGUAAAAUGAGUAAUAAUUUGGCUAGAGUCGAGAACUGGUUGGCAAAUAUAGAAAGUUCUAGAUGAAAUAUCAUAUUUUUUUGAAAGUUAUCUGAGAUGUGUGGUGUCACUAUUAAAAGAAGAGGUUACGCACUGGUAAUCGACUUUAACUACUAUGGUAUCUAAAGAAUGGAGUAACCAAGAUUUCUUCUGAAUUGAUUUUCAGAAGAAUUAUGCCAGCAGUAAUAUUUAGACAAAAAAAGUUCUUAGAUUGAAGCUAGGAAAUUAAUCGGUUGCAGGUUUUGGGUGAGAGUAGUUCAGCUCAGUUAGUAUGUUAAUAAGAUGGUAUCGAUUCAAAAGGAAUUAUGUAAUUGUUUCAGAGAAAGAUUGAUUAAUAAGAUUAAAAUACUUGUUAGUGAAAUGAAAUCUUGUGAGUUUGUAAUUUUGUUUGAUUGGAUUCAGGUAAUGUAAGAACUAAGUAGUUAUUUCCAGGGCCAUUAGGGUUUUAUGACAAAGAUAGAAUGAAAUAGAAUAAUGUGAAACCACCGAUGACUUUAGUAGCUAGUGCGGUAGUGUUUGAAAUGUAAAUAAACCUAAAUGCAGCCAUUGUGCUCGAGUAUUUUACAAGGACCUCAACUGAGUAUACUAUCUACUCUUUUAUCUACAGUGGCAUAGACAGUUGUUUUGUAAUACCCUGAAAAUUUCUACAAUAAGGAAAGUAAGAUAAUAUCUCUGAUAUAGUAAAAUAAGGAAAUAAAGUGCUAAAAAGGGGUAAUUUUGAGUUAUGGCAAUAUUGGGAAGUAUAUUAUAACAUAUUAAUUCAAGAAAGGAUUAAAUCGCAAAAGUGAGAAAAAUUUUGUUACCCAAGAGUAAAUACUCAAAAGUUGAGGGAUUAAAGUGUAAAUAUGAAAAAGCUAAAGGACCAAUGGUGUAAAUAUUUUAAGGGUGGAAUAAUCUAGAAACUAAGAAAAAUGGAUGGAUUGGGACCAAAUUGAAAAAGGUGAAGAAGUUUGAGGGACUAAAUCACAAUUUUACCAAAUUAAGUGAUCACUCAAGGAUGAAAUUUUAAAAGAUCAUAAAAGGGCAAAAUGGUCAAUUAGAAGAGAGAGAAAUCUAGAAGAUAAUGAUGAUGCUGGAGAUAUUUUAUAUUAAUAAAUAAAUAUUAGUUUAUUAAUAUUUUAAUUUGAUUUUUUUAAAUGAUAUUAUUUUAUUAUUAUUAAUUUAUUUAGUAUAUAUAUGUGGAAAGAAGGAUGAAAAGCAUCCAUCCCCACCAUUUUUGCAUGCAUUAACGUGAGAAGAAGAGGAGAAGAAAGAAAGCUUUGUUUUCUUUGCAAUUUAGUCCUUUCACCAAAAAUCCACCAUUUUCACUUAGAAAUCAAAGAAAUUUCCAUAGCCACCAAGAGAGAAAAAUGACAAGGAGACUAUGGGGAGCUAUAAUAUCAAGUUAGAUUCAAGAAAUAGAGGCUGGAGGAGAGAGAAAAUCAAGUUAAAGAUUGAAGUCAAUUGAGCAAGGUAAGAACAUCAUGAUUUCAAUAUAUUUUUGAGUUUGAUAUUAUUAAAAAAGUAUAAGAUUGAUGUUAAUGUAGAGUUUUAUUAUAUAAGGUUAUAUGUUAUUGAUAUGUUAGUGAAGAGAAAAUAAGAGAAAUUGUGUAGAGAAAUUGUGUAGAGAAGGAAAAUAAGAGGGUUAUAGACUUAGUAAUCAACAUUUUACACUAAAAUAGUUUUGAAACAGCAGCAAUAGUCUGACUUUGAAAAUCUACCAAAAAUCUUAUAAAUUGAAUUAGAGGAUGAAAAAAAUAUGAAAUUAAAUCUUAUUGAGUCUAGUUUCUCAUAGAAGAAAUGGUGUAAGCAAUGGAAUUGUAAAUUAUGAGAUAUUAUAGGUUUUGUGAGAUAAGGUCAGAAUGAUUUCGGGUUCUUCUGAAAAUUUUAUGAUAAGAAGAUAUGUGAGUCUAGUUUCAGAGAAAAUUAACGAAUCUUAAUUUUGUGUUCUUUAGCUCAAGAUAUAAAUAAUUUAGUGAUUAUGACUCAAGUGGACAGCUUUGAAUGAAUAUAUAAGUAAUUGGUGAAAUUAUAGAUAAUAUUACCUAUAAGCAUGUUAUAUACAUUAAGGAUGUGGAAUGGAGAGGAGGAGGAGGAAAAUAUAUGAUUAUUCAACUAGCAUGAGUUUUUAUUAAAAAUGACCAAUUUAUAUGUUUCAGGGACUAAAUUGAACAAAUGUAAAAAUUUAAGGGUAAAUUCGUAAAAAUGUCAAAAAGUGAUCAAAUUGCAUGAAAUGAAUUGUUUUAUUAUUUAAAUUAUUAAAUUGAAGGAAAUAUUAAUUUAGAUCAAGAUUGGAUGGAAAUUCGAGAAAAAUAAAAAAAUUUCCAAAAUGUCCCUGGAUUUUGGUAUUUCUGCAAUUUAGCCUGGUAAGUUUGUAUGAACUAUAUUCUGUAUAAUUUUAAUUAAAGUGAAUGUUAUUUGAUGAUGAAUAUUAUAUAGAUAUGUGUUUUAUUAUUGAAAUUGAAUUAUUAUUGGUAAUAUGUACAAUUAUUAGAUGUAGUGAGAUGAUUAUCGGAAGAUCGAUUGUGGUUGGUAGGAAAUGUUGUAUUAUUUAUAUUAUGAAUGUAACACCCCUUACCCGUAUUCGACACCGAAAUAGGGUACGAGGUAUUACCGGAGUUUACUAAUUAAUUUUCAGACAUUUCAUUUUUAUCUAACAUUCAUAUUUAUAACCAAUCAAAAUCAAAACAUUAAUGAGCUAAUGUUAACCAAUUUAACUUAUACAUGCCAUUAUAACCAGAAUCAAUUCAUCCUAAAUUACAGAUAGAACCAAUAGAUAAUGUGAUAUAUCUCCAACAAGUUUCCGAUAAUCAUUUUAAAGCAUCUAAUAAUUAUAUAUAUUAUCAAUAAUAAUUCAGUUCCAAUAUAAAACACACAUAUAUAUAAUAUUCAUUACCAAAUAGCAUUCACUUCAAUUGAAAUUAAACAAAAUAUAGUUCAUACGAACUUACCAGGCUAAAUUGCAGAAUACCAAAAUUUAGGGACAUUUUAGAAAUUUUCUAUUUUUCUCGAAUUUUCACCCAAUCUUGAUCUAAAUUAAUAUUUCAUUCAAUUUACAAAUUUAAAUAAUAAUAAAAAAAUUCAUUUCGUGCAAUUUGGUCACUUUUUGACAUUUUUACAAAUUUACCCUUAAAUUUUACUUUCAUUCAAUUUAGUCCCUGAAACAUAUAAAUUGAUCAUUUUUUAAAUAAAAACUCAUGCUAAUUAAAUAAUCAUAUAUUUUCCUCCUCCUCUCCAUUAGACCUGUCCAUGGGCCGGGCCCGGAAAAAAAUUUUGGCCCGACUCUUAGGCCCGGCCCAAAAUAUGGGCCCGACUCUUAGGCUCGGGCCCAGCUCGGGAAAAAAAUAAUAAGCCCGAGCCCAGCCUGGCCCGGCCCGGUUUUUAAUAAACACAAAAAAAUAUUUUAAAAAUAAAAUAAUAAAAAUAUUUUUAAUGUAUUUUAAAAAUAAAAAUAAAAAUAAAAAAUAUAUUUAUUAUAUUCGGGCCGGGCCGGGCCAAAAAAGUUAAGCCCGAGCCCGGCCCAUUUUUUAAACGGGCCUCGUUUUUUGCCCAAGCCCAUAUUUCAGGCCUAUAUUUUUACCCGAACCCUCCCAUAUUUCGAGCGGGCCGUCGGGCAGGGCCGGGCCGCCCGGCCCAUGGACAGGUCUACUCUCCAUUCCACAUCCUUAAUAUAUAUAACAUGCUUAUAUGUAACAUUACCUAUAAUUUCACAUGUAUUUAUAUUCAUUCAAAGCUGUCCACUUGAGUCAUAGUCACUAAAUUAUUUAUAUCUUGAGCUACAAAACUCCAAAUUGAUAUCUGUUAAUUUUAUCUGAAACUAGACUCAUAUAUAUUAUUACCAUAAAAUUUUCAGAAUUUUUGGUUUAGCUAAUAAGUACAGUUUAUUCUAUAAAGUCAUCCCUAUUCUGUUGUCUGACAGUUCCGACCCUUCUUCACUAAAACUUAAUUAUCUCCUCAUUCAGAAUUCAAAUGAUGUUACCGUUUAUUUUUAUUGAAAAUAGACUCAUUAAAUAUUUAAAAAUAUAAAUUUAAGCCUAUAAUUAUUUUUCUCAGAUUUUUGAUGAUUUUCCAAAGUUAGAACAGGGGAUUUCGAAAUCGUUCUGACCCUGCCUCACUAAAAUUAAAAUAUCUCAAAAUAGACAAUUCUUUUGCUUGCUCUGUUUCUUUUAUAUGAAAGUAGACUCAUUAAGAUUUAAUUACACAUCUUAUUAAUAUUCUAAUUCGAUUUCCACAAUUUAUAGUGAUUUUUCAAAGUUAACCUACUGUUGCUGUCCAAAACUGUUUUAGUUCAAAAUGUUGAUUACUAGGUAUAUAACUCCCUUUCUCUAUAAUAUUUCCCAUCACUUUUACUUAUUUUUCUUCACUAAUAUAUCAAAAACAUAAGACCAUGUAUAAGAAAACUCUACUAUAACAUUAUUUCCAUGCUUUUUCAAUAAUAUCAAACUUAAAAGUAAAUUGAAAUCUUGAUGUUCUUACCUUGUGCUAUUGAUUUCAAUCUUUAACUUGAUUUUCUCUCUCCUCCAGCUUCUCUUUCUUGAAUCUAACUUGAUAUUCUAACUCCCCAUAGUCUCUUUAUCAAUUUUCUCUCUUGGUAGCUAUGGAAAUUUCUUUGAUUUCUAAGUGAAAAUGGUGAAUUUUUGGUGGGAGGACCAAAUUGUAAAGAAAGGAAAACUUCUUUCUUUUUCCUCUCUUCUCACGUUAGUUUCAUGGAAAAAUGAGAUGAUUUCUCAUCAUCUUCCUUCCUUUUAUACUAAUCAUUUAUUAAUAAAAUAAUACUAAAAACAUUAAUAAAAUAAUAAUUAAAUAACAUUUAUCUAAUUAAUUAAUUAAAAAUAUCACCAACAUCAUCAUUACCUUCUAGAAUUCUCUCUCCUUCUAAUUGACCAUUUUGCCCUUCAUAAUCUUUUGAAAUUCCAUCCUUGAGUCAUCACUUAAUUUGGUGAAAUUGCAAUUUAGUCCCUCAAAAUUCUUCAUCUUUUCAAUUUGGUCCUAAUUCAUACAUUUUCCCUAGUUUCUAGAUUAUUCCACCCUUAAAAUAUUUACACUAUUGGUCCUUCAACUUUUUCAUAUUUACACUUUAACCCCUCAAGUUUUGAGUAUUUACUCUUGGGCAACAAAACUUUUCUCACUUUUGCGAUUUAAUCCUUUCUUGAAUUAAUAUGUCAUAAUAUACCUUCCCAUCAUAAUGCAACCCAUGUCAAAAUUUUAAAAUAAUUUUAAUUUUUUUUCCUUAUCGGAUUUGUGGUCCCGAAACCACUUUUCCAAGUAGACCCAAAAAUUGGGCUAUUACAAUGAAGAAUUAUAAAAGCAUGUUAAUAAUUAGAAAGUUUUAAUAAUUAAUGAAAUUUUAUAACUUGGUUCAAUACGUUUACAAGUGCAUGUAUUCUGGUAAUGCCUCGUACUCUAUUCCGAUGUCGAAUAUGGGUAAGGGGUGUUACAUGUUUUAUCUCUAGUUGUGGUGCUUAUCAUAUGAGGAUGUUGGCUAAUCAUAAUAUUAGGUAGAGAUAAUGUUAGCCUGGCUGUAAUAAUGGUCGACAUUGCUCUAUUAUUGGCAUUUUAUUCAAUUAUGCUUUCGUGGAGGACUCAAUGGAAAAGUGAUAAGCUGUCAAAGUAACAUAUUUUAAUGACAUUCUUAAUGCGUUUUUCGAUGAUUAAUUAUCUAAAUUAGUGAAUUUGAUGCUUUUAAUCCUUUAAAUUCUUGUUUCUAUACUUAGUAGAGCAUUUGGGAGCAAAAGGAGUGAGAAACGAGCCAGGAUCCACACGGCCUGGGCAUUUCCACACUGGCAAGCCACACGCCCAUGUGCCAGCCCGUGUCGAUAGCACACUUUGCUUCCCAAAUACGUGGAAAAACCUAAUUUUUAGGCUUCCUGAGCAUUCUAAAGUCUAUAAAUAUCAAUUAGAAGAAUAUCUAGGGGAGCACUCAGAGAAGAUUGAAGAAAUCACUCAAAGAACGCCAUCGAAAUCAAUUCAGAAGCGGAUCUCCUUCAAGAUUGAAGAUGUCCAUUUAAUUUCCUUCGAUAUUUUAUUGAGUUUCUUUAUGUCUUGUUGUUAUUCUAACUUUGAGAGGUUUCAUUCAAGAUUAUGAACUCCCUAGAUACCUAGGGAAGAUGAAACUUAUGAUGAAUCUUAUUAUUUGAUUUCUGAUUUACGCGAUAAAUACUUGAUUUUCGUUCUCAAUUAUGUAUGUUUAUUUCUUAUUUUAAUAUUUUUGAGAUAUUAAUUCAAGUUUAAUGUACUUAUUUCAGUGGAGCAAAAGUCCUUAUUUAAUAGUAGAUCUAGCAUAAUUGAGUGGAGUUGCAUGCAAUCCAAGAAAUAGGAUGACAUAAAUCUACCGGAUUAGAGACAAAUCUAAUAGGGGAAUCCAUAGAUUGAGUUAAUGCGAAAAUAGGAGUUUUAAUUAGAAAAAGAUUUCAAUUAAUCAACCUAGAGUCAGUUGUUCUUAAUCUCGAAAGAGAUAUUAACAUAAUUUAGGAUUUCUACGGAUCAAGACACAAGUGAAUAAAUCAUUUAAUUCAGAUUCAUAAUAAUAGGUGAAGUCUAGGUGGAUUCUUUCCUUGGUAUUUUCUAUCUCAUUGGUUAUCUUCGAAUUAUUUUCCUAUUUCAUUCUUUUUUGCGUUCUUAGUUAGAUUAGUUUAGUAAUUUUAGAUUAAAAACAAUCAUCUCAAUUUAUCGGCUAAAUAAUAGAAAAACGGUAAUUACUAGUACUUUUAGUCCUUGUGAACACGAUAUUCCCUACUCACCAUAGCUAUACUAUAGUUCGAUAGGUGCGCUUGCCUUUGUCGUAGUUAUAGUUAGUUUAGUGAUCAUCACAAAGAUCAAGUGUUGUUGGUUUUCUGUUUCUACUGGUUGUUGCUCUGCUUUGUUCAUGUGAAUUUUUUGCUGUUUAUGUCACAAUUGGUUCUAAUGCGUCUGAGCGAUAUUCUCUUUUUGAUUUUUCUUUGAUAUAUUAGCAAUUACCAUAGUAAUCAAUAUGCUCUUUAUAUGUCGCAUGGUCUUCAAUGGAAAUGGUUUGGAUGUGGACGAGUAUGUCCGGAGGGCUUAUAAAUUUGGAUGUCUGAUAGUAUAGAACUGGGUCCUGUCUUUUGUUUACCAGACCCAAACAAGUUAUACCCCGGGAAUUUAGUAGGGCUUCACGUCUUGGACUUCUUUACCUUAGCUCUGUAACACACCUUACUCGUAUCCAACACCGAAAUAGGGUACGAGAUAUUACCAGAACACAUACACUUGUAAACGUAUUUAACCGAGUUAUAAAAUUACAUCUAAAUUAAAACUUUCAAAAUUAUUAACAUGCUUUUAUAACUCUUCACAAUAUGUAACACCCCUUACCCGUAUCCAACACCGGAAUAGGGUACGAGGCAUUACCAGAACACAUACACUUGUAAACGUAUUUAACCGAGUUAUAAAAUUUCAUCUAAAUUGAAAAAAAAAAGCUUUCAAAAUCAUUAGCAUGCUUCUAUAACUUUUCACAAUAUAUCCUCAAAAUAUUAUGAUCAUAAUAAUUAUGGCCUACGAGACUCGAUACAUACUCAUGCAAUUCAAUGCUUCAUUUCCAUUUCAUUCAAAUUGCAAUUUCUCAUGCUCACAAUUUAAAUCAUAUCACUAGCAAUUUCCAUUUAAUUCAUGUACAAUUCAAUGUCAUUAAGUUCAACACUAAUACGUAUUUACCAUUUAACUCAACGUUUAUCGAUUAUAACAUUCAUUAACACAUUUAUGAAAUUCUUAAUUUUGCAAUGAAAAUAUCACUUUAGCUUAAAUAACAACAUCAUCCUGGUAUAAAAGCACUACCACUUAUCCAUUUUCUAUAAUUCUUUUGAGCCAAUUUGUCACUUACCAUCCUUAAUCAAAUUAGGGAACGGUUAUGGAAAAUUGAGUACUUCACUUUCACCUUGCCAUAGUAUAACUAUGGUCUUACGUAUGAUCACUUAUCACUUGUCCCUGAUCAGAUAAGUGUAGCUAAGCUACCACUUAUCACUUUGUCACUUGAUUAGAUAAGUGUAGCUAAAGCUACCACUUAUCACUUUGUCACCUCUUAUCACUUGUCCCUGAUCAGAUAAGUGGUAGCUUUAAGUGUAGCUAAAGCUAACACUUAUCACUUUGUCACUUGAUCAGAUAAGUGUAGCUAAAACUACCACUUAUCACUUGUCCCUGAUCAAAUAAGUGUAGCUAAAGCUACCACUUAUCACUUUGUCACUUGAUCAGAUAAGUGUAGCUAAAGCUACCACUUAUCACUUUGUCACUUGAUCAGAUAAGUGUAGCUAAAGUUACCACUUAUCACUUUGUCACUGAUCAGAAGUACUCAAAUCUGGCGUUCCGUUCAAUUUGAUCAUUUAUUCAGUUUUCACAUUUUUAUUUUAUUCUCAUUUCAUCAAUAAAUAUAUAUUUCAUCAUACAUUGUAUAAUUCAUGAAAUUAACAUUUAAUCAUUAAAUUUCAGCCAUAUGAACUUACUAUUUCAUUACCUUUCCACACCCGUUUCCUAUGCAUAUCACAAGCAUAUUUCCAUUCAGACUCUUAUUAUUUCAAUGCAUAACUUUUAGGUUUAACGUGGCAUAAUUCAGCCACAACUUAGCCAAAGCCUAAGCAUGUAUACCCAAUAUCUUAGCCAAAUAAACAUAUAGCAUAAGCAUUAUAAGCAUGGAUGAACACAAUAUUUAUUUUAAACUUACUAACAUGUGUUAAUUCAGUACCCAUUCAUGACAUCACUUCAUGCCAAAUCAUAUGCUAAAUAUAGCAUACACAUGUACUAUGAAACUUUAUUUUUCCACCUGUGCUUAAACCAUGACCAAUACUGCACAAAAUAUAUGCAUCAUUUCUAUUUCAUCGUUUAUCAAUUAUAAUCGAGCGUAUUACCAAUUAUACACAAAUCAUUCAUAUAUUUUCCAAUUUUUCUCAUCCUCCUCUCCAUUCCACAUCCUUAAUGUGUAUAACACAUUUAAACAACAUUAUCCAUACUAUCACUAUUUUCCCGUAUGUAAAUUCAAGCUGUCUGUCUGAGUCUGAGUCACUAAUUUAUUUUUAUCUCAAGCUACAGAGCUCCAAAUUAAGAUCCGUUAAUUUUUCUUGAAACUAGACUCACACAUCUUCUUACCAUAAAAUUUUCAGAAUUUUUGGUUCAGGCAAUAAGUACAGUUUAUUCUUUAAAUUUCCCCUGUUUCACUGUUUGACAGUUCCGACCCCUCUUCACUAAAAAUUAAUUAUCUCAUUGUACAGAAUUCGGAUAAUAUUCUUGUUUCUUUCUUUCGAAAAUAUACUCAUUCGAGAUUAUUAACAUAUAAAUUUUAUCUCAUAGUUAUUUUUUUACAUUUUUUAAUGAUUUUCUAAAAUCAGAACAGGGAACUCGAAAUCAUUCUCACAUUGCCUCACAAAGUUAAUUAUAUCUCAUUAUUUUCAAUUCCAUUACUUACACCAUUUCUUCUAUGAGAAACUGGACUCAAUAAGCUUUAAUUUCAUAUUUUAUUCAUCUUCUAAUUCAAUUCACACAAUUUUUGGUGAUUUUUCAAAGUUAGACCACUGCUGCCAGUUUUAGUGUAAAAUAUUGAUUACCAAUUUGAUCCUAAACUUUUAAUACAUGACAAUUUCGUCCCUAGGCUCGGAAAAUGAAAUUCUUGCAAUAUAAUACUUGAUUCAAGACUAAUAAUUCUCAUACAUAUCAAUAAAAGCCCAUGGAUUCCAUGAAAUUUCAAAAGUUAUCCACAAUUUCAAUACUUUUCAAUUUAAUCCCUAAAACAUGUUUUCAUCCAAAAUUCUUUAAUAAAACACCUUUAAACAUCCAUUAACAUCUCAAUUUCAUCAUAAAAUAACAAAAAUCAUAUGAACUUAUCAUCAGUAUCUUCCAAAACUUUCAACAAAAUGAGAAACUAGUAGAAUACUAAGUUGGACCUAAUUGUAAAAGUCUAAAUAUAUAAAAAUUUCAAAGAAAAAGCGAGAAUUAAACUUACUUGAAGUCAAAAUAUGAAAUACCAGCUCCAAACCCUCUUCCAUGGCUGUUUCCCACCGAAAUUUCAAGAAGAAAUGGUCUUCAAAUCCUUAAAAUAAAAUUUGGCCACAUAAAUUUUUUUGUAAUUCCAAUUUUGUCCUUAAAUACAUAAAAAUCUUAGAUUUUUUUAACGGUAUGCCAUCUCAGCCACUUAAAUUGGUCCAUUUGCUCUUUUAACCCUUCCUUAUUUAAUUGUUAAACUAUUUAAUCACUUUAGCAAGUUUUGCAUCUUUUCAAUUCAGUCCUUUUUAAUUAAUUAACUGUCAAAACAUUAAAAUUUUCUGACGAAACUUUAACACUACCAUAUUGACACUUUGUAAAUAUUUAUAAAAAUAUUUACAGCUCGAUUUAUAACAUCGAGGUCUCGAUACCUCUUUCCCAUAAUUUCUUGACUUAAUAAAUUUUUAUAAAACACAAAUUACUAAUUCAAAAAUCUCUUAAAAAUCAUUUUUGGCUCGUAAUUAUUAAUAAUGAAAUUUACGAGCUUAUUUUCUGAAUUUGAUGAUCUCGUACCACUGUUUUCGACAUUUUUGAAAAUCUGGCUAUUACACAAUAUAUCCUCAAAAUAUUAUAAUUUUAAUAAAUAGGGCCUACGAGACCCGAUACAUACUCAUGCAAUUCAAUGCAUCAUUUCCAUUUCAUUCAAUUCGCAAUUUCUCAUGCUCAUAAUUCAAAUCAUUAAGUUCAGUAGAAAUAUGUAUUUACCAUUUAACUCAACGUUUAUUGAUUAUACCAUUCAUUAACACAAUUACUAAGUUCACCUGUCAACCACAAUCAUUGGUGGGUCCCCUUGUAUAAACUCACUCCCACUUAUCCAUUUACUAUAAUUCUUUUGGGCCCAUUUAUCACUUACCAUCCUUAAUCAAUUUAGGGAACGGUUACGGAAAAUUGAGUACUUCACUUCCACUUUGCCAUAGUAUAACUAUGGUCUUGCGUAUGAUCACUUAUCACUUGUCCCUGAUUAGAUAAGUGCAGCUAAAGCUACCACUUGUCACUUGUCACUGAUUAGAUAAGUGUAGCUGAAGCUAUCACUUAUCACUUGCCACUUGUUACUGAUCAGAUAAGUGUAGCUAAAGCUAUCACUUAUCACUUGCCAUUUGUCACUGAUCAGAUAAGUGUAGCUAAAGUUACCAUUUAUCACUUGUCACUGAUCAGAAGUACUCAAAUCUGACGUUCCGCUCAAUUUGAUCAUUUAUUCGGUUUUAGCAUUGUUAUUUUAUUUUCAAUCCAUCAACAAAUAUAUAUCAUCAUACACUAUAUAAUUCAUGAAAUUAACAUUUAAUCGUUAAAUUUCAGCCAUAUGAACUUACUAUUUCAUUAUCUUUCCACACUCGUUUCCUAUGCACAGCACACAAGAUAUAAACAUAUCAUUCAACCAUAGUCACAAGCUAGUGUAUUUAAACAUAACUCUUUUUGGAACUAACCACAUGAUAAACCAUUUCACUAGAGAUUACAUGAUCACAACUAAAUAUGUUACCAUUUCAACCACUACUUGGCCAAAGCCUAAGCAUGUACGCCAAAUAUGUUAGCCAAAUACACAUAUAGCAUAAACAUUAUAAGCAUGGAUGAGCACAACAUUUAUUCAUGUAUCACACUUACCAACAUGUGUUACUUCAUAAACCGUUCAUGACAUUACUUCAUCCCAAAUCAUAUACCGAAUAUACCAUACACACAUUCUAUGAAACUUUAUUUUUCCACCUGAGCUUAAACCAUGACCAAUAAUGCACAAAUAUAAGCAUCAUUCCAAUUUCAUCGUUUAUCAAUUAUAAUCAAGCAUAUGACCAAUUAUACACAAAUCAUUCAUAUAUUUUCCAAUUUUCCUCCUCCUCCUCUCCAUUCCACAUCCUUAAUAUGUAUAACACACUUAAACAACAUUAACUAUAAUUUCACUAUUCACUCACAUGUAUAUUCAAAGCUGUUUAUCCGAGUCAAAGUCACAAAAUUAUUUUUAUCCGAAUCUACCGAGCUCCAAAUUAAGAUCAGUUAAUUUUUCCUGAAACUAGACUCAAAUAUCUUUUUACCAUAAAAUUUUCAGAAUUUUUGGUUUAGCCAAAUAGUACAGUUUAUUCUUUAAAGUUCCCCUGUUCUGCUUUUGACAGUUCCGACCACUCUUCACUAAAAAUGAAUUAUAUAAUUUUACAGAAUUUGGAUGAUGUUUCCGUUUAUUUAAUUUGAAAAUAGAUUCAUUAAGGAUUCUAAGCAUAUAAAUUAUAACUCAUAAUUAUUUUUUUUCAAUUUUUGAUGAUUUUUCAAAGUCAGAACAGGGGAACCCAAAAUCAUUCUGACAUUGCCUCACAAAAUUUAUUAUAUCUCAUGAUUUACAAUUCUAUUGCUUACACCAUUUCUUUUAUGAGAAACUAGACUCAAUAAGCUUUAAUUUCAUAUUUUAUUCAUCUUCUAAUUCAAUUCCCAAAAUUUUUGGUGAAUUUUCAAAGUUAGACCACUGCUGCUGCCCAAAACUGUUUUAGUAUAAAAUGUUGAUUACCAAUUUGACCCUAAACUUUUAAUACAUGACAAAUUCAUCCCUAGGCUCGGAAAAUGAAAUUAUUGCAAUAUAAUCCUUGAUUCAAGCCUAAUAAUUCUCAUAAAUAUCAAUAACAGCCCAUGGAUUCCAUGAAAUUUCAGAAUUUUUCCACAAUUUCAAUACUUUUCAAUUUUAAUCCCUAAAACAUGUUUUUCAUCCAAAAUUCUUUAAUAAAACACCUUUAAACAUUCAUUAACAUCUCAAUUUCAUCAUAAAAUAACAAAAAUUAUAUGAAAUUAUCAUUAGUAUCUUCCAAAACUUUCAACAAAUUGAAAAACUAGUAGAAUACUAAAUUGGACCUAAUUGUAAAAGUCUAAAUAUAAAAAAAUUUCAUGGAAAAAGCAAGAAUUAAACUUACUUGAAGCUAAAAUCUGGAAGACCAGCUCUAAACCCUCCUCCAUGGCUGUUUCCCACCGAAAUUUCAAGAAGAAAUGGUCUUGAAAUCCUUAAAAUAAAUUUUGGCCACAUAAACUUUAUUAUAAUUCCAAUUUUGUCCUUAAAUACAUAAAAAUCUUUGAUUUUUUUUAACGGUAUGCCAUCUCAUCCACUUAAAUUGGUUCAUUUACUCUUUUAGUCCUUCCUUAUUUAAUUUUUAAGCUAUUUAAUCACUUUAGCAAGUUUUUCAUCUUUUCAAUUUAGUCCUUUUUAAUUAAUUAACUGCCGAAACAUUAAAAUUUUCUGACGAAACUUUAACACAACCAUAUUGACACUCCGUAAAUAUUUAUAAAAAUAUUUACGGCUCGAUUUAUAACAUCGAGGUCUCGAUACCUCUUUUCCUCAAUUUCUUGACUUAAUAAAUUUUUAUAAAACACAAAUUACUAAUUCAAAAAUCUCUUAAAAAUCAUAUUUGGCUCAUAAUUAUUAAUAAUAAAAUUUAUGAGCUUAUUUUCUAAAUUUGGUGAUCUCAUACCACUGUUUUCGAAAUUUCUGAAAAUCGGUUAUUACAUAGUCUAUUUACCAUUUAAGGACCUGUAGUUUUGAAUUUCAUAUUUAUUUAGCCCAUUCUAGCUUCUAAAAUUCAAUUUCUACAUUUUAUACAAAUUGGUCAUUUCCUUAAUUAAUCACUAAAUCGAUAAAAUUUGCAUAUCAGUAUAUUCAUGCAACCUUCCUAUCAUAAUGCAACCCAUGUCAUAAUUUUAAUUUUUUUUCCUCGUCGGAUUUGUGGUCCCGAAAUCACUGUUCCGACUAGACCCAAAAUCGGGCUGUUACAAGCUCCCUUAUCAUUCUUCUUAUCUACUCUAUCCUAUAUGAUCUGACUGCAAAGGAUGCACAUUGGCUUAAGGCUAUUACAUUUGUUACGGUUAUAAUUCUUGAUUGGAACAUGGGAGCAUGCUUGUAUAGGUUUCAGUUUUUUUAAAAGUUGUGUUGUUACACUUGAUGUUGCUAAAACUACAUGAGUUUUUCUCAUUUGCUUUGGAGUGCAUUUUGGUACUUGGGGAAUUGUAUUAGCGAUGCAGUUGUAGCAUCUAUCUUAUUAGGUGCACAGUUUCUCACCAUUUUUUAGCUAUAAACCCGUUAACUGGUUGAAGAGAUGCCUUGCAGAGUUCCGUGAUUCGUCUAAGGGAAGGUUUUCGUUGGAAUGAGCAAAAAUAGUUCUUCUAGUUCAUUUGAUGGUUGUGGCUCAAGUGUGAAAUGCAGUAAUAGUGUUGAAGUAGAUCAUUCUACAAAUAUCAUCGAAAGUAGUAGUUAGAGCAUGGAUCAAUACUUUGAUACUAAUAAUUGGAAUUGUAUUGUUAUGUAUCCAACUUCUAACUUUCAAGGAAGGAUAAAUAGUGAUAAGAGUGUAGACAGUGAAAGACCAAGUUUAGCAUCACAUAGCAGUUCUCAUCACCCCAAUGCUCUCGAAAUAUGUCAACAAGUCAAAGUUGGGUAUCAGGUUUUGUAUGAAUUAUGGUUUGCUAUGAUUUUUGAAAGGAAUUAAGAGCGAGUUGCGAUAGAUUUUAUGUCUGGAUUUUUUUGAAGACGAGAAGAAAGGCUUGAUUUGAAUAGUUACUAUUAGAUUGAUAAAGUCGAUUCGCCCACAUUGUGGGUGUGCCAUAAUCUAAUACAUGUAUAUGUAUACUAAAAGUAAGAGAUAUUUUUAAGAAAAAUGGUAACACAAAAUAUCAACACUAGUUUGGAUAUAAAUAUAAGUGUUUUUUCCUAGUAAUUUGCUUCUUAUUUUCUGUUUUGCUCAACAGCAAUGUUAGCGUCUGACUGGUUAUCGCUCGCCUUUUUCCUCUCCCAUCAACCCUUUCUUUCAUUCUUUUUUUCUUCUUCUCAUUCACUACACACGUCUUCUCUCUUUUCAGUUUGCAGAUCUAUUUUGUGGGUAUCUUUGGUGUCUUCACAAGUUGUGAUGGACUGAUGAUGGUUCCUACUAUUCGCUAAAACUCCACCAGCCACCAAUAGUUUUUUUCUUGGAAAGUGGGUGGCUCUUCAUCAACUUCUUAAUUUUUUUCUCAUUUAAGAGUAUUUUAGAAUAAUAAAUUAUUUCACGUGUCAAUUUGAACCCUUGUCUUAAGUUUUAUGUUUUUUUGUUUGUUUUUCCAUUGUUUAAUAAGUCUUCAAUUUUAGAAGUUUUUGUAUGCUCUUGUAGCACAUUUUUUAGUCUUUCUUAUGCAUGUAAUCUUAGUUUUACAAGUGAUUUUAGGGAUGGUUUUGUUGUUGUCCUCUCUAGUUGUGUGAAUGCUCUAUUCUUUUGUCGAUUUUUGCUCGCCGCUUUGGACCAUCCGAGACUGAUUUCCUUAUCGUAUUAAGUGCUUGCAAUCACUCCAGAUAUGUCGUGCUUGAGUUGUGACAAAGCCAAUUGUCAAUGUGUUAUAAUGUUCUAUUGAUACUAAGGCUAAAGCGUUUGUUGUGUUGAUGGAGCUUGCCUUUACCAUCUACGAUGAGUGUUUACUAUUUUUCUCUCUCUGAAUUGUAUGGUUCCAUUUAUUGAAUGAAUUAAUGAAUUUACCUUUAAAAAUAUAAUUUUUUUUAGAUAAAUAAUAUAAAAAUUAUCAAAAUAGCAUGCGUUGUAAAUUAUUUAUCAAAAUAAUAGAAAAGUAGGAGAAAAAAAGGUACAGCUUUUUUUUUAUCUUAACUAAAUGAGGAAUUCAUAUUUUGUUUUUCAAUUUUAGCAAGCGGGUGGAAUUGUAAAUCACAACGAAUGAAGAGAAGCAAAGGCUUGAAGCUACUCACCGGAGUCAAUGAGCUUUUCUAGGUCAGAAAAAGCAAAAUGGAAGAAAUCCAUGAAAUCAAAGUCCUUGAAAAGCCUAGGAUGUUGGUCAUAUAUAAACUCUUUGGGUGUCUUGAUUAUAGUACCCUCAUUUGGAAUGACGAAGGCUGCUAUAGAAUAUCGAUCUUUGUCUCCACUCAUCAUCACUCUGUGAUUCACUGAUUUCAAUCUCCCAUUACUCCAUGCCUUCAAUUUCCAAAAUCAACAUUAGUAAGUAAUUUUUUAUACUUAUUCACUUUCAACAUCAAUAAUCUCAUAUCACUAUAUGUUUUUUUUUAUCAUGAACAGGUAAAGGAGUUAUUCAAAAUUUUGAAACAGAGAUCUAAUGUCAACAUCAAUGAGGAUUUUAUGGUAAUUAUUCACUUUAAACACAUAUAUAUAUUGAGGAGAAUGAAGAAGGGUUAUUCAAGAUUUGAAUCCAUGACUUAAUUGAACUCGAGAUUUGGAGACGAUGCUAGGGAUAAGGCCUUCCAAAACUCCCUUUGCCUCGAAAAAAAGGUAAAAUUUCACUUAACAUAACUAUGACCCUUAUAGUUCUUGUUCAAUUCACAUGGAUAAUUUAUGUUUUGUUUUGAAUAAAUAAAUAAAUAAAGCAAACAUUAAUCAUAUAUAUAUAAAUACCUUGAGAGGAUCUCCUACCACAAAGAUAAAAGAAGAAGGAGAUAAAUUUGAUAACAUGAUCCAUUGGCUGUCAUUGACCUCAACUUCCAACCCUGAAAUUUGAUCCUCACAAAUGAGUGUGCUGACUGGUUUAUCAGUAUGAGAAUGGAGUCCACUCUUAUACUCUCCCGGUGAAGGGGACAUAUAUUUCAUCAUCCGCACCAACGUUUUGUAGAUCAUCUUCAGUGACUCCUCCUCUAAUCCAUAACUAUCAAUUAGCAUCAACCAAACUAACUUGUUCAGUUCCUCCAUUUGUGUCGCUAAGGUGUGUAUAGUGUCGCUGGAACAAAAUAUCAAAAUAAAAAGUCAAUAAUUUGAUCUCACACAGCUAAAGCUAGAAAUUAUCCAAAAUCAACCCAACCUGCAGAAUUUGAAAAAUAAAAAGAUUUGUUCUUACGAAAAUUGUGGGUGACCAUCAGGCCACAUCAAUUGAGCAAAAUUUUUUACAGAGUCAUAGUUGGAGGCAUCUCUAACUCCAAAGCCUACAUACAAUAAAGAAACCUACUCGCAUGGUCCAACCCAACCAUGGUAAGGCAAAGGACUAGCGUUCUUUUGUUUCCUCUCCACUGGGUCCUUAACCAGUUCUUUCAUCAACUCGAAUGCAUCCUCUCGGACUUUUGUUGAUAUUUUUUUGUACACCACCUCGAAACAACCGAAAAUCUCACAAGCCUCUCGAACUCUCUUCACAAACUGUUCCACCCAUCAGUUUUUCGCUCCAAUCCGAUGAACGGAACUCAAUGACUGGAAACUCAACCAUGUUGUUAACCUUUUUUUUAUGCUCUAAGAAAAUGUUUUCUUCAUUUAAAUCAGCUUGUAGGGAUUUACGUCUAUUUAUUGUUUUUUUUCUCAAAGGUGGCGGGGCGAAGUAAAACAUAUGUCUAUAGUUUCUUUUAAUUUGCUUAUCCAAGCAAAACCAAGGCAGUGGCACUCUGAUCAAAGGAAACUUUAUACGCUACUUAAAUAAAAUUUCAUCAAUUAAAAUUUUGAAAGAAAAAUAUUAUGCAGUUUUAUUUAUCUAAUUUUUUAAAUAUAUGUUUAAUUUAUUUUUCACAUUUUAAUUUCAUUUUUCCAGAAAAUAUGGAAAAUAAAAAAAUUAAUUAAUGUUCUUUAUUUUGGGUUGACUUGGAUUAGUAUUUUUGUAUCUCGAGUUGGUCCAGCUCUACCAAAAUUAAAUUUAAAUAAUAAAAAUAUAUAUUAAAUUUAAUUAUAAAAUAUAUAAAUAUAAAAUAUAAUUCUUUUAAUUUUUAAUUUUUAAAUAGAACGAACUUUUUGAAUGAGCUGAACUUGAAAAGAAAUUUUGGACACCUCUAGCAUCAUUACGACAAAAUUAUCUCCGUCUAUAAAAUAAAGGGUGAACUAUUAAAAUAGUUACUUUUGUUUACCUCAGGUUACAUUUUUGUCAUUUAUAUUAAAAAUGUUAUGUUUUAGUCACUUACGUUAUCGUGUUGUAACAUUUUAGUCACCGAGCCGUUAAUGGUGUAACGGUAAGUUGACAUGGCAUGUUAAACCAUAAUUUCAAACAAAAAAUUUAGGUUAAUUUAUACAAUCGGUCCCCAUACUUUUUCUUUUUGAGCAAUUUAUUUUUGUUUCUUUUAUUUUUUUAAUUUUUUUUCUUUGUUUUCCAUUCUCUUCUACUUCUCCCUCUAUUUUCCUCCCUUCUCCAUUUCUUUUAACGUAGUUUUUCUAUAUUUUUCAUUGGUUAAAACUAGUUCUUAUACUUUUAUUUUUUUGAACAAUUUAAUUUUUUCGAGUGAAGCGAGCAUGUGGAUUAGUUUUAACAAAUAGAAAAUAUAGAAAAACUACAUUAAAAGAAAUGAAGAAGGGAGGAAACCAGAGGGAGAAGUAGAAGAGAAUGGGAAAAAAAAGUUAAAAGAACAUAAAAGAAAAAAUUAAAUUGCUCAAAAUGAAAAAAAAAUAUAGGGAUCAAAUUGUAGAAUUUAAUCUAAACUUUUCGUCUGAAAUGAUGAUUCGACAUGCCACGUCAACUUACCAUUAUACUGUUAACGGCAAUUAACGACUCAGUGACUCAAAUGUAAACUGAGGCAAACAAAAGUGACUAUUUUAAUAGUUUACCCUAGAAUAAAAGGAAAAGCCAAGUGGUGGACAACGACUUUAUCCGCUGUCCAUGAUUGGGUAAAUUACCUUAUUUGGUCACUCAAUUUUUUAGGGUACUUUUGUUUUGGCCACUGAAAAAGAACUCCUUACAAUUUCAUCUCUCAACUUUUAUAACGUUUUCAUUUUAGUCAUUCAAUUGUUAAAUAUUUAAUGGUGGCUGACUGUAUAUGCCAAAUCAUGUUUCGCGUCAUAUUUAUUAUUUUAUUUAUUUUUGCUCAGCAAAAUAAAAAGAAAAGUGAUACAAAUGUAAAACCAAACCUAAAACCCAACUGCAUAUACACACUAUAGACAUUGACUCCCUAACAAAACAACAAGCAUCACCACACAAACCACUUAUCAAAUGAACGAAUCAACACCAUUAAAACAUAACAAAACAAGGCCUUACUAAACUCUUACAGCACUCCAAACAAACCAACAGCAACAACGAAUUCCCAAAAGGUGGCAAGCAGAAUAAUCAGCUCCUAUACAUGAACCCCGUAUACUUUUUUUCACUUUAAUCUCUUUUUUUUACCUAGAUCAAGACUUAAAAGAUAAUAUUUUUUGGCGGCCAAAAUGAAAGCGGCUUAGAAGUUGGGUGACCAAAAUAAAAGUACAAACAUGAUGUAGACAUAAUUUGGCGUGUACAUGAUAAAUGUCAAAAGUAACAUAUUUUAACCUCAUACUUAGCACAUUUUUGGGUGAUUAUGUGACAUUAAUUGUGAAUUAUAUACUCCUAAUAUUUUAUAUUCAUAUUUUGAUGCUCAAUAGGGCGUUUGGGGCAAUAGAAGUGAAAAAAAUAUGGAAAUUAGAACUUCGGAGCAUUCCAAAAGUUGUGCACAUGCAGCAGAUUUUCACAUAGGUAAUCCACAUAGCAGUGUGGAUUCACAUGGCUGUGUGUCCCGAGUGUCUCGAUCUUGGGAACUAUGUGAUCUGAAUGUUGUAGGUUACUAUUUUUAGUUUUUUUAGCACUUUAAGAGGAUAUAAAUAGGGAAAUAAGAAGGGAAGAAGGUAGCCACCAAGGGAGAGCACAAAAUUAUCUUGAAAACACCAUUGAAGCCAAUUUCCAAGCAAUUUUCCACCAAGAUUCAAGAGUCCAAGUCGAUUUUGAAGGGAGUUAUCAUGGAUUUCUUUUAUUCUAGUGGUUAUAUUGUAUUUUUGGUGUUCACUCUUGUCAUUAUGAACUAAAUCUCUUAAUACCUCAGGGAGAUGAACUCUAGGAUGAAUUCUAUUGUUUGAUUUAUAUCUUUAUGCAAUAAAAUCUUAGUCUCUUUGUUUUCAAUUAUGAGUGUUUUAUUAUUUUUGGGUUAAUAAUUCUAAAGUGUCAAUUAAUGCUGUUGACACCAUUUUUUUUGUGAAAAUGGGAUCGAUUUGAAUUUUGAAAAUGAAAACGAAAAUGGGAGUCGCCACCAAUCCUUUUUUAUGAGGUGUGAUCGGAUCACCUUGAAAAGUGAUUAUUUUUAAUAAACGAUUUGAUUUUAUUAAACCAAUGAUUUUGGUCCACGAAAUUCAGAAAAAUAGGUUCGGGAGUCGGUUACGUACGAGGAAGGAUUAGCACCCUCGUAACGCCCAAAAUUGGUACCUAAUUGAUUACUUAAUGUCUUAAUGUCGAAAGUUGAAAAUUCGAAAGGAAAUUUAAAAUGCGAUCCAUUUUUAUUAAUAUUGUUAAAAAAUGCUUGAAUAAAUUGAAAGGAGAGUUAAAGACCCACUCGUCUCAAAGUAACAAAACAUCACAUCCCGUAAGUUAGGACACGAUAUUUGGAACCAUAGAGAAUAAGCUUGCCUUUAAUUUUUAUUGAAAUUUUAUAUUUUUGAAAAUUAAAAGGACAUUUCAGUAUUUUGGUUUAAUGAGAAAAAUCAAAGCCCCGUAAGUUAAGGUACGAUUUCUCGGGUUCCCAAAACACAAAAUGUUACCUCAUAAUGAAAUUUUUUUUAUUUUUGAAGUUUUAAAAAGGGUAUUUUGGUUUAGCUUGAAAACCAAAACCCCGUAAGUUAGGGUACGACUUCUCGAAUCACCAAAACGUAAAAUAUUGCCUUAUUUUGAAAUUUUUAUUUUUGUAUGUUUGGGUAAAAAUAAAUGUAACGUUUGAAAUAGUGUGUGAAAAAGGGGUUAUGUUGAUGGAAUGACAAUUUACAACAUGGAGAAAUUUUUUUUCAAACAACAGGGUACACGAAUGAAUUACCAUAGCACGAAAAUACGAAUAAACGAAUUAAUACACAUAAUGGCAAUAAUUACACCAUACAUCGAAUACAAAUAUCAAUAACCAAAACGAACAAAAUGAAACAAUAUAUAAAUCAAUUAAGAAAACAAUAGCUCAAAAUGAAUGAUUUAUAAAGACACUUCAAAACAAAUGACAAAUUGCCAAAUAAACAGAAAUUAAAAAAACUAAAAAUAAAUAAAAAUGAAUUAUUUAAAAAAAUAAAUAAUAUAUAAAAAAACAUGCGAGAUAAUUUUAAAAUAUAUACGUACAUAAAAUUUGGAAGAUACACUACAUGAGCUUACAAUAAAUAAUAUACAAAUAAAAUUUUAAUAAACUUAAUGUAAAAUAGCUUCAAAUAAAUAAUAAAUAUAACCAUUUUAAAAUAAAUCAUGAUAAAAGAGUAUUAUUUAAAAUAAAUAAACUAAAUGGACUGAGGACGAGGUUGAAAUGGAAUUAAAAUUCAGGGCUUUAAUUGCAAAUUUACAAACAGGUUAUAGAGGACCGAAAUAAGAUGUGCUUAAGGCAUGAGGGAUUGACUGGGCAACAUCCCUGUCCCUUAUGCGCGUCGUUUUGUGCAAGACCCAACUGAACCAGGUUUAAAAAUGCAGCGGUUAAAAUGUAAAAGCGAAGGACCCGAUUGUACUUCACUGCAAAAGCGGAGGGGCUGAACAUGCAAUUAGCCCCUCCUAACAAAACACGUGGAUCCUCAGUACCACUGGGUUGGGUCGCAGGUCAAACGCCAAAAUGGCACCGUUUUGGCCACUGAUGCCAAGGCUCAAAACGGUGUAGUAUUAUGCCUUAGAACUUAAAGUCAAAACGGCGUCGUUUCAUAGGGCUAUUUAAGCCCGAAAUUUUUUUAAAAAAAUUUAUUUUAACCUCAUACGAAAAGAAACUCUCUUUUCCUCUCAAAAACCCUCUCCUAUCUGUCUUAUGGGUUUCCCCAGCAUCUGACACGCCGCGCCGCCGCCGUGGCCAGUGGCCGGUGACGAAAUAAUGGGCUUUUCGGCCCCGUUUUUAAAAAAAGCUCGAAGGUCAAGCCUUAUUGAUCCAAAGGUCCGAAGGGAGAGGAUCCCUUAAGCCCUCCUCGGCUCGAUUUUGGCAACGGAAAGUGACCUCCGAUGAUAGUCACGAAAUCCACCAGGUGAGCCCUUCCAUUUUCUUUUUAUUUUAUUUUUUAUAAAAAGGAUAUAAAAGAAUAAAAAAAGGACAAAAACAUGAAUCUAAAAAAAAACCUUUUAAACUUGUUUUUUGCUUUUAUGUCUCAAUGUUUGUAAAAAAGGGAAGCAAAUUACAGUGCUCGUAUUCGGCUUAUAUAACCGAUUUUAAAAUCCCUAAAUUUCUAUUUUUUUUGUCGUUUGUGAUUUGGAUUGUGUUUGCUUGUCGUUUUUUACCUUGUUGUUUUAUAGGUGGUCUGACGCGUGGAUGGCCGGUGAUAGGCGAGCGGUGGCGGCAGUGGGCAUGCGAGGAGGCUGGCGGCUAGGGGCAAACCUAGAUGCGGCGCACCUAGGGUUUCUUUUGGCUGAAAAGUUUUUAGUUUUGGGCUAGGUUUUAGUUUGGGCUGAGGAUUAAUUUUGGUUGUAAUGGGUAGAGGUUUUGGGUUUAGGUUUGGGUUUGGGUUUCAAUUGGGUUAUCUGAUAUUGGGUCUGUUUAUUGUUUUGAUUUGGGCCCGAGCUGAAUUGGCCUGCAACAAAUGUUUGAUAUGCAGAAGUAUGAGGUUGAAUAGACCCUCUUUGUGAUUAGAUCUUGUAUAAUUGAUGGAGUUACAUGCAAUCCUAGAAAUAGACAACAUAAAUCUAUUGGAUUAGAGUAAAAUCUAAUAAGGGGAUCCAUAGAGCGAACUAAAGCAAUAAUAAGGGUUUUAAUUAGAAAGAAAUUCUAAUUAAUUAACCUAGAAUUAGUUGUUCUUUUGCUCGAAAGAUAUAUUAGCAUAAAUUAGAGAUUUCUACGGAUCUAAGAACUAAAAAAAUAAAUUGCAUAAAUUAGAUUGAGAAUUAUAGAUGAAAUCUAGGUGGAUUUUUACCUAGGUAUUGUUUUGUCACUUGGUUAAUACUUGAUUGUUUUUGUGUUGCAUUUUUUGUGCAUUCAUUAGUUAACUUAAAUAGUUUAAUUUAAUUUCAAUCAAUCCUUUGAAUUAUUGAGUUAAAUAAUAGAAAUGUGAUAAUUACUAGUAAUUGUAAUCCUCGAAGGAACGAUAUAUGUGCUCACCAUAGCUAUACUAUUAAUUGAUAGGUGCACUUGACUUGGUCAAUUUAUUAAUUAGUUUAGUGGACAUCAAUACAGUUAACCGUCGUUGAGGAUUUAAUACUUGGGUGACUAAAAUGAAAGCUCCCUAAAAGUUGGGUGACGAAAUUGCAAGAAUUUUUUUGGAUGACCAAAAUGAAAGCACCCUAAAAGUUGGUGACCAACUGGGUAGUUUACCCAUCUUUGAUUUCAAAUUCUAUCCUUCCAAUACUGUACUAGCAAAGGGAGUGCAUCAAGGUUUUCAAAAUCAUAUUGGUGACUCAAUUGAUUAGAUCACUAGUUUUUUUAUUUGACCAGCUCGAUUGGUUUAUUCAGUUCAAUUGCAUAAAUUUCAAAAAUCAUAAAAAUUAAAAAACCAUAUAAAAAAUUGAUUAAGCAAGUUUAACUAUCAAUUUAAACCAAUUAUUUUAGUUUGGUUCAACCAAUUGAGUUCGUACUGAUUCGUGAGUCAUCCGAUCCAAUCCCUUAUUUUAAACCAACACCCCGAUUUUAAAGAAAUUAGAGGUGUCUAAAGGUCAAGCUAGGAUGACAAGGACCUUAAUUUAAAGAAAAUUUAAAGCCUCUCUCACCUCACUUAAAUAGUUUGAUUUACUAUUUAAAAUAAUAAAAUAUUAAAAAUAUUUUUAUACCAAAUUUUAUAUACUUUUAUAAUUAAAAUUUAAAAUUAUUUAAUUUAAAUAUGGGUCUAUCUGAGGAUAAAAUUUGUGACCCAACCCGUCUCGAGUCAGUCCCCUAACAAGUCAAACGGACUCGUAUUUUUAAAUAUAUAUAUUUCUUUUACAUCAAUAUAUAUUUUUUAUUUUAUUAUAUAAUAUAUAUAAGCAUGAGUUUAGAGAAAAUUUUUAUCUAACCGAAAUAUGUAUUAUAUUACUUAAUUUCAAUUUAAAUUAUUAUUACAAUAUUAAGGUUAUAUUUUUUAAAAAUUUAUCAAAAUAUUUGGUCAUAAUAAGAUUAUUAUUAUGAAAAAAUUAAUUAUUAACCAUAUAUAUUUACAUUUUUGGUUUUUGGUUUAUACAAAUGCUACUUAUAUCCAUAGUCCCUUCCCGCUCUUAAAUCAAAUAAAAAAAUAAGUAUAAAUAUGUAUGGACUCAAGCCUUCUUUAUUGUUGCAAUAGUAACGAUGUCAACAGAGCUAAACCUUAAUUAGCAAUAUUUUUUAUUUUAUAUUAUAAAGAUAGUGCUUAUUAUUAAGUUUAUUGUAAUUCUCAAUAAAUUAAUUUACAUAAUUUUGUAGUAAUUAAAACUAAUAUCUCUCAUAUCUUGACUUGAAUGGAGCGGUGAUCAAAGUUCUUAUUAGACACCUAUUUGACACAAGUUCAAACCGUGUCAUUCUCAUUUCCUAUCUUUAAUAUUGUAUCGAAAAAAAGACUAAUAUAUCUCAUCAACAAUUUUAUACUGAAUUUUUAGAUUUUCAUUUGGAUUUGAUUGAUUUUAGGAUGAAAAUGUUGAUGAAGCAUUAAACUAUUGAAAAAGGGAUACAAAUGACAUGAGAUCCCUAUUUCAUACAAUCGUUUCUCAAAUAGAAAGUUGCGAUGUUUUUUAAAGGAUAAGUUUUGGUGGUUUUUUAAGGUAAGGGGGAAAUUCUUUUUCCCAUUGAUGCUUUUAGCAAUUUAUUUGCUUAAUGAUUUGUUAAAGGUUUUUGUUUUCAAAGACUAACUUUUUGGUGUCUUCUCCUUUAUGGUGCCUUGCACUUUUAUUAAUAAAACUUUCUUUAAUGAGAAAAAAAUCCUAUAACAUGGUAAUACAUUACAAAAAUGGAAAUCUCAAGUAUAGGACUCCAUUUAUUAUUUGUAACAUUAUUUUAAUACUAAAACUGGGCUUUUACUUGUCGAUAUCGGUAUGCAUUUAACGGGAAACUGGUGGUGAAAGAGAAGCAUAGGAGUAGAGCAGUUGGCCGUUGUCGAUGUGCUUUGCUGGGUCAGAAAAGGCAUAAAGGAAGAAGUCCAUGAAAUCGAAUUCCUUGAAAAGCUGAGGAUGUUGGUCAUCUAUAAGUUCUUUGGGUGCCUUGAUUAUAGUACCCUCAUUUGGAAUGACAAAGGCUGCUAUAGAAUAUCGAUCUUUGUCUCCGCUCAUCAUCACUCUGUGAUUCACUGAUUUCAAUCUCCCAUUACUCCAUGCCUUCAAUUUCCAAAAUCAACAUCAAUAAGUAUUUUUUUGAUAAUUAUUCACUUUUAACAUCAAUAAUCUAAUAUCAUUAUUAUUUUUUAAUCAUGAGCAAAGUAAAAGAGUUAUUCAAAAUUUUGAACUUGAUAUCUUAUGCCAACAUCAGUAAGUAAUUUAUGGUAAUUAUUCACAUUAAAAGUUUGAUCUAAUAUAUAUAUAUAUAUUGAGAAGCUAAAAGAAGGGUUGUCCAAUGUUUGAAUCCAAGACUUAAUUGAACUCAGAACUCAGAGAUAGUACCCAAGGGACAAGGCUUCCCCCCCUCCCCUAAAAAAAAAAGAUAAAAUCUCACUUGGUUUUGACUCUUAUAUUGCUUCUUCUAUUCACAUAGAUCAUUUAUGUUAAGUUUUAAAUAAAUUAAAAGGCGAACAUUAAUCAAAUAUAGAAAAAGUACCUUGAGAGGAUCUCCAACAAAAAAAACAAAGGAAGAAGGAGAUAAAUUAGUCAACUUGAUCCAUUGGCCAUCACUGACCUCAAUUUCCAACCCUGAAAUUUUGUCCUCACAAAUAAGUGUGCUAACUGGUUUAUCAGUAUGAGCAAAGAGUCCUCUCUUAUUUUCCCCUGGUGGAGGGGCCAGGUAUUUCAUCAUCCGCACCAACGUUGUGUAGUUCAUUUUCAGUGAAUCCUCCCGUAAUCCGUAACUAUCAGUUAGCAUUAACCAAAUUAACUUGUUCAGCUCCUCCAUUUGCGUCGUUAGGGUAUGUAUGGUCUC
rnacentral:lncRNA from 1 species